GCGAUCGUGUUCGAGAAUAAAUAAAACAUCACGCAGUUGGAUGGCACAUGCGUAAGCUGAACACAGGACAGAAGCCCUCAGAAUCAGUUUAUAAUAAUAUACAGAAACCCAUUUCUAUUCCAAGCUUCAAAUAUAUAGCUCCACACAAUAAAGCAUCAUCCUGUACAGUGAGUCUAUGGCUGCAACAGCUAGCUAGUAAUAGUCACCGGCAAUUAGUAUAGUCAUAUAAGCACUGCUGCACGAGCUACAACUACAAGCGGUGGUGGGCGCAGGAGGCAGUGCCGUCGUCGAAGUUCUGGUAGUAGCUAUGCAGGUCAUACCCGAACCUCACCGCGGUUCGCCUCGGCCGCGCCGCGCGUCUUCUCCAAGAGCGCCUCAACCUCGACAGCAGUCGCUUCACCGCCGCAGCUGGCCGGCGGCCGCCGCUCCUGGCGUGGACGAGCCGCCCGCCCAAGCCGCUGCCCCCGGUGUACGGGCCUAGCAGAGACGCCGCCGCCAUGAUCGUUCACUCGGUCGGUUCUCACAAGUCACGGACGCUCUUUGCCGCUAACCAAUUAGCUAGCUAGACGCUGUCUGCUUCGAGCUGGAGUACGUACGUAUCUGUGAAUCUGUGUGCUGCAGCUGUAGCUUCUGAAGAUACUGUGCAAAACGAAGCCUCCCAUGCCGCAGCUUUAUAAGCUCGGAUGCUGGGAGCAUUCCGACACGCGUCGAUCGAAGACGCUACUCGGACCCACCAGCAGCACGCACUCACAUACAUGGUGACGAGGCAAUCCACUACGGCGAUCGUUCGAAACGUCCAGGCAGCUUCAUUUCAUGCAUGCUUUUGUAAGCCGCCGUGGUGCUCGUGCAGUCGAAAGAAUCAAAGAAAGACAACCGUCGACCACCAACAAUGGAAGCAUGUGCACUUGCUUUAGUGACGACCUCCAUCGCCAGCUAGACUGCUAGCUAGAAGGAUGAGAGAGGUCGGCCAUGGCAACUGGCGACACGGCGGCACCUGAGCUGCUUCCUGCCCGUCCUGUGCCACUGCCGAUAAGGUCGGCGGCUUCCUGCCUGCCCUUCCUGCCGCUGGAUCAUGCCACGUGCACAAUGUGUUUCAGUUGCCUGUGGCGUGGGCGUGGCCGACCUAAUCGACAUGCAUGCGGCCGAGGUUGGCGGGAACUCUCGGCACCCCGUCAGAUCGAGACUAGGAAUAGCUAGAGUGUAUUGCUGACGCUGAAUCAUAAUAAUAACAACUGGUUAUAUUAAUAACCUAGAGUAUUAUUGGAAAGAGCACUCCAAGCCACUCACCAAAUUGGAUAAUAUAAUAAUAAUAAUAACUGGUUAUUACUAUGUAUUUUUGGAUAGCCUUAUCCUUGUACCGAAGAUGACUAAAGCUUAGGACGUGGACAUUUCUUUUACAGCUGGAAUAUGCAAGUAUGCUCUUCGAUCUGAUAUCUCCAAAAAGGAAGAGAAAAGAUGUCGUCGAGCUGAGUUAUCAUCAAUGAAUUUCCACAUCCUAAGGAAAGGGAAAUGGAACACACUAGUAGUGUUACGCUAGAGUGAAAAUCUACAGAAAAGGCGGAGAGCCUUUUUUUAGGGAAUUGCGAAGCUUCUAUUUUGGAAAUAUCACAAAAAUGUAUGGUCAGCGAAUGGCGGUCGUGGAAUGGCAGUGUAUCACUACCGAAAUAUUGAUCUUUACCAAGUGCUCGGUAUUUUACCGAGUAUUUUUUCUCAGGCACUCGGCAAAUAAGUCUUUGUCGAGUGCCGUAUACGACAAAGUUCUGCUCUCGGUAACGACCACGUUUACCGAGAGCAGUAGUCUCGACACACGAAAACACUUGACGAGGUCGACGCUUGGUAAAGGGCCAUCGUCAGCCAUCUACAGCUGACGACCGUUAUCUUUGCCGAGUGCCGACACUCGACAGGCCAUUCUGUGCCGAGUGUCGUAAGAUGGCACUCGACAAAGUAUAUUUUUCUUUUUUUUCUUUUUUCAACAAACCUUUUGUGGUAUGUUCCUACACUAUGUAGACUUACAUGUUCCAUUUUGGCAUAAUUAUAAAAGUGUUUGCUGGAACUAUUAGAUUUUGUUCUUUUAAUUGAAUUUACUCGGAUAAUUCAGAUUUGAACUACAAGUCACUCGAAAAAUAGAAAACCGUGAAUGCAAAAAAUGAUAUCCAUGUUAGAUAACACAAUUUACGACUGAUUUCAGGAGCAGACUGGAAUUUUCGAGCACUAUCCUCACUAAACAUGACCGUGAACUUGCCAUCAAGUUAUUUAAAAAUUAUAUAAAACACAAACAAAGUCAGAAAAUCAUGAAACUUGUCCACAUGUCAUGAUAUCAUAUGUAGAGGCUGUGAUAAAAAUUUGAGAAUGUUUCAAGAAAGUUGUGACGUACUAUAUGUAGAAACCUAGCCGGUCUACAUUAAAACUCUAUGAUUUUAUGUGUAGGCCACUUAGGUUUCUACACAUAGUGCGUCACAACUUUCUCGAAAUAUUCUCAAUUUUUUAUCACUGCCUCUACAUAUGAUAUCAUGACAUGUGGACAAGUUUCAUGAUUUUCUGACUUUGUUUGUGUUUUAUACAAUUCUUAAACAACUUGAUGGCAAGUUCACGGUCUUGUUUAGUGAGGAUGGUGCACGAAAAUUCCAGUCUGCUCCUAAAAUCAGUCGUAACUUGUAUUAUCUAACAUGGAUAUCAUUUUUGCAUUCACGGUUUCCAUUUUUCGAGUGACUUGCAAUCCAAAUCUAAAUUAUCCGAGUAAAUUCAAUUAAAAGAACAAAAUCUAAUAGUUAUAGCAAACACUUUUAUAAUUGUGCCAAAAUUGAACAUGUAAGCCUACAUAGUGUAGGAACAUACCACAAAAGGUUUGGUUGGCAAAAGAAAAAAAUGAAAAUAUACUUUACAAAGUGCCCAAGAUAGGCACUCGGCAAAGUAUUAUUUGUCGAGUGCCCAUCUUGAGCACUCGGCAAAGUAUAUACUUUGUCGAGUGUCAGGCGACCGGCACUCGGUGAAGUGAUCUCUUUGCCGAGUGCCAACGCCCGACACUCGGCAAAGUGCAUUUUUAGAUUAAAAAAAACCUUUGUUGAGUGUCAGAUCGCUUACGCUCGGCAAAGUGUAUUUUUAAAUUAAAAAAAUCUUUGCCGAGUGCCAGAUCGCGGGCACUCAGCAAAGAACAUAUACUAAGCCAGAGUCUGGGCCCAUGACUCCAUUAUUUGUUGUCGCGCCACCGUUAGCCCCGCCGCGCCGCUCGUCGUGCCUCUCGCUCCACCGCCCGCGCUCGCCCCGUUGCCCGCGCUAGUGCCGUUCGCCGCACCGCCCGCUCGAGGUCACCCGCGCGCCGCCGCCUCUGCCCGACCGCACCUGCUUCGUCCAUCCCCGCGUGCUGGUUGGUUAUGGCCAUCCCCGUCUAUCAGACCCCCGCUUCGGUUAACACACCGCCACCAGCAAAGGUAAAGACUUUACGCAACCGCUAAGUGUCGAUUCAUUAAUCAUUUCAAUUAUGCUUACAAUGUAGUUAUGAUUGCCUAAGUGUCGAUUCAUAAGCCACACUAGUUGUAGUUAUGAUUGGCUAAGUGUCGAGGCCUUGAUGUCUAUGUGUGUAUCAGCCAUCGUGCUGGUACUUUUGUUUGCAGGUUUUUGGAAAGCUCCCCGUGUGGGGAGGUGCUGCCAUUUUUUUAACGGACUUGUGUUAAUCUUUAGAGUAUAAUCGGUUAUAUAUGUUAGAGUAUGGAGGACCGUGAGUGGAUGUACACGGGUCAUGUAGGAAGGAAUGAUGUCACCCUCGAAUGGAUUAGAAAGACCGAUGCUUUCGUGGAACAGGCAUUUGACGAAGCUGCUAAAGGAGCAAGUCUAGUCCCAUGCUUGUGCAGCAAAUGUGCCAACCGGAAAAGAAAAUCAAAGAAGGCCAUGGUAGAACAUAUUUGGAAGAAUGGAUUUACACCGGACUAUACUCGAUGGAUCUUCCAUGGUGAAGCGCACGUACGAGAGAGGAGGUGGUGAGACAAUGCGUCGAGGAUUAUGAUGCUGAUGCGGGGUAGCAGAUAUGUUGAACGACUAUCACGAGGCAUAAUUCGUCGGAGGAUGUAUGGAGGACGAGCUAGAGCCGACCGCAAAGGCGUUGUACGACAUGUUUGACGCGGCACAGAAGCCCCUUCACGUCAAGACAAAGGUUUCUCAACUGGAUGCCAUUGGGCGUGUAAUAGUGUUCAAGUCGUAGUACAACAUGAGUCGAGACGCAUUCGAUGGCUUGUUGACAGUUAUUGGCAGCCUGCGAGGAUCACGUUCUGCCAAAGAGCAUGUACGAGGCACAAAAACUCCUUCGUGCACUCAAGAUGAUGUAUGAGCAGAUAUAUGCUUGUCUGAAGGGCUGCGUGCUAUUUAGGAAAGAAUAUGCGGAGGCAAAGUACUGUUCGAAGUGUAAAUCGUAUAGGUUCAUGGAGGUAGACUCUGGUGAUGGAUAGAAGAGGUAGCUCGACAUCCCGGUGACAAUCCUACGCUGCCUUCUGUUCAUACCGAGGAUCCAGCGUCUAUACAUGAUUGAGGAAUCCACGAAACAGAUGACAUGGCACAAAAAUGGCAAAUUAUGCAAUCCUGACAAGAUGGUGACGUAUCCGAUGGUGAAGCAUGGAAACACUUUGAUGCCAUUCACCAUGAGAAAGCCAAAAAGGCUCGUAAUUUAUGUGUUGCGCUGGCCACAUAUGGGUUCAAUCCCUAUGGAAUGAGCGCUGCACCGUACACAUGUUGGCCCGUGUUUGCUAUCCCAAUCAAUGUUCCCCCCGGUGUAUGCUUUCAAAGGCAGAAUAUAUUUAUGUCGUUGAUAAUUCCCGGACACCCGGGGAAUAAAAUGGGCAUGUACAUGGAGCCUUUGAUUGAUGAAUUGGUACGUGCUUGGGAGGAAGGGGUAUGGACGUAUGACCGAGCUACGAAGACAAACUUCAAAAUGCAUGUUUGGUACCAGUACUCCAUGCAUGACUUACCGGCGUAUGGGCUAUUCUGCGCCUGGUGUGUUCACGGUAAUUUCCCAUGCAUGCCCAGUUUGCAAGGAAGCUCUUAGGGUCGUUUGGUUGAAGAAGGGUGGCAAAUAUUCGUCGUUCGAUAGACAUCGACAAUUUAUCUCUCCUAAUCAUCCAUUCUGCCUAGACAUCAAGAACUUUACGAAAGGUGUCGUAGUGAUAGAUCGCCCACCUGCAACGAUGACUGGUGCCAAAAUUUGUCAAGGGAUAGAUGGGCUCGUGGCCAAUCUAGAAGGUGGUUUUGUGGGAUAUGGUGAGCAGCAUAUGUGGACGCAUAAGUCGGGCUUGACUCGGCUCCCCUAUUAUGACGACCUGCUCCUUCCACACAACAUUGACGUGAUGCACACUGAAAAGAAUGUUGCCGAGGCACUUUGGGCAACAAUUAUGGACAUUCCUGAUAAGUCAAAGGAUAACGUAAAGGCAAUAGUGGAUCUGGCAGUGUUAUGUGAUAGACCAAACCAAGAGAUGAAGCCGCCUAGUGGUGGAAAGACAUGGAGAAGGACUAAGGCCGAUUUCGUCCUAAGCAGGGCCCAGAGGAAGGAAGUACUUCAGUAGAUCAAGAUGUUGAUCUUCCCUGAUGGGUAUGCAGCUAACCUGAGUAGGGGGUGAACUUAUCUACUCUACGAGUCUUAGGGAUAAAGAGUCAUGACUUCCACAUAUGGAUUGAACGGAUUCUUCCUACGAUGGUUCGAGGCUAUGUCCCUGAGCAUGUCUGGCUAGCACUUACAGAGUUGAGCUAUUUCUUCUGCCAGCUUUGUGCAAAAGAGUUAUCUCGGACCGUGAUUGCAGAGUUGGAAAGAUUGACACCCGUGUUACUGUGUACGCUUGAGAAGAUAUUUUCACCCGGCUUCUUCAAUCCAAUGCAGCCUAUCCUCAAUAGCUUCAAUGUACAUUUGCAGCAGUGAACCGAAAUCUAUCUCAUUUAACCUUUGUUUUAACCUAUCUGGCAUCAUAAAUGCUGCAUUGUUCAAAGCAGCAGGAAAAUAUCGCAUUAUAAUGUAGAACCCGUGCAUCUCCUUAUCCUCCUUCAAAUCUUCGUGUCACUUAAUUGGAGUUUGGUCUUUGGAAGCUUCACUGGUCGUCUGUCGUUUAGACGAUUUCUCCCUCAUAGGCCUCUAAACAUGGGGUGUUGGGGACCCUACAUCUGAAUCAUUUGCGCUUAAAACAUAAACUAUGGGCAUUUUUUCAACCUCCGGUUGAGCCACACCUAGGGCAUCAUAUUCGGGAUUUUCUUCACCAUUGCGUGGAGUAUCUGAAUAUGUGUGCUUAGUAGGUGUAGACAUUGUCUACGACCGUGUAACAUAAAAAUAAUUCAGAUAAAAAAUAUCUAUAACAUAUAUUACUUACUGCUCAAUGUUGUUACUGAAUACUAUACAUAUUACUUAUGCUUGUAGGUUUAAAUUGUUACUAAUUGUCCAAAAUAUUACUAUACAUUCGAUUGGGAUUGAUAAUUAUAACUAAUUCUAUUCAUUUAUUAACGAGUAAUGUAUUACUGGCUCUAGAUGCACAUACUAUAUCUAACACAAAAUCUUAUUACUAUUAUGAAAACACAUAUUCUAGAUGACAAAAAAUUUCCUUACCGUUUAGAAUACAUAAUACUGAAAAUUAUUACCGAUUAGAAUACAUAUUACUAAUACUAAUUUCUUAAUUACUACUCACUAAGUAAUAACAACAUAAUGCUUAUCUAAAAAUUAUUGCUAAUCCUAUGCGGUAGUUACUGACAAUAUGUAUUUAUUACUGGUAUUAAAGCAGUAAUGUACUGAUUAUAAGAUAAAACCAACACAGAACUGUCAUUGAAAAUAUAUUAUAAUGUUACUGAUGCUAACAUAUAAACAAAAAGCAGCGUAUCUCAACUCAUCCAGGUUUUCAAAAAAAGGAGUGAUGCAGAGUAGGAUUCACUUGAAAAACAUGUGUGCAUGAUGCAACACUAACUUGAGCAUAAAUGUGCUAGAGAAAACUGCAGGAAAAAUUGAAGUAAAACCCGUCCAAGGAGCGAAUUGCAGAAACCCCUCCGUUGCGGCUGCUAAUCUUCACAAAUCUGGAACCACGUCGCCCCAGAUUUUCGCUCGUUUUGACCAAAUAUGGUACCCUAGCAAAAAAACAUGAUGAAUCUCCCCUACGCCACGACGAUUCUGACCGACGAUUGCGAGCACUUGGAAGGCAAUUUCAAAAACAAGGGAACCCAUGGAAAAAGUGACGGUGGAAAGAUAGUAGAUGUUUCGAUGGGUCCUUGCGGUCGUAUAUGUUUAGCUCGGUGUGGUCGGACUCGGUCGGUGCGGUGGGACACGGUCGGACGAGGUCGGUGUGGUCAAGUGAUGCUUCACUUGAGGUGAUGUAUAUAUAUAUAUAUACAUAUAUAUAGUUUGUAUAUUUAGAGCUCUGACCUUCCAAUAACUAGAGGAAACACUGGUCUAAACGGUGCCAUCCGGUUCAGCCGCACCAGGUUCAGACGGCUACAAAAAAGACCCCCAGACCGCCAGGGAUUAGGUUUUAGCGGGGGUGGCAGUUCCCUCGGGUGAGUGAGCGACGGUGGCGAUUUCCUCGGGUGUGCGAGCGGCGGCGAUCCCGGGGGCUUGCGACGGUGGCGCGCCGAGGCGGGCGACUGGCGGCAACACUCCUAAGGCGGGCGGGCAAGCACCUACGGCGCUCCUGAAACGGACAAGCGGCGGCGGCGCACCCUAGGCCCGGUGGUGACUGCGGUUGCGUGAGGCGCGAUAGGCUUCAAUAGCAGCGGCGGCGGAUCUUGGAGGAGCGCACGCGGCGGUCGAGGCCAGGGGCGCCCACACGAUGUCGGCUCCUCGAAGGCGCGCGCCCCUGAGUGGCGCCCGCUGGCGUCCCCCCUCCCGCGAUGACGCCGGCCUUCCCUAGGCGCGAGCGACGACGACAGACUUCCCUAGGCGACGAGCGGUGGCGAAUCGAUGUCCUUGUUUUUAUGCUAUUAUAUAUAUAUAUAUAUUUAUGCCAACGUCAAUAGAUUUUUAUGAUACAUUUUCAGUUCAUGGCUCUCAUUUCAUCUUUUGUAUGUUUAUGAUAUUUCUAUUCACAUUUUAUGUAAACGUUUGUUGAUUUUUGCAUAGUGUACUAUAAUGUAUAAAUACCUUCGUCAUGCAGUUAAUUAGUAUCAGUAUAAAUCAUAAAUUGGUUACAACGAGCCUAACUGUAUGGCUGUUGGAGAGAUCAUAUAUUUAUGGACGAAAUAAAACAUUGAAAAUCAGAUUUUUGUUUUCAUGCGUGCUAAUCCAUUUUCUUUCGACUCACAUUUUUGUCAUCCUAAAUUUGUACACAUGCAAUAGUAAACAUAUUUUGUAUACAGUGUACCGCAUUGCAUAAAUACCUUCGACGUGUAACAUAAUUAGUCUCAGCGUAUAUCAUAAACUGGUUCUAAUGAGCAUAGAUGCAUGGCUGUUGGAGAGAUCCUAUAUUUAUGGAGAAAAUUAAUCAUUUAAAUCAGAUUUUUUUCCAUGCAUGUCAAUCUAUUUUCUUUUAACGCACAUUCUUGUCAUCCUAAAUUUGUGCGCAUGCAGCAGGAAACAUAUUUUUUCGCGCUGUACAGCAGUGCAUAAAUAUCUAUACCGUGUAGCAUAAUUAGUGUCAGUAUAUGUUAUAAAUGAUUCCAACGAUCCUACCUGCAUGACUGUUGUCAAGAUCCUACUUUUAUGGACGAAAUAAAGUAUUUAAAUCAGAUUUUUUUCAUGCAUGACAAUUUAUUUCCUUUCAACCCACAUUCUUAAUAUCCUAAAUUUGUGCGCAUGCAGAAGGAAACAAAUUUUUUGCGCGGUGUACCACACUUCAUAAAUAUCUACACAGUGUAGCAUAAUUAGUAUCAGUAUAUGUCAUAAACUAGUUCCAACGAGCCUAACUGCAUUAUAUUGCUGUUGUAGAGAUCCUAUUUUUAUGGACAAAAUAAACAUUAAAAUCGGUUUUUUUGUUUUCAUGCAUGCCAAUCUAUUUUCCCUCUAAACACACAUUAUUGACAUCCUAAAUUUGCGCCCAUGCAGCAGGAAAGUGAUUUUUUACGCAGCGUACAUUAUUGCAUAAAUGCCUACACGGUGUAGCAUAGUUAGUAGCAGUAUAUUUCAUAAAAUGUUUCUAAUGAGUCUAGCUGCAUAGCUGUUAUAGAGAUCCUAUAUUUAUGAAAGGAAUAAAUCAUUCAAAUUAGAUUUUUUGUUUCCAUGCAUACAACAGUUAACACAUAGACUUCCUAAUUAUUCACGCUUGUAAAUGUAAACAAACUGCCCGCAUGUAAGGAAUGAAUGCAUACGAGAAGUGGGUGGUGGCCAGGAUGCGGUGGUGCUUGGCUGGCUAGGGCUUCAUGUGUGCUAGGGCUUAGAUUUUAAACUUAGCAAUUUUUCAUAUAUAUAUAUAUAUAUAUAUAUAUAUAUAUAUAUAUAUAUAUAUAUAUAUGAAAAAUAGCUAAGUUUAAAAAGCGAUAGUGGCAAAAUAUUUUCACUAGCGUUUGUUAUAAGAGAACCAACUGUAGAAAUUUAUUUCACUAGUACAAAUAAGCUCAAAGCCUGCGGCACGUUCAACUUUUCACUGGCGGUUUCCGUUAUCAAACGUCAGUGAAAGAAACAGGUGGGCCCGGCUUUAAAAACCGCCAGUGGAAACCUAUUUCCACUGGCGGUUAUCUUAACACAACCGCCAGUGGAAAUAGGAUGUUUCCACUGGCGGUUGUGUUACACAAACCGCCAGUGAAAAUUGAUUUCCACUGGCGGUUAUCUUAAGAUAACCGCCAGUGGAAACAUCCUAUUUCCACUGGCGGUUUUUAAAGACAACCGCCAGUGGAAAUCAAUUUUCACUGGCGGUUUUUAAAGACAACCGCCAGUGAAGUGUCUGUUAUAAAUGCCCCUCUUCCCCCGACAGUGAACUGUAUGCUCGCAGCCAACUUCCAUUGGAGGCGAUUUUGGAGGUCCAGAAUUCACAAAAUACAUGGGGAGAGGUUUUGAUCUUCAUUUUUUGGAAGAAGAUUGCUAAGAAAGGUUGGUUUAUGUUGCUAAUGUCAAUUUUUAUUCAUUUUUGCUCAAUUUUAGCCACAUUUUGGAUCUAGGGUUUCACCAUUGGAGAGAGAGUGUAUCCUCUCUCAAUUUUAGCCACAUUUUAGCCACAUUUUUGCUCUAUUCGCUCAAAUAAAGUUGUUUAAUAUGGUUAGAUUUUGUCUAUCCUCUCUCCUUUUUCAUGUUUAGUUCUCAAAUCAGUUUAUCCAUGACAUAUUAAGUUGUUUAAUGAAUGGUUCAUGUGUUGUGUGGAGAGAGAAGAAGAUAGGUUUGAUAAUUAAGAUUGUUUUUAUUAGUUGCUAUGAAAGUUGGUUUAAUUAUGUUUUAAUUGCCAAUUAUUGUUUAUCUUUGCUCAAUUUUGGAACUAGGCCUUCACCAUGUGUUAAAGAGAAGAGUAUGGCUAGGAAAGUUUAGUUUUAUGUUCCUCUUGCCAAUUUUUGUUCAUUUUCCUUAAAUUUAGCCACAUUUUGGAUAUAGGGUUUCACCCCUUCAUCCUUCCCAACAGGUGGUGAUGGAGAGGACAUCCUGGAUGUAUAACUUAUCAAGGCUAGAUCCAUCAUACAUAUCCGAGGUCCAUAAGUUUAUUGAUGUCGCUACGAACCAUGCUUGGAGAACAAAGACAAAACACAUAUAUUGUCCAUGCAUGGACUGCAAAAAUGCUGCUGUAUUUAAUGACACAGAACAAAUCAUAUCUCAUCUGGUAUGCCGAGGAUUUAUGAAGGAUUACACAAUUUGGACAAAACAUGGAGAGGGUACCAGCUCUUCGCCUUAUACGACUGGAAACCCUGAGAACAUCGACGACAGAUUUCAGUUCGUUCACGAGACACACCAACCUCUUCCACAGAGCGAACAUGUAGUGCAAAAUGUUACUGAUCAUGGUUACGCUCGAGGAAAUGAACAUGAUAGACCUCAUGUUCUGCCAAGUGUUAUGGAUGAGGAAGAUGCAGAGUUGCUAGAGGCAAUGUUGCGUCGUCAUACAGAUCAAUCGAUGUUCUUAAUGAAAGGUAUGGAGUCCCUGAAGAAGGCAGCAGAAGAGCCUUUGUACGACGAGUCUAAGGGUUGUACCAAAGAGUUCACGACGCUCCGGUCUGUGCUAAAGCUGUUGAUGUUAAAAGCUAAAUAUGGUGUGUCUGAUGCUGGCUUCGAUGCGUUCUUGAGUAUUAUCGCAGACAUGCUUCCAAAGGAGAACAAUGUGCCUGCUAACACGUACUAUGCAAAGAAACUAAUCAGUCCGCUCACUAUGGGUGUGGAGAAGAUCCACGCGUGUAGAAAUCACUGUAUCCUUUAUCGAGGUGAUGAUUAUAAAGACUUGGAGAGCUGCCCAAAGUGCGGUGCAAGUAGGUACAAGACGAAUAAAGACUAUCGAGAGGACGAAGAGUGUGUUGCAUCCGUGUCUAAAGGGAAGAAGCGAAAGAAAGCCCAAAAAAAGACUUCAAAAUCCACGAGCAAAGAAAAAGAAGUAGACUAUUAUGCGCUCAAAAAGAUUCCUGCUUUGGUGAUGUGGUACCUCCCCGUCGUCGAUCGAUUGAGGUGUUUGUUCGCUAAUCCUGAGGAUGCCAGACUUAUGAGCUGGCAUGCUUCUGAUGAGCACAAAAACGAUGGGAAGCUUCGACAUCCAGCCGAUGGGAAGCAGUGGCAAGAUUUCAAUGACAACCACCGAGACUUUGCCGAUGAACCGAGAAAUGUUAGGUUCGCACUGAGUACUGAUGGAAUGAACCCAUUUGCUGAGAGGAGCAGCAAGCAUAGCACAUGGCCGGUGAUCCUCACCAUAUACAACCUUCCUCCAUGGUUGAUGCAGAAACGGAAGUACAUUUUGCUAACCAUCCUUAUUUCUGGACCUACACAACCUGGAGUUGACAUGGAUGUAUUUUUGGAGCCCUUAAUGGAGGAUAUGAAAAUAUUGUGGGAAACAGGUGUUCAAAUGUUGGAUGAGUAUCGUAAAGGUUCAUUCACGCUGAGAGCAAUUCUUUUUGUUACGAUCAACGAUUACCCUGCUCUCUUCACAUUAUCAGGCCAGUUUAAGGGAAAGGUUGGUUGCACAGUAUGCAUUGAUGGAACUGCUUACGUAUCCCUUGCUGCAUCUAGGAAGAUAGUUUACAUGAGGCACAGACGCUUUUUAUUGGAAGGACACAGGUACCGCAUGCGAAAGAUGGAUAAGUACUUCGACAAUAAUGGUGAACUACAUUCUACUGCUCCAUCGGGUAACAAUAGAGGUCAUAGAGUUUUUGAAAUAGUCAGGAAUAUCAAGUUUGUUUUCGGGAAGAAGACAAAAGACGGAAAAACAAGGAAGGAUGUCAAACCAGCUUCGGGGGCUAUAUUCAAGAAGAAGUCUAUUUUCUUCGAGUACUUGCCUUACUGGAAAGAGUUAGAUGUGCGGCAUGCGAUCGAUGGUAUGCACGUUCAGAAGAACGUGUUUGAAAGCAUAAUGGGCACCUUGCUAGACAUAAAGGGCAAAACAAAAGAAGGGCUCAAUUCACGCAUGGACUUGGUAGAUUUAGGCAUAAAAAAGGAACUACAUCCCGUUCUUCAAGAAAAUGGGAAGUACCAUCUCCCAGCAGCAAGCUACAAUCUCAAUGUAGAUGAGAAACAUGCGAUGUGUGUUUGGCUUAAGAAUUUGAAAGUCCCAUCCGGAUUCUGCUCUAGCAUACGGAGUAUUGUGUCAAUGAAAGACCUGACAAUCACCAACUACAACUCACAUGAUUGCCAUGUCAUGCUGACUACAUUUCUACCUAUUGCCAUCAGGGCUAUAAAUCCUUUGUUUUUAAAGAUGGCAAUCACACGGUUGUGCUACUUUUUCAACAGGAUUUCACAAAAGGUAAUUGGCCGUGAUGAGUUGGCAUCUCUUCAGGAAUUCGCAGUGGAGACAAUAUCACAGUUUGAGAUGUGUUUCCCUCCAUCGUUCUUUGAUAUUAUGGUGCACCUUGUGGUGCACUUGGUGCCACAAAUAGAGGCAUUGGGUCCUAUGUACUUGCAUGAAAUGUGGACGUAUGAGCGUUUCAUGUCAAUACUGAAUGGCUAUGUAUCAACCCGUGCUCGUCCCGAGGCAUCCAUGAUAGAGGGGUACUGUACCGAAGAGGCCAUUGAGUCCGGAGGUCCAUUCUGCAAUAGUAUCCUAAAAGACCAGGUUGCAAUAGGUCUGCCUCCGUCACGACACGAGGGUAGACUGUAUGGAAGCGGGAGGAUGGGACGGAAAUCUUUCAUCCCACCGGAUUACGAUAUAGUACUUGAGGCACAUCAGAGCAUCCUACAUCAGCUAACGAUAAUGGAGCCAUUUAUCCAACAACACAUCAAUGAGCUUCGCGAGCAAAAUCCUGGGCAUACGGAUGAUUGGGUAAUGAAGCAACAUAAGCAGCGAUUCAACACAUGGCUAAUGGUGAAGGACAUUCCACGUGGAGAAACAAUAGAAGAACAAACCAUCAAGGGCUUGGCAUCUGGACCAUCACGCCAGGUCACAACAUGGCAAACCUAUGACAUUAGUGGAUUCACAUUUUGUACCAAGUCCAAGGACAAAAAGAGCAUGUCACAAAACAGUGGUGUUCGAUGCGAGGCCAUAGAUGAUGAAACUGGUGAGAUUAUAACAUAUUUUGGCUUUAUUGAGGACAUAUGGGAACUAGACUAUGGUACAUUUCAGAUCUCGGUUUUCCGAUGUCAAUGGGUUGAAGACAAACAUGUCACGGUAGACAACUAUGGGGUCAGAGUUCUUGAUCUAAGUAAGGUAGGUUACAAAGAUGACCCAUGGAUCCUUGCUAAUCGUGCUGCACAGGUCUUCUAUGCUGAACAGAUCAUUUCUAACAAUGAGAAGAAAAGCACCGACAAACCGAAGCAUGUAGUUUUUCCUGGAAAACAACAAGCUAUAGGAGUUGAUGGUGUAUCUGAUUUAGAGAAUUUUAACCAGUUCAACGACAUGUCUCUUUUCAUAGACCAUCCAACCAAGAUAAGGAACGUUGAGCGAAGCAUCCCACGCAAUUCGUUGCCCUGGGUACGCCACGAUGGACAAGGCAGAACAAUAGCUUCCUAGAUUAUAUACUUGUCAUGUAAUUGAUUAUUGUUAGGAACUUGUCAUGUAAUUGAUUAUUGUUAGCGACAAACCGAAGCAUGUAAUUGUCUUCAUUCAAUUUUCGUGGCUACCAUUUACAAUUUUACAUGACUUUCUAUUGACUUUAUAGAGAGAGAGGAGAGGGAGAGAGAGAGGAGAGAGAGGAGAGGGAGAGGAGAGAGAGGAUGGAGAGAGAGGAGAGAGAUAGGAUGGAGAGAGAGGAGAGAGAGAGGGGAUGGAGAGAGAGGAUGGAGAGGGAGAGGGGAGAGAGAGUGGAGAGGAGAGAGAGGAUGGAAAGAGAGGAGAGGAUGGAAAAAGUAAAACAAUAUAUAAAAGUAUACUUAAUAUAAUAUAUAAAAAGUGAAGUAAAACAAUAUAUAAAAAACUAUGUUAAAUAAUAAUAAAAAACAAUUUCUACUGGCGGCUGUCAUAGAGAACCGCCAGUAGAAAUGGUUUCCACAGACUGUAGAAUCCAUUUCUACUGGCGGUUCUCUAUGACAACCGCCAGUAGAAAUGGUUUCUACUGGCGGUUCUCGUUGUCAACCGCCAGUAGAAAUGGCUUCUACAGUCUGUGGAAACCAUUUCUACUGGCGGUUCUCGUUAUCAACCGCCAGUAGAAAUGGCGCCUAUAUAAAGGUGGCGCGCGGGAGCCGAAAAUUUUACAAGUCCCUGGCGCCCUUUCACUUGAAGACGACGCCGUCAGGCUGCUGGAUUUCGACCCCGACGGUUUUCGCCGGCGAUCGUCCCCGCGCCCGUCCCCACGCCGCCAUUCCCGCCCCCGCACCGCCGUCUGCAGGUUUUUUCUCUUUCCCCUAAUCUGUACCGCCGCCGUCUACUACCGCGCCGGGCCGCCGCCGCCGCCGCCGCGUUUUAGUAAAACCUAGGGCACGCGCCGCCGCCGAGAGGGAGGAAGAGAGAUGAAGGAGAGGGAGAGGGAAGAGAGAGGAGGGAGAGGGAGAGGGAGGAGAGAGGAGGGCGCACGCGCCGCCCGCCGCCGAGAGGGAGGAAGAGAGAGGAAGAGAGAGGGAGAGAGAUAGAGGGAGGGAGAGGAGGGUGAGAGAGAGAGAGAGGAAUUUUAUACAUUGUAAUUUUAUGUGUUCAAAUGUAUGUUGAAUUCAUAUGUGUUCAAAUGUAUGUUGAAUUCAUAUGUGUUCAAAUGUAUGUUGAAAUGUAUGUUGAAAUGUAUGGUGAGAGAGAUAGAGGGAGGGAGAGGAGGGUGAGAGAGGGAGAGGAGGGUGAGAGAGAGAGAGGAAUUUUAUACAUUGUAAUUUUAUGUGUUCAAAUGUAUGUUGAAUUCAUAUGUGUUCAAAUGUAUGUUGAAAUGUAUGUUGAAAUGUAUGGUGAGAGAGAUAGAGGGAGGGAGAGGAGGGUGAGAGAGGGAGAGGAGGGUGAGAGAGAGAGAGGAAUUUUAUACAUUGUAAUUUUAUGUGUUCAAAUGUAUGUUGAAUUCAUAUGUGUUCAAAUGUAUGUUGAAUAUAUACAUUGUAAUUUUAUCCGUCACAACUCGAUAAUAUACGUAUCCGAUCCGAAUUCGAUCUGAACUCGAUAAUUUCCGUACGACUCUCCCUCUCUCCCUCUCUAUACGUCCUAUGCGACUCUCCCUCUCUCCCUCUCCUCGUCCUAUACGACUCUCCCUCUCUCUAUACGUCCUAUGCGACUCUCUCCCCGUCCUACACGAUACUAUACGACUAUACGAUACUAUAUGGUUAGGGUUUAGGGUUAUGGUUAGGGUUAAGGUUAGGGUUAAGGGUUAUAGUUAGGGUUAGGGUUAGGGUUAGGGUUAGGGUUAGGGUUAGGGUUUUGGGUCAGGGUUAGAGUUAGGGUUAGGGUUAGGGUUAGGGUUUUGGGUCAGGGUUAGAGUUAGGGUUAGGGUUAAGGGUUCGGGUUUUGGGUUAGGGUUAGGGUUUUGGGUUAGGGUUAGGGUUAAGGGUUUAGGGUUAGGGUUAGGGUUAGGGUUAGGGUCAGGGUUAGAGUUAGGGUUAGGGUUAGGGUUAGGGUUAAGGGUUCGGGUUUUGGGUUAAGGUUUCGGGUUUUGGGUUAGGGUUAGGGUUAAGGGUUUAGGGUUAGGGUUAGGGUUAGGGUUAGGGUUAAGGGUUCGGGUUAGGGUUAAGGGUUCGGGUUUUGGGUUAAGGGUUCGGGUUUUGGGUUAGGGUUAGGGUUAGGGUUAGGGUUUUGGGUUAGGGUUAGGGUUAGGGUUAGGGUUAGGGUUUUGGGUUAGGGUUAGGGUUAGGGUUAAGGGUUUAGUGCCCGCGAGGAUGUAUUUAAUUAUACUAUUUGUUAAUAUGAAUUUAAUUAUUGCUUACGUUAAUAUGUGUUAAUAUGUAUUUAAUUAUUGCUUAUGUAUUUGUAUAUAUAUAGCUCAAUGAGUUCUCCGAUCAAGGACCAAGGAUUAGUGCCCGAGCACAUGGACAAGAGUGUUGCUCAAGAACAAUCCAGCAGUGAAGGAUAUGAAACGCCUAGCGACCCUUUUCCUACCACUAGCAUAGAUAGGGCCGCUCUCCGUGAGUUGCAACGUGACCCUACUUAUGAUCCACGAGAAGCUGAGGUAAAAGUACGCAUCUUUAGCUUCGUAUGUGUACCCUACUGAUUUCACAUGCAUGAUCUCUUGUGCAUUUUAUUACAUGAAUAGGAGGUCGUGUCUGAAUUUCGUGCGAUACUCGAAGAAGCCGUGGCACGAUACGAAGACGUACCGGAGCCGACCCAAGACGCACCGGAACAGACCAAGACAACAACCGAGACAUCAAGGAAAAGGAAGCAGAGCGAUCGAAAAAGAGGUGACAGGGGGCUGAACAAAUUUCCCGACAAAACAUACAAAAUCUCAGACGUGAGCCCGAAAGGUCAGCCCCUAGCUCCAGAAGAGGCACUACCUAAGUUUCGGAAUGCACUUGGGUUUUUAGUUAGAGAUAAUCUUGACAUAACAAUACGACAGUGGAGAGAUGUGUCAGAUGAUGUCAAGAAUCAAAUAUGGAAUAAGCUAUUAAUGAGGUUCGUUCUGCCUCGGGGUUCAGAAGAACUCGUGAAGGAAUACACGAUGAAGCAGCUUGCAAUAAAUUUCCGAAACUGGAGGUCUGAGAUGAACACAAAGUUUGCAAAGAAAGGUCUGGACCCGACCAAAAAAUAUAAAAUCUCAGCAGGUCAGUGGGCAGUAUUUCUAGAGCAGAGGAGCAGCCCUGAUUUCAUAUCUCUAAGUGAGGCAAAUUCAGAACUAUCAAAGAAGAACAAGUACCGCCACCACCUAGGCACAGGUGGUUACAAGCGUCAGGUUCCUAAAUGGACACAAGAAGACGCCGAGAAGAAGGCUGCAGGGUUGCCGACGCUGUCCGAGCAACUUGGUGAAAGGGCGGCAAAUUGGCUCCGUGCUAGAAAACCAAGGGAAACCGAGACCGGUGUAUCUUUUGAUGAUCCCAUUGUCGAAGAAGCGGCAAAAAACAUAUAUACAAUGGCAGCUAAGCAGAGCGAAGGAACUUUUAAGCCACAAAGGGAAAGAGACAUCCUAACGGCUGGUCUCGGUAACCCUGAGCAUCCUGGUCGUGUACGAGGAAUCUCGUCUAAGGAAGGAUGGAAGGAAGGAUUCGGACCACAGUGGGAAGGUCUGUACAAGAAACGUGAUCGAUACAAGGAAGAGAUCGUGGAUUAUUUUAAGGAGGAGGCCAAGAAAGAGUUCAAAGCCAUGAUGUCUCAAAUGCUAUCGAAUCCUCCUCCAGAAUUGAUGCAACAGUUGGCGAGUGCGAUGUCUGUUCAACAGAUGACCACUCCACAGAUACAAAUAAUUCCAGCAGCUCAACCGCCGGCUUCCACAGAUUGUACGACAUUACCAAGCUCUGUUGCUUCAACGGGAAAUAAGGACCGUUAUCCAGUUGAUGACAUCACAAGGCCUGUGGCGUGCACACUGGUUAUAAGAUAUGGUAUUAACAAUAAACGUACAAAGAUAGUAGCCACAGGCCUUGCGAUCCCAGGACGCAAGUACCAUGGAAACGAUAUUCCAGAUGAUUAUUGCAAAGUAGAAGUGACGACGGUCGUCCAAGGAUACGAGGACGACAUGCUAGACAUCCCUGGGCCCGAAGGUAUCGAGAAACUUGGACAAGCUAUCAAGAAUUUUAUCCUUUGGCCUCGAAGGGAUGUCGAAUUGCUUGAUUGGUCGAAUUCGUCGCAGGUGUCGCAGGCCCAACCGUCUCCGCCUUCUCAAAUUGCUGUUCCUAUUGUACAUCCAUCCUCACCUCCUCAAACUUCACAUGCUGCUCCUCAUCCUUUUUCUGACCCACCGUCUCCGCCACAAGCAUCACCAUUCAGGGCUCCACCACCUUCUCCUCCCCAUCCUCUUGGUGACCCACUGUCUACGCCACCAUCAAGGGAUCCACCUUCUCCACAGCCAUCAAACGAUCCACGACCAUCAAAGAAAUCUAAACUUCCUAUACCAAAAUUGGUGUCCCCGUAUCAGAAAAAGAAGAGUAAAGCUACUACUGCUGGCACAGUUAGGUUUUUGAAAGGGAUUGGACGGAGCCUCACGUCACAAACUGUUGAUUUGGCCGAGCACGAGGAGUCUGCAAAAAAGGCUGAGGCAACGGACGCAAAGAUAAAGAAGCCAACUAAGGCAGAUUACAAAAACGUGCCUAAAAAAUAUGUGCCGGGCAGACCUCUGCUACCUCUUGACAAACUAAGAAAGGUCCCGGCUGGUGUUAAAAGGUUGCAUGACUGGUACAUGCGGGCAUCAUCGGUUGGCAUCGACACCAUCAGUGUGCAUAUACCAGACCAUGCUUUUAUUGGUUCGAACCAAAAGGCCGUUGUUACAUUCGAGGACAUGUGGUUAAUGAUGAACCUUCAGAGACUCGACGUGCAACUUGUAACGAUGUUUGCAUUGUAAGUGUCGCUCAUACUUCCACAUAUGUGUGUUAUUAUUAGUGAGCUGUAUAAAAUUUCAAUAUCUGACAUGCACGUGUGACUUGCAGAAUGCAACAUGAUCAGCAGGAGAUUCUUUACGGUACCAAGCCCAAUGCUAGUGCCAGUAAAAGGGUUGGGUAUCUCAACCCAAUACUUAUAUCCGAGGAAAGCCACACUUUUAGAAUCGGGAAAGACAACGAUGAAAUACGGGGAAAGACGGACGAAGAAGUUGAGAAGCGUAUAAAGGAAAUGAAGAAGGAUUUUGAAGCUCGAUACGCCACAUACAUAGGACAUGCAAUGCUUCAAUUUCAAGACAGGGAAGCCAUAAUGGCCCCGUACAACUUUAAGUAAGUGUGAUUUUGCAUAAAUAAAAUUAAUAAUUUCAAUACACAUGCAUCACAAAUUUGAUUCGUACAGGGACCACUGGAUAUGCUUCCUCAUUUAUCCUAAGGUUGGAAAGGUGCUGGUGCUCGACUCCUUGAACUUCGACCCUUCGACAUAUGCAACAUUCCUCAGCAUCUUAGAGCUGUAAGCCUUUUCUAUGCAUGCAUACUUUUAUCGAUUAAAAUUUGAGAAUAACAUGGUGAUUCUAUUUGAGAUCACAGUGCUUAUAGAUUCUAUAAGAUGAGAGGUGGAAAGUACGACCUGUCGAAAAAACAAGUGCCACUAGACAUCCAUCAUCACUGGCCGGUAAGUAUGUGAUUUUAUGAAUACAUAUCAUACACAAUGUUGCAACUAAAUAACCAAUCUCCCGUUAUGUAGUGCCACAAGCAACCACAAGGAUCGGUCCUAUGUGGAUUCUAUGCGUGCGAGUUCAUGAGAGUGAACGGACGAUACAUCACGAACCCUGACAAGGUAUUAUUAGUAAUAGUUAAGUAUGUAUUUAUGUCAUUAAAAGAUGCAAAUGUGUUAUUAUUGAGUAUAAAUAGAUGAUGUUUAUAAAAUUCCUUUACAGCAAUUUCAACGAGGAAACCCGGAGAACUUGACCGAAGCUGCAUUGUAUGGCAUAGUCGAGGACCUCUGCACAUUCAUAUUGAAAGAGGUCAUUCCCGCAGAAGGAAAAUAUCACGAUGCUUCCGGAACAUUAGCUUUGCCAGAGUUUAGAAUACUAACAAAAAUUAGUAGAUUAUCUCUUAGCCGAGAUAGUUAUUAGAGCUUAGGUGAAAACCUAUGAUGUAUAGAAUGCAUGAAGGAUAUAUGGUUGUAAACAAAAUACUUUCAUGUCGUAGAAUGCAUGAAAACUUAUGAUGUAUAGAAUUUAAUUUCAUGUUGCUUUCAAUAUCAAUAUAGAUCUAUAUAUAUAUAUGUUUGUGUGUGUGUAAAUAAAUAUAUAUAUAAUUCAGUAUUGUUUGAAAUUUUGAAAAAAGGCGGGAAAGUUCCACUGGCGGCUGAAUAAAGAAAACCGCCAGUGAAAAGUGCAUUUCCACUGGCGGUUUGCUUUAUAAAACCGCCAGUGAAAAUGCAUUUUCACUGGCGGUUUUCUUUAUUCAGCCGCCAGUGGAAAUGAACUUUUCACUGGCGGUUCCUUAAGAAAACCGCCAGUGAAAAUGCACUUUUCACUGGUGGUUCCAAAAUAACCGCCAGUGGAAAUGCUGAUUUCCACUGACCCCUAGCAUUGGCGGUACUGAAAAACGCCAGUGUAAAUAUGUUUAGAACCGCCACUAUAGAGCUUCUGUGUACUAGUGUUUCCACAUGCGGUUGAGUAAAUAAAAUCGCUCACGCUUUCUACUAAUCCCUAGCACUAGAGAUUCUGAAAAACGUCAGUGAAAAUGAGUUACGAACUACCUUUAUAUAGCUUCUUUGUACUAGUAUCUCAUCUGCUCUCUUAUUUCAAACGACAUUGUUUACAUGUAACUAGUGUUGUCUACAUAUAUAUAGGCAUAGCAAUGCACGAUUUAUUGGCCACGACAUUAGGCUAUCUCCAACAGUCUUACUGUCUCGCUUCUCAUUUCAAGCUACACUUUGUAAAUAGUGCAUCUACAGCGUUGCACGCUAUUGUUAAUUGUAGAGGAAAAAAAAUAUUUAUAUACCGGAUGUAAAUAAUCUAUUUUACACAACCUCUCACAUAUACCAGCUACUGGUCCAUUUAAAUAGAAGAAAAACAAGUUACUAAAGGGUUAUUUUGUAAAUUUUGAUAUGUCUUUGGGGUCUUUAAGUGGUGGAUGUGAUGGUAUGUGUCGGGGACCAUAAUUAGGGGUACCCCCAAGACUCCUAAUCUCAGCUGGUAACCCCCAUCAGCACAAAGUUGCAAAGGCCUGAUGGGCGCGAUUAAGGUCAAGGCUCAGUCCACUCAAGGGACACGAUCUCGCCUCGCCCGAGCCCAGCCUCGGGCAAAGGCAGCCGACCCCGGAGGAUUCACGUCUCGCCCGAGGGCCCCCUCAAGCAACGGACACACCUUCGGCUCGCCCGAGGCCUAGUCUUCGCAGAGAAGCAACCUUGGCCAGAUCGCCACGCCAACCGACCAUAUCGCAGGAGCAUUUAAUGCAAGGAUCGCCUGACACCUUAUCCUAACGCGCGCUCUUCAGUCGACAGAGUUGAAGUGACCACAGUCACUUCGCCGCUCCACUGACCGACCUGACAAGAAAACAGCACCGUCUGCGUCGCUCCGACUGCUGUGCCACUCGACAGAGUGAGGCUGACAGCAGCUAAGUCCAGCCUCGGGCGCCAUAGGAAGCUCCGCCUCGCCCGAUCCCAGGGCUCGGGCUCAACCUCGACGAUGGACGACGGACUCCGCCUCGCCCGACCCCAGGGCUCGGACACGGCCUCGGCCUCGGAAGACGGUCUCCGCCUCGCCCGACCCCAGGGCUCGGGCUCAACCUCGACGCUGGACGACGGACUCCGCCUCGCCCGACCCAGGGCUCGGACUCAGCCUUGCUUGGCCUCGGAAGACGGUCUCCGCCUCGCCCGACCCAGGGCUCAGACUCAACCUCGACCUCGGAAGACGGACUCCGCCUCGCCCGACCCCAGGGCUCGGACUCAGCCUCGACCUCGGAAGACGGACACGACCUCGACCUCGGUGGAGCCGCCACCUCGCCCAAACUCGGGUCCGGACCGGCCACGUCGCCAGGGGGGCCAUCAUUACCCUACCCCUAGCUAGCUCAGGCUACGGGGAACAAGACCGACGUCCCAUCUGGCUCGCCCCAGUAAAUAAAUAAUGAUGGCGCUCCGCGUGCUCCAUGACGACGGCGGCUCUCAGCCCCUUACGGAAGCAAGGAGACGUCAGCAAGGAUUCGACAGCCCCGACAGCUGUCCUUCCGCAGGGCUCCAGCUCUCCUCCGACGGCCACGACAUCACAUGAAUAGGGUGCCAAAACCUCUCCGGCUGCCACGACGACAUGUACUUAGGGCUCUAGCUCCUCUCUGCUAGACACGUUAGCACACUGCUACACCCCCAUUGUACACCUGGACCCUCUCCUUACGCCUAUAAAAGGAAGGUCCAGGGCUCUCGUACGAGAAGGUUGGCCACGCGGGAGAACGGUCCGGCGCAUAAGGCUCUCGCUCUCUCCCACGCGAACGCUUGUAACCCCCUACUGCAAGCGCAUCCAUCCGCCCUGGGCGCAGGACAACACGAAGGCUGCGGGUUCCCCUUUACUGUUCUCCCCCCUUUGUGUCCUGUCUCGCGCCGACCCAUCUGGGCUGAGACACGCAACGACAAUUUACUCGUCGGUCCAGGGACCCCUCGGGGUCGAAACACCGACAGUUGGCGCGCCAGGUAGGGGCCUGCUGCGUGUUGACGAACAGCUUCCCAUCAAGCUCCAGAUGGUAGUCUUCAGCAACCUUUCCAACCCGGGACGAUGCUCCGUUUCGAGAGUCUUGAGUUCAUGUCCCUCGACGGCAGCUACGACAUGAUACUCCUUCCUCCGCCGCGCGACAGUGACAAUGGCGGCCAUCAGCCCGCCCGCCGGCGGCGGAUUCAACGACGUCUUCCCCACAUGGCGGAAGAACAACAUUCAGGUUUGUCCCGUCACCUCCCCCACCAACGGAGGAGGAGGCGGGGCAACCAUGGCCAAGCAGGAGGCGGCACCUCGUCGGCUGUCGAGCAAGUCAACGACGCCGGCGCCCCAGCGGGGGACAUGUCGGGCUUCGACCUUGCGUCUGAGACGAAGAUGAACGUCGUUUCCCCGCAACACGCCAACCCCAAGCAGACGGACGACGCCAGCACGCUCACAAAGGACUUGCUGGGCGUUGCCCUCGUACCUGAGACAACGGUGCAGUCCGCCCCUGACGCGACUUCAUCACCGCCCGUCGACCAAGAGGUACCGACCGAUUCCCAUCUCGUGCCUUUUGGAUUCAGCUUCGACCUACCAAGCGACCUCGCUUCGGUGGAAGCCUUCAUAGAGGCAUGUACCAACCCUCCGGGGUACAUAUGCGGUCGCCCUGGGACAGACUGACGACCGUCUCGACCUACGGACCCUCGGAUUCCGAGGAAGAUGACGAGCCCGACUUUUGUUGGGAUUUCUCCGGGCUCGGUAACCCCAGUGCCAUGCAGGACUUCAUGACCGCAUGCGACUACUGCCUCUCCGAUUGUUCCGAUGGUAGCCGCAGCUUCGGCGACGAGGACUGCGGCCCAAGUCGUGAAUGUUUCCAUGUCGAUCUAGGGGGUCCCGGUGAAGGCAACCAUCUUGGUAUGCCGGAAAACGGCGAUCCCCUAGGUCUGCGCCUCGCGUUGACAUCCUUCGGGAGCUAGCUGUGGUCCCAGUCCCUGCGGGGGGUCAGGACGCACAGCUCGAGCAAAUCCGCGAGAUGCAGGCCAGGCUCGACGAGGGAGCAGGAACACUUGAGCAGUUCCGGCGGAACAUCGGGCAGGAAUGGGCAGACCAAGCUUCGGCCGGAGAAGCGCGUCAUCUACCCCAGGGCAUCCAGCACCGCAUUGCCGACGACAUCAGGGCAAGGCCGCCACCAGCUUCCAGUGGGGUUGGCCAGAACCUGGCUGCAGUAGCAAUACUACUCCGCGUGAUGCCGGAACCAUCGACCACCGAAGGGCGGCGUAUCCAGGGAGAGCUCAAGAAUCUCCUGGAGGAUGCCGCGGUCCGACGGGUCGAAAGCUCUGCCUCCCGAAGGCAGAGGUACCCCUCGGAGCAUCGCGCCGCGACUUCCCGAUUCGUGCGGGAAGCCUCGGUCCACACCGGGCGCACGCGCAACACGCCGCCUGCGGCCCCGGGUUGCCUCGGCAACGAGCACCACCACCGCAACCGUCGUGCCCACCUCGACGAGAGGGUGCGCCGAGGCUACCACCCUAGGCGUGGGGGACGCUACGGCAGCGGGGAGGAUCGAAGCCCCUCGCCCGAACCACCCGGUCCGCAGGCUUUCAGCCGGGCCAUACGACGGGCACCGUUCCCGACCCGGUUCCGAACCCCGACUACCAUCACAAAGUACUCGGGGGAGACAAGGCUGGAAUUGUGGCUCACGGACUACCGACUGGCCUGCCAGCUGGGUGGAAUGGAUGAUGACAACCUCAUCAUCCGCAACCUCCCCCUGUUCCUCUCUGACACCGCUCGAGCCUGGCUGGAGCAUCUGCCUCCGGGGCAGAUCUCUAACUGGGACGACCUGGUCCAAGCCUUCGCCGGCAACUUCCAGGGCACGUACGUGCGCCCUGGGAACUCCUGGGAUCUCUGAAGCUGCCGCCAGCAGCCGGAAGAGUCUCUCCGAGACUACAUCCGGCGAUUCUCGAAGCAGCGCACCGAGCUGCCCAAUGUCACCGACUCGGACGUCAUCGGCGCGUUCCUCGCCGGCACCACCUGCCGCGACCUGGUGAACAAGCUGGGUCGCAAGACCCCCACCAGGGCGAGCGAGCUGAUGGACAUCGCCACCAAGUUCACCUCUGGCCAGGAGGCGGUUGAGGCCAUCUUCCGAAAGGACAAGCAGCCCCAGGCCCGCCAGCCGAAAGACGUCCCCGAGGCGUCCACUCAGCGCGGCACCAAGAAGAAGAACAAGAAGAAGUCGCAAGCGAAACGCAACGCCACCAACGCGGACCUUGUCACCGCCGCUGAGUACAAGAACCCUCGGAAGCCUCCCGGAGGUGCCAACCUGUUCGACAAGAUGCUCAAGGAGCCGUGCCCCUAUCAUCAGGGGACCGUCAAGCACACCCUUGAGGAGUGCGUCAUGCUUCGGCGCCACUUUCACAAGGCCAGGCCACCGGCGGAAGGUGGCAGGGCCCACAACAACGACAAGAAGGAGGAUCACAAGGCAGAGGAGUUCCCCGAGGUCCACGACUGCUUCAUGAUCUACGGUGGGCCAGUGGCGAACGCCUCGGCUCGGCACCGCAAGCAAGAGCGUCGGGAGGUCUACUCGGUAAAGGUGGCGGCGCCAGUCUACCUAGACUGGUCCGACAAGCCCAUCACCUUCGAUCAGGGUGACCACCCCGACCAUGUGCCGAGCCCGGGGAAAUAUCCGCUCGUUGUCGACCCCGUCAUUGGCAACGUCAGGCUCACCAAGGUCCUCAUGGACGGAGGCAGCAGCCUCAACAUCAUCUACGCCGAGACCCUCGGGCUCCUGCAGAUCGAUCUGUCCUCGAUCCGGACAGGCGCGACGCCUUUUCACGGGAUCAUCCCCGAGAAACGCAUCCAACCCCUCGGACAACUCGAUCUGCCCGUCUGCUUCGGGACUCCCUCCAACUUCCGAAGGAAAACCCUCACGUUCGAGGUGGUCGGGUUCCGAGGAACCUACCACACAUUACUGAGGAGGCCAUGCUACGCCAAGUUCAUGGCCGUCCCCACUACACCUACCUCAAGCUCAAAAUGCCGGGCCCCAACGGGGUCAUCACCGUCGGCCCCACAUACCGACACGCGUACAAAUGCGACGUGGAGUGCGUGGAGUACGCCGAGGCCCUCACCGAAUCCGAGGCCCUCAUCACCGACCUGGAGAGCCUCUCCAAGGAGGCGCCAGAUGCGAAGCGCCACGCCAGCAACUUCGAGCCAGCUGAGACAGUCAAAUCCGUCCCUCUCGACCCCAGCAACGACGCCUCCAAGCAGAUACGGAUCGGCUCCGAGCUCGACCCCAAAUAGGAAGCAGUGCUCGUCGACUUCCUCCGCGCGAAUGCCGAAGUUUUCGCGUGGAGUCCCUCGGACAUUCCUGGCAUACCGAGGGAUGUCGCCGAGCACUCGCUGGAUAUCCGAGCUGGAGCCCGACCCGUGAAGCAGCCUCUGCGCCGAUUCGACAAAGAAAAGCGCAGAGCCAUAGGCGAGGAGGUCCACAAGCUGAUGGCCGCAGGGUUCGUCAAAGAGGUAUUCCAUCCCGAAUGGCUUGCCAACCCUGUGCUUGUGAGAAAGAAAGGAGGGAAAUGGCGGAUGUGUGUAGACUACACUGGUCUAAACAAAGCAUGUUCGAAGGUUCCCUACCCUUUGCCUCGCAUCGAUCAAAUCGUGGAUUCCACUGCUGGGUGCGAAACCCUGUCUUUCCUCGAUGCCUACUCAGGGUAUCACCAAAUCAGGAUGAAAGAGUCCGACCAGCUCGCGACUUCUUUCAUCACGCCCUUUGGCAUGUACUGCUACGUUACCAUGCCAUUUGGUUUGAGGAAUGCGGGUGCGACGUACCAAAGGUGCAUGAACCACGUGUUCGGAGAGCACAUUGGUCGAACGGUCGAGGCUUACGUCGAUGACAUCGUAGUCAAGACGAGGAAAGCCUCCGACCUCCUCUCUGACCUUGAAACGACAUUCCAGUGUCUCAAGGCGAAAGGCGUAAAACUCAAUCCCGAGAAGUGCGUCUUCGGAGUCCCCCGAGGCUUGCUCUUGGGGUUCAUCGUCUCAGAGCGGGGCAUCAAGGCCAACCCGGAGAAAAUCGCGGCCAUCACCAACAUGGGGCCCAUCAUGGACUUGAAAGGCGUACAGAGGGUCAUGGGAUGCCUUGCGGCUCUGAGCCGUUUCAUCUCGCGCCUCAGAGAAAGAGGCCUACCUCUGUACCGCCUCUUGAAGAAGACCGAGUGCUUCACUUGGACCCCCGAGGCCGAGGAAGCCCUCGGAAACCUAAAAGCGCUCCUUACCAGCGCGCCCAUCUUGGUGCCCCCCGCUGCCGGAGAAGCCCUCUUGAUCUACGUCGCCGCUACCACCCAGGUGGUCAGCGCCGCGAUCGUGGUUGAGAUACGAGAAGAAGGGCAUGCAUUGCCCGUCUAGAGGCCGGUCUACUUCAUCAGUGAGGUACUGUCUGAGACCAAGAUCCGCUACCCAUAAAUUCAGAAGCUGCUGUACGCGGUGAUUCUGACGCGGCGGAAGUUGCGACACUACUUCGAGUCUCAUCCGGUGACUGUGGUGUCAUCCUUCCCCCCUGGGGGAGAUCAUCCAGUGCCGAGAGGCCUUGGGUAGGAUUGCAAAGUGGGCGGUGGAGAUCAUGGGCGAGACGAUCUCGUUCGCCCCUCGGAAGGCCAUCAAGUCCCAAGUCUUGGCAGACUUUGUGGCUGAAUGCGUCGACACCCAGCUUCCAGCAGCUCCGAUCCAACCGGAACUCUGGACCAUGUUUUUAGACAGGUUGCUGAUGAAAACAGGGGUAGGCGCGGGCCUGCUCUUCAUCUCGCCCCUCGGGAAGCACCUCCUCUACGUGUUGCGCCUCCAUUUCCCGGCGUCCAACAACGUGGCUGAGUACGAGGCUCUGGUCAAUGGGUUGCGCAUCGCCAUCGAGCUAGGGGUCCGACGCCUCGACGCUCGCGGUGACUCGCAGCUUGUCAUCGACCAAGUCAUGAAGAACUCCCACUGCCGCGACCCGAAGAUGGAAACCUACUGCGACGAGGUUCGGCGCCUGGAAGACAAGUUCUACGGUCUCGAGGUCAACCACGUCGCCUGGCGGUACAACGAGACUGCAGACGAGCUAGCGAAGAUAGCUUCGGCGCGAACAACGGUUCCCCCGAACGUCUUCUCCUGGGACCUACAUCAACCCUCAGUCAAGACAAACGACACACCCGAGCCCGAAAAGGUCUCGGCCCUGCCCGAAGUGCCCUCGACUCAGCCCGAGGCACCCUCGGCCCCCGAGGGUGAGGCUCUGCGCAUCGAGGAAGAGCGGAAUGGGGUCACGCCUAAUCGAAACUGGUAGACCCCAUACCUGCAAUAUCUCCACCGAGGAGAGCUACCCCUCGACAGAGCCGAAGCUCGGCGACUGGCGCUGCGCGCCAAGUCAUUCGUCUUGCUGGGUGACGGGAAGGAGCUCUACCAGCGCAGCCCCUCCGGCAUCCUCCAGCGAUGCAUAUCCGUCGCCGAAGGCCAGGAGCUCUUACGAGAAAUACACUCGGGGGCUUGCGGUCAUCACGCAGCGCCUCGAGCCCUUGUUGAAAACGCUUUCCGACAAGGUUUCUACUGGCCGACCGCGGUGGCCGAUGCCACUAGAACUGUCCGCACCUGCCAAGGGUGUCGAUUCUACGCAAAGCAGACCCACCUACCUGCUCAGGCUCUGCAAACAAUACCCAUCACCUGGCCGUUUGCUGUGUGGGGUCUGGACCUCGUCGGUCCCUUGCAGAAGGCGCCCGGGGUCUACACGCACCUGCUGGUCGCCAUCGACAAAUUCUCCAAGUGGAUCGAGGUCCGACCCCUAAACAGCAUCAGGUCCGAACAGGCGGUGGCGUUCUUCACCAACAUCAUCCAUAGCUUUGGGGUCCCGAACUCCAUCAUCACCGACAACGACACCUAGUUCACCGGCAGAAAGUUCCUGGACUUCUGCGAGGAUCACCACAUCCGGGUGGACUGGGCCGCCGUGGCUCACCCCAUGACGAAUGGGCAGGUAGAACGUGCCAACGACAUGAUUCUGCAAGGACUCAAGCCGAGGAUCUACAACGACCUCCACAAGUUCGGCAUGCGAUGGAUGAAGGAACUCCCCUUGGUGGUCUGGAGCCUGAGGACGACGCCAAGUCGAGCCAAAGGACGAGGGCCUACGACGACCGACGCAACCAGACCAACCGAGAAGACUCACUGGACCAGCUGGAAGAGGCUCCGAACAUGGCCUUACUACACUCGGCGCAGUAUCAGCAGUCCCUGUGACGCUACCACGCCCGAGGGGUUCAGUCCCGAGACCUCCAGGUGGGCGACUUGGUACUUCGACUACGACAAGACGCCCGAGGGCGGCACAAGCUCAUGCCUCCCUCGGAAGGGCCGUUCGUCAUCGCCAAGGUUCUGAAGCCCGGGACGUACAAGCUGGCCAACAGUCAAGGCGAGGUCUACAUCAACGCUUAGAACAUCCGACAGCUACGUCGCUUCUACCCUUAAGAUGUUUUCAAGCCGUUCAUAUACCUCGUUUACAUAUAAAGUCUAACCAUCAAGGAAGGGUCAGCCUUGCCUCGGCAAAGCCCGACCCUCCCUCCGGGGCUAGAAGGGGGGGGGAACCCCCUCCGCGUCAAAAUUUUCCUCGGAAAAAGUCUUUCUGCCAGAAUAUCUUUCGUGCUUUUCGACUACUUUGGUAGUGGGAUCAUGAAAACGACGGAGUACACGUAAGCAGGCAAGGCCGACCGAGCCGAGGGACUCCUACGCCUCCGGGAUACGGAUACCUCACUCAUCGCCUUCUAUGAGAAGUAACUCGCGUUCAGAUGAGCGAUCCUGCUGACCGAACAAGCCUUAACGCUCAAAAGACUUUCUGCCGAAAUGGUUUUUCGGGUUUUCUCGGCUACGUUGAUAAUAGAAUCCCGCAGACGAGCAAGAGUACACGUAAGCGGCAAGGCCGACCGAGCCGAGGGAUUCCUAUGCCUCCGGGAUACGGAUACCUCACUCAUCACCUUUCGUGAGAAGUAUGAAGCGUCCCCAAUCCUCUGGGACUCAAAUGUGAUACAAUUACUAGUCCCAGGAGGCUAGUAAACACAUUUAUACAUCAGAUGAUUCCAGAUCUGCUUAAACGAGACAAACCUAUAAAGGUGGCGAUCAACUUUAAGAGUUGGUCCACAACUCGGGACAUAUCAUCAGAGUGGGGCUGAAGCAGCCCGAUAUACGCAGUGAAGCAAAUCAGCGGUCCAACAGCCACAGGCAAGGUUGGGAACAGUCGUAACUCUUACCCGAUCUCCUUUUUCUGAAAAACAACAAAUAAGCAAGGGUGAGUACAAACGUACUCAGCAGCCCACCUUCACCCGCGGAAUGGGGAAAUCAGAUAUAAUGCAUGGAAUAUGUGGAGCUCAGGAUAUUUUGCAGAAACAGCAAUAUUUUAUGCAGAGUUGUUUUGAAAAACAUUUUGUAUUUUUGCAAAGCGCAUCCUCUCCAAAAGGAGCAGGAGUUUUUCAGUAUUAUAAUAAAAUCCUCUGGACUAAACCAUCCAGGUAUCUCAGCAGUUUCCCACUGGUUUUCAUUUUCAAAAACAGCUACUGGACUUCCCGUCCACCAUAGCUCACGGCUCAACCGCCGAACCUUAUAAAAACCACUUUUCAAAAACAUCUCUUUUUUUUGGAAAACAAAACAUUAAUUGCCAUACCAUACCAGACUCGUCCAUUCCUGUGGACACAGACUAUUCGAAUAGGUUUUCAAACUCUGCGCAGAGGUGUACACUUUACCCACUAGUCCGGCUCUGUGAUCUCAUGAUCAAUGAGAUCCGAAUCCGAAUCUCUUUCUUUCCUCGCACGUCCUAACCUUAACGGUUAUCCGGAAGGAGUCAGGCCACCGCCAUGUCCAAACCGGACAAAACUUUCCCCCUCCUUAUCCUCCCGGUGCUCCCCAGCCUUCAUAACCCUGGGGUUGAACCGUACGAGUUCAGAUUGAGUGACUGCCCACACAGUCUCGAGUGGUUGUACUAUUAAAGAGUACAGGUAGUGAAGAUGACAAACCGGUCCUUAUACGAGGGGAUAAUCCUUCUGCUCACGCCUAAACCAGCUGAGCCAUCACCUUAGGCCCUCCCCUAAACCAGGGAGUCCCUGAUUAUCCCACUCACAAGGUGAUAAGGGUGAAAACCCUUCAUCAUACACAUUUUGAAAAGCAUUUUCUUUUGAAAACUCACACCCUUUCUCAAAUCAUUUGUAACAAAUAUAUUAAGGAGUGAUUGCGGCAAGCGGCUUGGGUGGCCAUAAUAACUUGUCACAAAAUCAUAUCAUGCAUAAAAUAACAGGCUGAGGGUUGUGGUUGAAAAACAUAGGUAAUUUAUGCAUCAAAGGGAUCCAGUGAGCUUGCCGUGCUUAUUCGGCGAAGGGGGAAGGGGAGCUCGCGGAACUGGCUUCUGGCUCCACCGCCUAGCGUAGACUUGCAGAUCUGGCCUCCACGAGACGGCACGAACGCUCCGAUAACUAUGCAACAUGAACAAGCAAACAUACAAACCAACAAGUAUACCAACAAAUAUUUAGUAUAGUGGUCAGAAUAGCGAUAUAUGGAUGGGUAGAGUCUUGAGUAGAAUCUGUGUCAUGUGGUGUUGUGAUAUUACUAGUGGUGGAGCGGAGGUGCUUACCAGGAGGGUGGACUGGAGGCGAAGCGACACUAUGUGUGUAGCCGGCAGAGCAGAGUAACUGAGUGGGUGGGGUGUUUGCCUUGGCUGAGGGUGUUGAGUGUGUGUGGAGAGGGAGAGGGUAGCUGGGUGUAUUUAUAGCUGGGUGUAUGUGGUGUAGCACAGUGAAGUUCACUGUUGGUGAGAAUAGUGACGAAUGAAUCGUCUGACUUAGUAUGAACAGGAGAGUUAUAGGCAGAAUAUGGGACAAGAGUAUUUUGGGAGUUUUCUGGAAUAUGGACCAUGCUUAAGGGAUGACAUGGUUGGGUAGGGAAUAGUUUGAUAAGAAUUUAGAAACGAGAUUUAUUGGAAUCUGAGUUUGGGAGCCUGGUUCGAAGGAUUCUCAAAGUUAAGCGUGCUCAACUUGGAGAAACCUGGGAUGGGUGACCAGAUGGGAAGUUCCCUACUGGAAGAAAAAUCACAGUCACCGGAGUUCGUAUGACUGGAAUAUGGGUCUGGCUGGUCUUAGGUGGACUGGACAACAUGAUGUACGAGUAGUUGAAAUUUGGGAUGACUAGAUGACUGAUGAAUAGUAACGAUGAUCAGUAACGAUGAAUAGUGGCGAUGGAAAAGAAAUUAUAGAUAUCAUCGAUGAAUAGUAACGAUGAUGAAUAGUAAUGAUAAAUAGUAACGAUGAUGAAUAGUGUAUGUGAAUAGUAAUGGUGAAUAGUAAUGGUGAAUAGUGAUAGUGAAUAGUUUGAACGAACGAUGAAUAGGAACUAUGAACGAACGGACGAACGAUCGAAUGAUCGGACGAACGAACGAUCGGAAUUUCGGCAGCAUAACGGCAGGAAAAGAUUAUUUGGACGAACGAACGGACGAACGAUCGAAUGAUCAUACGAACGAACGAUCGGAAUUUCGGCAGCAUAACGGCAGGACAAAAAUUAUCUGGAAGAACGAUGAAUAGGGACUAUGAACGAACGAUGAAUCGAUGAAUAGGGACUAUGAACGAACGAUGAAUGAUCGAAUGAUCGAACGAACGAACGAUCGGAAUUUCGGCAGCAUAACGGCAGGACAAAGAUUAUCUGGAAGAACGAUGAAUAGGGACUAUGAACGAACGAUGAAUCGAUGAAUAGGGACUAUGAACGAACGAUGAACGAUCGAAUGAUCGAAUGAACGAACGAUCGGAAUUUCGGCAGCAUAACGGUAGGAAAAAGAUUAUUUGGACGAACGAACGGACGAACGAUCGAAUGAUCGGACGAACGGACGAACGAACCAUGAACGAUCGGACGAACGAUCGAACGAUCAGACGAAUGAACGAACAAACUAAGAACAGGGGACGAACGAUCGAAGAACGACCGAACGAUCCUUGUGCUAGUGUGUGCUUGUGUGGAACAUGGACUGGGUGUGUGUGGGGGGGGGGAGAGAGUUGCCAUGAAAUGGCUUGGGGUGGGAUGAGAGGAGGCCCUUGCCCCUCUAUUUAUAGCCAUGGUGGGGGGAUUAGGGGGAGGGAUGAGAGGAUUAGUGGGAGGAUGAGAGGAUUAGUGGGAGGUUAGCAUGUAUUUGUCUUGUAUAAGUGUAAUUAGCUUGUAGAGCUCACCGUAUGACACUGGAGGCAUACGUAUACGUAUGAGCAUGAGGAAAGUUAUGAAGAAAAUAUUUAUAGGGACUUGAAAAAUGAUUCUGAAGGUAUUUCUCAGGAGGAAAAUAUCUGGAGAUAUAUCGGUGGAAUAUUUGGGCAGUAUUUCUGGAAAGAACUUGAAGAGGAUCACUAGGGAAAUAUCUGGGCAAUAUUUCUGUAAACAAUUUGAGGGGGAUCACUGAGGAAAUAUUUGUAGGAUAUUUUGAGGAGGAUUUUAGAGAGAAUAUAGACCACUAUACUUUAUUUGUUGAUAUCAACUCGCAAACAAACAUUUUGAAAUGAAAUUUGAAAUUCAUUUUGAAUUUAUAGCAAGUUUGAGAAAGUUUCAGGAUUUGAAUUUUUGGGAUGCUACAAAUCUACCCCACUUAAAAGGAAUCUCGUCCUCGAGAUUUGGCUUAGAAGGGUUAUGGGUAUAGCUUUACUUCAGCUACAUAUCUUCACUUUGCAGACUCUUCGAGGAGAUAGAGCUUCAACAAAAUCUGGCCUUGAGGGGCAUCCGGUUGCUAAUUGCAAGCGCUGAUUCUCGCUACUCAAGAUCAUCUUCAGGUUUCUAGGUUUCGCUUGGCAGCUAGCUUAUUGAAGAAGCAUCAAUGCCAACACGCAAACCUUUCUCUUGCGAACUUCCACAUGGAUUCCUUCCUUGAUUGGUCUUCUGGUGCUUCAUCAACAAAACUUGGGUGACCACUUCUCAUCCAGAAACUUAUAUGCUUGGACGAUCGGGUCCUCCACAAGCUUGCUACAUGCCUUCAUCUUUUUCUCCAUAGCAGGAACCUUACUGGAACACUACCCCACUUAAAAAGAAAGAGGGUAGAACUCUUGAAUCUUGGGGAUUUGAACUCCUUGAAGUACCUCAUAACAAAGGUGUUACGGGGCCUUCUUCUGCUGUUGCUGCUUGAGCAGGCUGCGGAGAAAUGACUGACACAGGGUUUAUUCUGGGACAACCUUCUUCUCAUCUUCUCUUCACUAUCUUCUUUUCUCUUCUCACUUUUCACUUUUCACUGCCUCUUUCUUUCUCUUUGCUCUUCCCACUCGAGGAUUCUAUCAAAGAGUAUUACCAUCAUACAGAGGAGGAAACCGAAGAUGUUGAACCAUAUACAACAGUCUUCAACCCAAGAAUCACCAAGCAUUGUGAUCUCAGGGGCGAGGGGUGGAAAAAUGGAGUUGCUAGCGAUUUGGCAGAGGGGAUUUAUCUGGAGUGUGCUUUUGCUUUGAGCGAGAUGGGAGUUGAGGGAGAUGGUGGGGGGCUUUUAUAGGCGAGCGGGGGUGUUCGGUUGCGGAGCAGUGGUGAUGGAGUAGGUGCUACGCGGCAGCGGGUGCGAUAAGGGGAGGGGGGCCUGGUGUUGCCGGCGAUGAUGGUGGCGGUGGGUGCGCUGCAAAGGUGGCGUGGGCGGUGGUAGUGCGCUGCAAAGGGGGCGUGGGGCGAUGGUAGUGCGCAUGGAGGCAGGCACGCGUGCGAGGGGCACGGGUGAGUGGUGGGGUCAAUGACCCUGAUGUUUGUGGUCUCUGGUUCCAAGAAUCUUUGCCUCUCUGUAUGGUAAUAACUCCUUCUGUCCUCUUUUCCUGUUUACUUUGACUCAGGGGCAGUGCUUUGAUUCUUACGGUCGGUCCUUUUGACUGAGCGACUGGACUGGUUUCUUCUGUAGCUUGUUCCAGGCUUCAAGGGUAAGCUUCCCGGUAUCUUCUUGGGUAAGGCACUUUUCUCUUGGGAUGGGUUAAGAUGAGAAUGGAAGCAUAAGGUGAGGAUUAGAUCUAAUUUGUGAUCUAUGUUUUUUAGAGAAAACCUUUCUUAAAAAACACACAAGCUCAGCAAUGAUAAGCACAAACAAAUCGAAUGUUUUGAAUAAGGGAAGAAUAGAGUUUUUCCAAAGCACGGACUACUCAGAUUCGGGGGCUAAGCAUAACUACUAUUGCUUGGCUCCUGAAUUGAGAACUAUGCUAAAUGCAACUUAUGAGCACUAACGUUAAAGCAUCACAUAUGCACUCAAAAGGGAGGAAAACAUCAAGCGAAAUUCAUUUUGAAAUGCCCUAGGGGGCAACACAAAUAGAGUUUUUCAAAGCACGGGACUACACGAUUAACUCUCAUACAUGCAGGGCUCUAGCCAAAGUGAAGAAAAACUUCACUACCCAAUGCAUGCAGAGGACUGGGCAUACUAACUUCAGACCAGACAACUUCUCUUCUGGCAGGGCUGGCACACAACUUCAAUCCGAGACAUCUCCUGGAUGGGUCAAGAGGGAGCUGACGUUGAUGACUUCUUCUGGCGGCGACUGAGAUGGCAGGACAGGGUCGAACUCUUCUUCAAGCGGGACUGGCUCUUGUAGCUCCUCUGAGGGCGGCGGUGCUGGCGGGGUGCUUGCAGCUUCUUCCUUGACCUCAAGGGAUGGUGCUGGAAUCUUCUUCAUGGUGAGGGGCUCAAACAACUCUGGCGGGGGAUCUUGGGAGGAUUCAGGGUGCUCUUGCUUAUCCAUAGCCUGAGGGGAGACUGGAAUUCCUUCCAAGACUAUGGCUCCUUCCGGUAGUUCCCAAAUCUUCUUCUCUCCUCUGAUAGAGACCAGGUGACCUUCAAGAAUCUGGGGGUCUUCAGUUUUGAUGGGUUCAACAGGGUUGGAUGGAGCGGGCUCUUGGAUCCGCAGGGCUCUACGUUGGUUAUGGGUGACCAAGUAGGCCUCCAUCAACUUCUAGACGUGCUCAUCCUUGGCUUGCUUCAGGGCUUCCACAACAAUGACUUCACGACUUUCCAAGGCAGCUACACGGGCUUGAGCUGCGGUGAGAUCCACAUGCAGCUGACGGUUGCGCUUCUCUGCAUCUUCUGCUCGGGCAAUCAUCUGACGGUGGUGCCGAGCCAAGAAAUCAUACUGUGCAUCAAGGGUGAGCAGGUAUGCAGUGAGGUACACGACUGUGGGGUCAUCCUCAAGCAGCUGCUGCCCUUCCAAUGCACGCAUCCUGGCCAUCCAAGCGGGACGGUCUCUCUGAAAGGGCGGAAAGAAUCUGAGCGGAGUGUCGGCCACUUCUUCUUCAUAGAUCUGACACAGGGCCCUCAAUGCCUUACGGGCGACGUCUUGGCAGGUGUCUCUGAAUCUGUGCCCAGCAGCAGUGACACUCCAUUCCACAUGGUGUGGACUGGAUCCAAUGUAUAUAGUCACGACACACUUCUCUGUGCCAUGCUCGACGAAUUCACGACCAUCAUACUCUGGCUGGCUCCUGAUUCCGAGGCGAACUGUGCAUGCUCUCAGCAACUUGGGGAAACCAUCUUCAUUCUGGCAAAAGCUGGUUUGGCACUGAACCUCCAUCUGACUUCUGAGAGAAGGAAAGGGGGAAAACAUUUUUGAAAUGAAGGGAUGAGAGCAAGAAUUUUUUUUUAAGAAAAUAGUUUUGACUCAAAAACUUUUGAUCAGGCUAAGGGUUACGUCCUGCGGACAACCUAACAGCUCUGAUACCACCUGAAGCGUCCCCAAUCCUCUAGGACUCAAAUGUGAUACAAUUACUAGUCCCAGGAGGCUAGUAAACACAUUUAUACAUCAGAUGAUUCCAGAUCUACUUAAACGAGACAAACCUAUAAAGGUGGCGAUCAACUUUAAGAGUUGGUCCACAACUCGGGACAUAUCAUCAGAGUGGGGCUGAAGCAGCCCGAUAUACGCAGUGAAGCAAAUCAGCGGUCCAACAGCCACAGGCAAGGUUGGGAACAGUCGUAACUCUUACCCGAUCUCCUUUUUCUGAAAAACAACAAAUAAGCAAGGGUGAGUACAAACGUACUCAGCAGCCCACCUUCACCCGCGGAAUGAGGAAAUCAGAUAUAAUGCAUGGAAUAUGUGGAGCUCAGGAUAUUUUGCAGAAACAACAAUAUUUUAUGCAGAGUUGUUUUGAAAAACAUUUUGUAUUUUUGCAAAGCGCAUCCUCUCCAAAAGGAGCAGGAGUUUUUCAGUAUUAUAAUAAAAUCCCCUGGACUAAACCAUCCAGGUAUCUCAGCAGUUUCCCACUGGUUUUCAUUUUCAAAAACAGCUACUGGACUUCCCGUCCACCAUAGCUCACGGCUCAACCGCCGAACCUUUUAAAAACCACUUUUCAAAAACAUCUCUUUUUUUUGGAAAACAAAACAUUAAUUGCCAUACCAUACCAGACUCGUCCAUUCCUGUGGACACAGACUAUUCGAAUAAGUUUUCAAACUCUGCGCAGAGGUGUACACUUUACCCACUAGUCCGGCUCUGCGAUCUCAUGAUCAAUGAGAUCCGAAUCCGAAUCUCUUUCUUUCCUCGCACGUCCUAACCUUAACGGUUAUCCGGAAGGAGUCAGGCCACCGCCAUGUCCAAACCGGACAAAACUUUCCCCCUCCUUAUCCUCCCGGUGCUCCCCAGCCUUCAUAACCCUGGGGUUGGACCGUACGAGUUCAGAUUGAGUGACUGCCCACACAGUCUCGAGUGGUUGUACUAUUAAAGAGUACAGGUAGUGAAGAUGACAAACCGGUCCUUAUACGAGGGGAUAAUCCUUCUGCUCACGCCUAAACCAGCUGAGCCAUCACCUUAGGCCCUCCCCUAAACCAGGGAGUCCCUGAUUAUCCCACUCACAAGGUGAUAAGGGUGAAAACCCUUCAUCAUACACAUUUUGAAAAGCAUUUUCUUUUGAAAACUCACACCCUUUCUCAAAUCAUUUGUAACAAAUAUAUUAAGGAGUGAUUGCGGCAAGCGGCUUGGGUGGCCAUAAUAACUUGUCACAAAAUCAUAUCAUGCAUAAAAUAACAGGCUGAGGGUUGUGGUUGAAAAACAUAGGUAAUUUAUGCAUCAAAGGGAUCCAGUGAGCUUGCCGUGCUUAUUCGGCGAAGGGGGAAGGGGAGCUCGCGGAACUGGCUUCUGGCUCCACCGCCUAGCGUAGACUUGCAGAUCUGGCCUCCACGAGACGGCACGAACGCUCCGAUAACUAUGCAACAUGAACAAGCAAACAUACAAACCAACAAGUAUACCAACAAAUAUUUAGUAUAGUGGUCAUAAUAGCGAUAUAUGGAUGGGUAGAGUCUUGAGUAGAAUCUGUGUCAUGUGGUGUUGUGAUAUUACUGGUGGUGGAGCGGAGGUGCUUACCAGGAGGGUGGACUGGAGGCGAAGCGACACUAUGUGUGUAGCCGGCAGAGCAGAGUAACUGAGUGGGUGGGGUGUUUGCCUUGGCUGAGGGUGUUGAGUGUGUGUGGAGAGGGAGAGGGUAGCUGGGUGUAUUUAUAGCUGGGUGUAUGUGGUGUAGCACAGUGAAGUUCACUGUUGGUGAGAAUAGUGACGAAUGAAUUGUCUGACUUAGUAUGAACAGGAGAGUUAUAGGCAGAAUAUGGGACAAGAGUAUUUUGGGAGUUUUCUGGAAUAUGGACCAUGCUUAAGGGAUGACAUGGCUGGGUAGGGAAUAGUUUGAUAAGAAUUUAGAAACGAGAUUUAUUGGAAUCUGAGUUUGGGAGCCUGGUUCGAAGGAUUCUCAAAGUUAAGCGUGCUCAACUUGGAGAAACCUGGGAUGGGUGACCAGAUGGGAAGUUCCCUACUGGAAGAAAAAUCACAGUCACCGGAGUUCGUAUGACUGGAAUAUGGGUCUGGCUGGUCUUAGGUGGACUGGACAACAUGAUGUACGAGUAGUUGAAAUUUGGGAUGACUAGAUGACUGAUGAAUAGUAACGAUGAUCAGUAACGAUGAAUAGUGGCGAUGGAAAAGAAAUUAUAGAUAUCAUCGAUGAAUAGUAACGAUGAUGAAUAGUAAUGAUAAAUAGUAACGAUGAUGAAUAGUGUAUGUGAAUAGUAACGAUGAAUAGUAAUGGUGAAUAGUAAUGGUGAAUAGUGAUAGUGAACAGUUUGAACGAACGAUGAAUAGGAACUAUGAACGAACGGACGAACGAUCGAAUGAUCGGACGAACGAACGAUCGGAAUUUCGGCAGCAUAACGGCAGGAAAAGAUUAUUUGGACGAACGAACGGACGAACGAUCGAAUGAUCAUACGAACGAACGAUCGGAAUUUCGGCAGCAUAACGACAGGACAAAGAUUAUCUGGAAGAACGAUGAAUAGGGACUAUGAACGAACGAUGAAUCGAUGAAUAGGGACUAUGAACGAACGAUGAACGAUCGAAUGAUCGAACGAACGAACGAUCGGAAUUUCGGCAGCAUAACGGCAGGACAAAGAUUAUCUGGAAGAACGAUGAAUAGGGACUAUGAACGAACGAUGAAUCGAUGAAUAGGGACUAUGAACGAACGAUGAACGAUCGAAUGAUCGAAUGAACGAACGAUCGGAAUUUCGGUAGCAUAACGGUAGGAAAAAGAUUAUUUGGACGAACGAACGGACGAACGAUCGAAUGAUCGGAUGAAUGGACGAACGAACCAUGAACGAUCGGAUGAACGAUCGAACGAUCAGACGAACGAACGAACAAACUAAGAACAGGGGACGAACGAUCGAAGAACGACCGAACGAUCCUUGUGCUAGUGUGUGCUUGUGUGGAACAUGGAGUGGGUGUGUGUGGGGGGGAGAGAGUUGCCAUGAAAUGGCUUGGGGUGGGAUGAGAGGAGGCCCUUGCCCCUCUAUUUAUAGCCAUGGUGGGGGGGAUUAGGGGGAGGGAUGAGAGGAUUAGUGGGAGGAUGAGAGGAUUAGUGGGAGGUUAGCAUGUAUUUGUCUUGUAUAAGUGUAAUUAGCUUGUAGAGCUCACCGUAUGACACUGGAGGCAUACGUAUACGUAUGAGCAUGAGGAAAGUUAUGAAGAAAAUAUUUAUAGGGACUUGAAAAAUGAUUCUGAAGGUAUUUCUCAGGAGGAAAAUAUCUGGAGAUAUAUCGGUGGAAUAUUUGGGCAGUAUUUCUGGAAAGAACUUGAAGAGGAUCACUAGGGAAAUAUCUGGGCAAUAUUUCUGUAAACAAUUUGAGGGGGAUCACUGAGGAAAUAUUUGUAGGAUAUUUUGAGGAGGAUUUUAGAGAGAAUAUAGACCACUAUACUUUAUUUGUUGAUAUCAACUCGCAAACAAACAUUUUGAAAUGAAAUUUGAAAUUCAUUUUGAAUUUAGAGCAAGUUUGAGAAAGUUUCAGGAUUUGAAUUUUUGGGAUGCUACAAAGUAACUCUAGCUCGGAUAAACGAUUCUGCUACCGACGAGCAAGCCCUGAUACUCGAAACAAGAGGAAAAGAAAUGCAGCUUUACAACGCGACGACAGUAUGUUUGGGCCUCAGCGGCCACAAAAAACAUAUGCAUACUACAGGCGAACCGGUCCUGCAGGCUCAGACGUCGAUGGAGGGGGAGCAGCAGCACCCUCGGCGUCAACUCCACCUUCGGCGAAGUCCGACCGAGCCUCGGACGGCAACACGGACGAAGGAUCUCCACUCCGAAGGACGACGUCAGCACCACGCCCGGGCCAUCGCCGCCAGGGUCUCCUUCAGGAACCCGGCCCGAGCAGACGGCUCGGCCGGCCACCCCGAAGCCUCAGCCAGCUGUCCCCCGAGGACACCAGCCCGGCUCAUGGCCUCGGCAACCUGACUCCGGCGCUGGUCCCGCCAGUGGACGGCCUGGCCAGGCUCUGGCCGACGAAGUCUUCUUUUCGAGCCAACUCUGCCUCUGUCCAUGCUGACACCGCUGCCUCUGGCUCCGGCUCAUCGCAGAGCGGCCGAGGGUUCCUUUAACUAAGCAAGAGAAGCCUCGGGCGGCAAGGCCGACCGAGCCGAGGGACUCCUACGCCUCCGGGAUACGGAUACCUCACUCGUCACCUUCGCACGAGGCAACUCACACUUGGUUAAGCGGUUCAGUUAGCCGACUGGCGAGUCCUAGUGCUCGAAAGGAGGAAAAACAUGGUAUUACACCAAAAAUACCCACAUGUUCAGGCCCCGACAGCCACAAUGAACAGACACCGGCACUCAAGGUGCCAUUACAAACGGAACUCCGGUUCCACCCCCGCAGGUACGAACAACCCCCCACAUUGGAGGGCCUGCGGGGCGACGAAACCCCAGGUGGCUCACCGCCGCCCGCUCCGGCAGCAGCGACAACGACCUCCGCUCCAGGUGGCCAAACAACAACAGCGAUGGCCUCAGGGCGGACGCUGCUGCAACAAGGCCCUCGCCCACGUCCCCACUCGAGGGGCGAGGACAAGCUAUCAAAGCCAAAGAGCCGGAGGCCUGGAGCGCGGAUGGUGGCGGUGAUCCCGUCGGCGAUGAGGAAUUCUUCAGCCGCCACCACCUCCGCGCCGACGACGGAAGCCAUCUGCCCACCGGCAGAUCCCCACUCGAAUCCUCCCGGACGGGCGAGCACCGACCUCCGCGUAGAGGCGCCGUACCGGAGCAAAGACAGGACAGCCCAAGAACACGAACGCCGCCCUAGCAGCGCGCGACAUCUUGGGCGGUCCUCCGGUGCGCGCGGUGCGACAACCGCUCUCGCGGCGGGAGGGGGCACCGGGAGCCGAGCCAGAGCCAGCUGAGCCAGCGAGCCCAACGCGCUGAAGCAGACGACGCUCGCCGCCGACCAGCCCCGCGUUGUCGAAGUCCGACCCUCCCGCUAGGCCGGUGAGCGCCCUCUCCCCUGAAUGCUGAGGGAGAAGGUGACCCACGAACCCGCGCGGGAGGUAGAGCUCCGGCUCAGUCCGGCCUCCGCCCCAGCCAGGAUGAUGAAGAUCCUUGAAGCUGAGGGCGAGGCAGAGGUCGCAGCCCGGCUUGCUUCUCCCCACCAUCAAACUGGUGGUCACCGUCUUGGGUGACCACCGGCGAGGGGAUGCAGCCGAGCUGCCUGAUGAAAAUCCUUAAAGCCGAACGAUGGCUGAAAGGUACCAACUUCCGCGAAGUUGCGUUCCCCCGACGACGACAAGACGAAGGCGACGCGAGUGCUCCCCAUCCGGGGGCUCGGAAGGUGGAAGGACGCGAUGCAUGAAGGGAGUGCGAAGACAUGGUUGCCAUCCAAGGGGGUCACCCUCCUUUUAAAGGCGACUCUCCCCACCUGCGUCCUCAGCCGGCGCGGACUGAGUCUUCUCCAACACGCUCCAAAGUCCUCCCCCUACGACACGGGGGCUGGGUCCCACGCGUCAUGCAAGCUGGCCCAGGACAGAAGAGGCUAAACCGCCGCGCGCGGAGCGCACAACAGCCCAGCGGUUACAAGCAUUCCUCCACUAUCGCCCGGACCAACGGGUGAAAGGGCGAACCGCCAUGCAGGCGGCAUGCAACCGCACCAAGGGAGCGCACCCUUUCGACUUCGACGCGUCCAGCAUGGAGGCCCAGGCCCACACGUCAUGUAACCGGCUCGCCAGUUACUACGUGCGAGAAACUGCACCGCCACUCGCGCCAGUACCGCACCUCCUCGACUGCGGAACCGGUGCUGCGACUCGAGGCGACCCUGCGCAUGACCCAACAGUGCCAACCGAGCACAUCGGUCACGGGUCAGUCAGCCGCGGGAGAAGGCGCGACGGUCGAUAUGGCCAGAAAUGGGCCGGUAGUAAUGGCGGUGGCAGGCGGGCGGAAGCAGCAGUCAAGUCGCCUGCAGACUCACGUCCCCUCCUGGGACAGCAAGAGAGCCCUGUCCCACGGAGUGAAGACGACGCGCCCGUGUUCCGUUCCUCGAACGGCUCGCGCACGCACAACGGCUGCCCCGCGAACCACUCGUCACAUCGCAUUAACUCUGCGGCAGGACAGGCGGCACCUUUGGCAGGCAAAGCAGACAACGCUUCACCUUCGCCAUGAUGACCGCGUCAAAAAAGGUGUGUCACGUCAUUCGAUUUCGCAUCCUUUUCCACUUCCUCUUUCUCUCUCUUGCUACAGGGACCGGUAAAGGGGAUACUCCGAAAGGGAUCCUUCUCCGCAAAGGAAGCGGGCCCCGAGCCCCCCUACUGAUCAGAGGUUCGAAGGCUGGCCCCUCGGAAGGGUUCAACAGCCGCCUCAGAGCACUCGGGCUCCGCGCCCACUACUGGUCAGAGGUUCGAAGGCUGACCCCUCAGAAGGGUUCAACGGCCGCCUCAGGCCACUCGGGCUCCGCGCCCACUACUGAUCAGGGGUUCGUAGGCUGGCCCCCGAAGGGUUCGACAGCCGCCUCAGAGCACGCAGAGCGAGGGAUGACCCUGGGUACGUUCGAUACAUAACCAAGGCUCGGGCUACGCUCCCGAGGUACCCUAGGACAUUUCCGAGACCGACGGGAACGAUUUUGUAACGGAAUCCCACCAGAGGGAGGCAUCGAGCCCUCGGACCCCGUCAAAAGUGGACCGGGUCCGGCGAAUCACCCGCAGGUACUUUUGGAGCGCGCCUCCGGGCCACUAGCCGACCCCUAACGAAUGGGGCACGGGCGUCCACUCGGAUUACCCGUUAGCAACUCGCUGGAGACACCAUGUUCGGCGCCCUCCGAGGGCAACAUGGUGCUUUCCCCCUCUCCUCCUUGCGGAAAGGCGACGCAGGGGCGUAUGAAAAAGCCGAGUUUGUCCUUGACCGUCCUCUCGCUCUGUGCGGGAGGCUCGGGGGCUGCUCUCGCAAACCCGGCUCCGGCCAAACCGUUGACAACGUCAACAUACCAGCCCGAGAACUUGGGACUCAACUAUGCACCCGAGCUACGGCUAGUUCGCAUGAGGGAAGAACCAGACCGACCGAAGCAUCACGAAACGCGCUAAGACCUCGAAGGAGUCAAACCACUCCUCCGAGGCCUCGGGGGCUACACCCGGCGGGUGCGCUCGCGCGCACCCACCGGAACGAAAUGCAACCGAGAAAGGCCGGUCCCCUUGCAAAAAAGUGCGACAAAAGCCUCCAAGCGAGUAUCAACACUCCCUUCGAGGCUCGGGGGCUACUGUUGGGGACCAUAAUUAGGGGUACCCCCAAGACUCCUAAUCUCAGCUGGUAACCCCCAUCAGCACAAAGCUGCAAAGGACUGAUCACUACGACAGCUACAGGCAUUUUCGGCGGCCAAGCCGCCGAAAAUGAGCCCUUUACCGCCGAAAAUAAGCUAUUUUCGGCGGCGUCUGGCCCCCAAAAAAAUCCGGCCGAAAAUAAGGCUUUAUUUUCGGCGGCCAGGACCUGGCCGCCGAAAAUAAACUGUUAUUUUCGGCGGCCACGUAGUCAGCCGCCGGAAAUUAAUACUGCCGAAAAUAAUAUACCUAUUUUCGGCGGCCAGGGAGGCCGCCGAAAAUUACUAAUUUCAGAGCAAAAAAAUUGAAAAAUGCGAAAAAUAACAGAAUUUCAUACAAAAUUCAUACAAUACCAGAAAUUUCAUACAAUAACAGAAAAUUCAUACUUGAGUUCACAACAUAAAACUUGAGUCCAUACAAAUAUAAAGUCCACAAAUAGUCCAUACAAACAUAAAAUCCACAAAUAGUUCAUUACAACACAGUGCGUCACAAAGCUAACUUAAUCACACAUUGGGGUCGUUGGAGUUGUGUCCACUACCUCCAGAAGCCAAGAACUGGUUGACGAAGUCGUGUAACGGGUUUGGAUCCUAAAGAAAAAAAAGACAUUAAUAACGACAUUGGUUACAUGUAUAACGACUAUUCAAACAAAUUGUUUCUCAAACUAACCUCUCCUGCAUAAGCUCCCUCCCCUGCAUAAGCUCCUCCUGGUGCUGGUAUGACCGGUGGUGGCGUGUUGUGGCCCAUGACCCCGGAUCCCUACAAAAUCAAGUUUAGUAAAGAUUUGAAAUUAGGUUGAUACAAACGACAAGUCUUAACUAAAUUGAAGCACCUGAGGUGGAGGUGGUGGAGCAUGUAAUCCCCACUGAGGCAUCGGCGGCUGAAACUGAGGGAAAACAAAUGGCUGCUGUUGUGCCUGCUGUGGAAACCAAGACUGUUGCAAAUAUAAUAUAUUAGUUAUAGAACCAAUAUCGAGCGUGUUGAGAAUAAAUAAGACACUCACGUUCAUUGCUUGUUGCGCCUGUGUGUUGUAAGCAGCCAUGUACUCUGAUUGCUGUUGGAGAAAUGCCAUUUGUUGUUGCCGCAGCUCUUCACGAAACUUUUCUUGCUGCUCCCUCAUAGCUUCCUCCAUGCUAGAUACAAAGCGGCGACUACGGCUGCUACUACCACAGCCCGCCUGCGACGAAGAGCCGCCACGAGAACGCAACUCCGUCGAAUCGAUAACACCGGUAAACAUAGAAUAUCUUGAAAAACAAGAAAAUUAGCUAUUCGGUCGUAGUUCCAACAUUAUUGAAAACAAUUCACAAGUUCAUACCGUCCAUGCGCCUUGCCUCCAAGUGAAUGCACAACUUCAUGCGCCUUGCCAUGAGCCGAGUCACAAAAGCGAGUAUACUCACAUCUGUGUGUUCAUGUAACGACUCUUCAGAGGCUUUUAGUAGUUUAAAAAAUCUGGAAACCUCUGGUGUGGCAGGAUCCUCGGAGCUUAGGUUGAAUUCUGGACGUAGCGAAUCUAGCAUCUCAUGCAUCGCAUCAUCGCCAGCCCAAUCAUUGUUCUCCUCCUCUUCUACAUUCCGGUUGGGUACUACCUCACCAUGAUGUUCCCACACCUCAUAUCCGGGCAUAAAUCCAAAUUGACAAAGAUCUAGGCUAACUCUUUCCUUAUUAAGAAAUAUACUAUUUUCGUGCCGCCUACAAGGGCAUCUGACAAUGCCGGUUAAGGACAAGGCGAAUACGUGGUCCACAAAAUCUUUGGUCUUGGCUACCCACUCAUCAGAAUGACGUCCAUUCCUACUCCAGCCAUUGUACAUCCAUGCACGGUCUUCAGCCAUGCCUGAGACUGUUAAACCGAACCAUAUCGUGAAACCAUUAUUCAAUUUCAUCAAGUGUAUCGGUCCUAUAUGUAUAGGCAAGGAUAGAUUCUAAACCACAGCAAGCUACCAGGACCCACAAUAAUUUUGGCAGCAUAACCUCGCUGCCACUAAACAAUAUAAGAAUGAACCACAUAUAACACAUAUAACACAUAUACCACAUAUGCCUUUACUAAACCAAAUAUACCACAUAUAAAAUAUGUCUCGAACUAAACAAUAAUACUAAUCACACGCACUAAUCAACAAACACAUAUACCACUAAUACAUUCCACAUAUACCACAUAUGCCUUCCCUAAACAUAUAACACAUAUACAAACGCACUAAUCAAUAAUAUUAAUCAAACGCACAAAUCAACAAACACAAUUACAAAAAUAUAUUAAUUUCGGUGGCAAUUAAAUAAAAGGCCGCCGAAAAUACAAAAUAAAAUACGCAAAAUAAAAUACCUUAAUGAAGGCGAGGUUGACGGGAGCCAAGGUCGAUGGAACGGGGCACAACGCGGCUGGUGGGGCGUCGAGCUUGGUGGCGGCACGUCGGCGGCACGGGCGAGCGGCGCUGCGGGUGCGUCGGGCGUGACGUGGUGGGCCGGGGGGGGGGCGCUGCGGGGGCGUGGGGCGGCGCAGCGGGCCGUGGGCUGCGCUGCGGGGGCGGCGCGACAGGCUGCACGACGGGGUGGCGUUGUUGGGCGGCGCUGCCGGGGCGGCGCGGCGAGGUGCGGCGUGGCGGGGGCGGCGCGGUUGGGCGGUGCUGCGGGGGCGGCGCGGCGGGGCGAGGUGCGGCGAGGCGAGGGGCGGCGCGAGCGACGGCGAGCGGCGGCGUGUUGAGAGAGAAGAGAGAAGAGAGAAGAAACAGAACAGAGAAGGAGCCGACAGUUUUUAAAAACCUAAUUUUCGGCGGCCAGGGAUCAGGCCGCCGAAAAUAGGCUUAUUUUCGGCGGCUGUGUCAGUGGCCGCCGAAAAUAGGCCUAUUUUCGGUGGCUGUGUCAGACCGCCGAAAAUAAGGUGGUAUUUUCGGCGGCCCACCUCCGGCCGCCGAAAAUAAGGUGGGCCGCCGAAAAUGUUGCAUAGUGUUGUUGUGGAUGGGCGCGAUUAAGGUCAAGGCUCAGUCCACUUAAGGGACACGAUCUCGCCUCGCCCGUGCCCAGCCUCGGGCAAAGGCAGCCGACCCCGGAGGAUUCACGUCUCGCCCGUGGGCCCCCUCAAGCAACGGACACACCUUCGGCUCGCCCGAGGCCCAGUCUUCGCAGAGAAGCAACCUUGGCCAGAUCUCCACGCCAACCGACCAUAUCGCAGGAGCAUUUAAUGCAAGGAUCACCCGAUACCUUAUCCUGACGCGCGCUCUUCAGUCGAUAGAGCCGAAGUGACCGCAGUCACUUCGCCGCUCCACUAACCGACCUGACAAGAAAACAGCGCCGCCUGCGUCACUCCGACUGCUGUGCCACUCGACAGAGUGAGGCUGACAGCAGCUAAGUCCAGCCUCGGGCGCCAUAGGAAGCUCCGCCUCGCCCGACCCCAGGGCUCGGGCUCAACCUCGACGAUGGACGACGAACUCCGCCUCGCCCGACCCCAGGGCUCGGACACGGCCUCGGCCUCGGAAGACGGUCUCCGCCUCGCCCGACCCCAGGGCUCGGGCUCAACCUCGAUGCUGGACGACGGACUCCGCCUCGCCCGACACAGGGCUCGGACUCAGCCUCAGCCUCGGAAGACGGUCUCCGCCUCGCCCGACCCAGGGCUCGGACUCAACCUCGACCUCGGAAGACGGACUCCGCCUCGCCCGACCCCAGGGCUCGGACUCAGCCUCGACCUCGGAAGACGGACACGACCUCGACCUCGGAGGAGCCGCCACCUCGCCCAAACUCGGGUCCGGACCGGCCACGUCGCCAGGGGGGCCAUCAUUACCCUACCCCUAGCUAGCUCAGGCUACGGGGAACAAGACCGGCGUCCCAUCUGGCUCGCCCCAGUAAACAAAUAAUGAUGGCGCUCCGCGUGCUCCAUGACGACGGCGGCUCUCAGCCCCUUACGGAAGCAAGGAGACGUCAGCAAGGAUUCGACAGCCCCGACAGCUGUCCUUCCGCAGGGCUCCAGCUCUCCUCCGACGGCCACGCCAUCACAUGAACAGGGUGCCAAAACCUCUCCGACUGCCACGACGGCAUGUACUUAGGGCUCUAGCUCCUCUCUGCUAGACACGUUAGCACACUGCUACACCCCCUAUUGUACACCUGGACUCUCUCCUUACGCCUAUAAAUGGAAGGUCCAGGGCUCUCGUAUGAGAAGGUUGGCCGCGCGGGAGAACGGGCCGGCGCAUAAGGCUCUCGCUCUCUCCCACGCGAACACUUGUAACCCCCUACUGCAAGCGCAUCCAUCCGCCCUGGGCGCAGGACAACACGAAGGCCGCGGGUUCCCCUUUACUGUUCUCCCCUUUUGUGUCCCGUCUCGCGCCGACCCAUCUGGGUUGGGACACGCAGCGACAAUUUUCUCGUCUGUCUAGGGAGCCCCGGGGUCGAAACGCCGACAGUAUGUAAAAGAUGGUGUUACAUCGGGUAUCUACAGAAUUUUUUCCGUUGUAGAUGGCUUUAAAGAGCUCUUCUGGUCGCGUCGUGUUCGAGAAGAAAUAAAACAUCAGGCAGUUGGAUACAGGUGUGGCACAUGCGUAAGCCUGAACACGGGACAGAAGCCCUCAGAAUCAGCUUAUAAUAAUAUAUAGAAAUCCAUUUCUAUUCCAAGCUUCAAAUAUAUAGCUCCACACUAAAGCAUCAUCAUGUACAUUGAGUCUAUGGCUGUAACAGCUAGCUAGUAAUAGUCACCGGCAAUUAGUACAGUAGCGAACAUAUAAGCACUGCUGCACGAGCUACAAGCGGUGGUGGGCGCAGGGGGCACUGCCGUCGUCGAAGUUCUGGUAGUAGCUAUGCAGGUCAUACCCGAACCUCACCGCGGUUCGCCUCGGCCGCGCUGCGCGUCUUCUCCAAGAGCGACUCAACCUCGACAGCAGCCGCUUCACCGCCGCAGCUGGCCGGCGGCCGCCGCUCCUGGCGUGGACGAGCCUCCCGCCCAAGCCGCUGCCCCCGGUGUACGGGCCUAGCAGAGACACCGCCGCCAUGAUCGUUCACUCAGUCGGUUCUCACAGGUCACGGACGCUCUUUGCCACUAACCAACUAGCUAGCUAGAUGCUCUGUCUGCUUCGAGCUGGAGUAGGUAGGUGAGGUCUAUCUGUGAAUCUGUGUGCUGCAGCUGUAGCUUCUGAAGAUACUGUGCAAAACGAAGCCUCCCAUGCGCAGCUUUAUAAGCUCGGAUGCUGGGAGCAUUCCGACACGCGUCGACCGAAGACGCCACUCGGACCCACCAGCAGCACGCACUCACGUACAUGGUGACGAGGCAAUCCACUACGGCGAUCGUUCGAAAGGUCCAAGCAGCUUCAUUUCAUGCAUGCUUUUGUAAGCCGCCGUCAUGCUCGUGCAGUCGAAAGAAUCAAAGAAAGACAACCGUCGACCACCAACAAUGGAAGCAUGUGUACUUGCUUUAGUGACGACGACCUCGAUCGCCAGCUAGAUUGCUAGCUAGAGGGAUGAGAGAGGUCGGCCAUGGCAACCGGCGACACGGCGGCACCUGAGCUGCUUCCUGCCCGUCCAUAGCCGAACUGCCGAUAAGGUCGGCGGCUUCCUGCCCGUCCUGCCGCUGGAUCAUGCCACGUGCACAAUGUGUUUGUGUUGCCUGUUGCGUGGCCGACCUAAUCGACAUGCAUGCGGCAGAGGUUGACGGGGAUGUUCGUUCUGCAGAACUCUCGGAACCCCGUCACAUCGAGACUAGGAACCUAGUAGAGUGUAUUGCUGACGCUGAAUCAUAAUAAUAACAACUGGUUAUAUUAAUAACCUAGAGUAUUAUUGGAAAGAGCACUCCAAGCCACUCACCAAAUUGGAUAAUUAAUAAUAACUGGUUAUUACUAUUUAUUUUUGGAUAACCUUAUCCUUGUACUGAAGAUGACUAAAGCUUAGGACGUGGAUAUUUCUUUUACAGCUGGAACAUGCAUGUAUGCUCUUCUGAUAUCUCCAAAAAAGAAGAGAAAAGAUGUCGUCGAGCUGAGUCAUCAUCAAUGAAUUUCCACAUCCUAAGGAAAGGGAAAUGGAAUACUAGUCCUAGUAGUGUUAUGCUAGAGUGAAAAUCUACAGAAAAGGCGGAGAGCCUUUUUUAGGGAAUAUUGCGAAGCUUCUAUUUUGGAAAUAUCACGAAAAUGUAUGGUCAGUAAAAUGGCGGUCGUGGAAUGGCAGUGUAUAUGAAGGGGGCUGAGGUAGUACAAAUCAUCCAAGUCAUCAUGGUAUCAGGAUGAGUCAUGAGUCACUUGACAUGUGUUUGGUUUCGGAACGACGUGGAUCCGGUCGAAGUCGACCCAUUUUUCUGGAUUGGGUCAGAUCCGUUCCUUAUUUGGUUUAAGUGACAGGUUAAACCUAUUAUCUUGUUUGAUUACAGGGUUAAACUGGGUUGGAGUUGUACCAUCUCUUGUUUGUUUCGCGAUGAGGGAUGAACUGAAUAUGGUCUCCUUCCUGGUCAUAUUACCACAUUCAGGAUGGUAUCUUCAAUUCAUUCAAUUCAAUAAGAUGACAACAAUCAAAAUAAAUGAAACCGACACUAUUUUAAUAUUUGAGAAAUCCAUAAGCAUAAGAUAUACAUAAAUUAAAGCCAAUAUUAACCAAGUCAUAAAUUUUUAGUGAUGAGGUCUCAUUGUUACAUUUCAGCCAUAAUUAAAGGAACCUCCCAACAACAUCAAGAUGCAUUUCAGUGAAUUUGUAACAUUUGCCAUGACUAGCAGGCUUGUCUAGGCAAUAACGAGCACAGACAUUUACCUGUUCGACGACAGCACUAGCAAGGCUCGCGGGUUGUGCCUACUGGAGAACACACCAGCAUCAGAGGGCAGGCCAGCGAGUGACUGUCGGUGGGAGGCGCAACAAGCCGGUGGGGGAGUCUGACGGCGCUGACGGAGGGCAGACCAGUGAGGGACUGACGACAGGAGGUAGGCGGGGGAUGAACGUCGGAUGGUAGGUCGGCGGGGGUCCCUCGUCCCAGCUUGCCGGCCGUGGCAACGUGCCCGUGUGCCAAUGUUUUAAAUGUCCGACUAAGGGCCUUAGCGGUGAGCUUUUUAUAAGUUAUAAAGGCUAUAGCCGUGAGCUAAACCAUUUAGCCGUUUAAAAAAAGCAUGAUAUAACUUUAUAGAUAGUUUAAAUGUUCAAUAUUUAAAUCUGAUAGUUCAAACUAGUAGUUCAAAUGUUCAAUAAUAAAUCAACAUACAUGCAAAUUCAAUGACACAUAUAAAAGGCAUUGAAUCAUUAUCUGAAGUGUCCCGAUCCUUUGGGACUCAAAUGUGAUACAAUUACUAGUCCCAGGAGGCUAGUAACCACAUUCAUUACUUCAAAUAGUUACAGAGUCUGAAUAAUGUUAUUACAAUACCGGGGGAUACAGGCUCGAAAGUGAGCCGAAAAACAUAAAGCGCAGUGGAAGAUAAAAUAGCCCAGGCCACAGGCAGAACUGGGCGAAGACACAGCCCCAUCAAUCAAGCAUAGCAGAAAAGAAGUCUUCAGCUGCUGAAAAACAUAAAUAAAUCUGGGUGAAUACACUAGGUAUUCCGCAAGCCCACCCGGCUCCCGUAAAGAGAAAGUGACCUAUAUGGUACAUGCUUAUUAUGGUGGAGUUGAAGUCACUCAUACUUUUUCAGAGAAAGGCAGUAUUCGUUGUUUAUGGUUUUCCCAAGACAAUAGGAGUAACACUUGCUUGACCACCACUGAGCUUCCCGCUCCUGUGGUACCACUUUCUUUUCAGACAUACACACACAUUUCCCUGUUCCAGGUUGUAGUAGAAACACUAAUUGUCAUACCAUUCUAGACUCGUCCAUACCAGUGGACACGGACUAUUCGAAUAGGUUUAGACUCUGCGCAGAGGGGUACACUUUACCCACUAGUCCGGCUCUGCGAUCUCAUGGCCAAUGAGACCCGAAUCCGAAACUCUUUCCUUCCUUGUACGUCCGAACCUUAACGGUUAUACCGGAAGGAGUCAGGCCACCGCCAUGUCCAAACCGGACAAAACAUUCCCCCUCCUUAUCCUCCCGGUGCUACCCGAGCCUUCAUAACCCUGGGGUUGGACCGUACGAGUUUAGAUCGAGUGGCUGCCCACACAGCCUCGAGUGGGUGUACUUUUUGUGAGUACAAGUAAUGAAAGAUGACAAACCGGUCCUUAUACGAGAGGACGAUCCUUCUGCUCACGCCUAAACCAGCUGAGCCAACACCUUAGGCCCUCCCCUAAACCAGGGAGUCCCUGAUCAUCCUACUCACCAGGUGAUGAGGGUGAGUACCCUUCAUCGCACACUUUUGGAAAACAUUCCACUUGUACCCUUUUCACUUGCCCCAUAUCUUUUAAUCAAAAUAAUAGUUAAUGCGGGCUCUCUCAUGCUCACCAUGCAAUUCGAUUCCCAUCCCAUAAUCCAGGCUUAGGCAGUGGUAGAGAGAAAUAGGUAAAUAAUGCAUCAAGGGAAGGAUGGACUUGCCUUCGUCGAAGCUUUCCUGCCACAAGAGGUUAAUCUCGGAGGGGUCGGGUUCUUGCCCUUCUUCCGGAGCUAAGAGUUCCGUAGGAUCGGAUCCCUCUUCCACUAAUUAAACACAUAUAAUAACAAUACAUCAAACAUAGUGACCUUUGAGGGGUGUGCAAAUUUUUAUACUUUAUUAUUUUUGUGCCCUAAUAAUUUAUUUAGACAAUUUUUGGUGCAUAAAAUAUUAGCAUCUAAAUAUAUAUGUGAAAAUGGGAAAAAGAAAAGGGAAAAGAAAAAGAGAAAGAAUUUUCGAGCCAACUGGGCCGGGGGGGGAUUUUGGCCCAAAAGGCGCCAGCGCGAGCGGGCGGGCGUGCUUUUGGCCCACUUGGCCCAGCCGCGCGGGGAGACGGCGGGGGAACGGCACUGCGGCGCGGGCCCGCACGCCAGAGAGGGGGGGGGGAGCGAACGACGUUAACGGCACGGAGGGGGGCGAGGGCUCGACCGGGGCCGGUCGGCGGCGAGCCCCGCGGCGGUUCUCCGCCGUCGGUCCGGUUUUGCGGUGGGGAAGCGGUGGCGGAGCAUGGGCGGUUGAUGGGGGUCACGGGGGUGGGGCGAAUUUCACCUGCGGGGGCCUAUGGCGGCCGGUCCGCGGCACGGUGGCGGGUGCCCGCGGCGGUGAUGCCGCCGGUGAGGUUUCCGGCCACAAUAGAGUGGGGGAAGUGGCGUGUCGUGACCGUGAGAGUGUGGCGGAGCUCUUGGCAUCACUUAAUUGAACGAAAGAUCGCUAGAGAGGGAGAGGGGAUCUCACCGGAGCGGUGAAGGGAGCACGACAGCGCUAGCUUGAACGGCUCGAGGAGGAGGGCAGUGGGGGUGGCCGGAGCUGUGUGGCGAAUACGGGGCUCAGGCGGGUCCUUUUAUAGGCGCUCGGGGGAGGGAGGGGGUUGGGGGAGACGACGAGCACCGGCGAGCUUGCCAUGAUGGUGGGAAUGGUGCUAACGCCGAUGCGAUGGCUCGGGCAGGCUGGGGGGUGAGGGGUCGGCUCAAGCACAGUGGUGGGGUUGUCGCGGAGGCUGGCGAGCAUUAAUGGCGAGGCGACGAGGCGAGGGGGCGCUCGGCGGCGGACGCGCCGGUGAGGGAUGGGCGAGGGGGAUGGAACUGACGAGUGGGCCCUGGCUGCCAGCGAGAGGAAGCUGCGCGAGAGGGAGGGGGUGAGGCGCUGACGGGCGGGGCCCGGGUGUCAGCGGGAGGGAGCCGCGCGCGGGUUGGGCCGCCUGGGCCGGGGAGAGAGGGGGAGGAAGUGCGGGCGCGCGCGGGUUGGGCUAGAAUUCGGCCUAGCCGUGGGAGGGGGAAGCUUUUCCUUUUCUUUUUCUUUUUCUAAUUCUAAUCCCUUUCUUCUCCUUUUUUCUAUUUUUGUUUCUUUUUAUUCUUUUUCUUUGGAGACCAAAAAUAUUUUCUAAGUGAUCUUGAGUGAGAAACAUAGUCUAUGUGAGGUGCUCUAAUUAUUUCAAGUGCACAUAAGAAGGGGUUCUAAGGGUAGGGUUAAGGGGGAAAGGUAAAAUAGGGGGGAGGAAUUAGGAGGUUAGGGUUUCAAACCUUGGGUGGGAUUUUGGGAUGUUACAAACCUACCCCACUUAAAGGAAUCUCGCCCUCGAGAUUUAGACUGGAUUUGAGAAAAGAUAAGGGUAUUCCCUCCUCAAGGAGUCCUCACUCUCCCAGGUAGCUUCCUCUUCUCCUUCUCUGCUCCACUGAACUUUACAGAGCUUUACUUCUGAGGUGCGGGUCUUUCUGACUGCUGAAUCAAGAAUCUUCACUGGUUUUUCACGGUACUGAAGGUCUUUCUGAAUCUGUACUGUCUCUUCUUCGAGGUGACUUUCUGGUGCUUGCAGGCAUUUGCGGAGCUGGGAUACGUGAAACACAUUGUGGAUGUCGGACAUGGAUUCUGGUAAUUCCAGACGGUAUGCUGCGUGUCCUACCCUGCCAAUGAUGGGAUAGGGACCUACGAAACGUGGGGCUAGCUUCCCUUUUACUUGGAACUUCCUGACACCACGCAUUGGAGAAACCUUGAGGUAGACGAAGUCUCCUUCCUCAAAUCGGAGUUCCCUCCGCCUGUUGUCUGCAUAACUCUUCUGUCGACUCUGAGCUUCGAGUAACCUUCUGCGGAUCAGUGCAACUUUCUCUUUCGCCUCUUUGACAAAGGCAGGUCCUUCUAGUGCUUUUCCCCCCACGUUGGACCACAUGAGAGGGGUUUGGCAUUUCCAUCCAUACAGUGCUUCGAAUGGCGACAUCUUGAUGCUGGCCUAAUAGCUAUUGUUGUAUGAGAACUCUGCGUAGGGUAGACUGGAUUCCCAACUUCUAUCAAAAGCUAGCACACAUGCUCUUAACAGAUCUUCAAGGACUUUGUUGACUCUUUCUGUCUGCCCAUCUGUCUGAGGGUGAUAAGCGGUACUGAAAUCUAGCUUGGUGCCCAUAGCUUUCUGAAGGCUUGUCCAGAAUUUGGAUGUGAACUGGGUUCCCCUGUCUCACACUAUCUUCCUUGGGAUGCCAUGGAGUCUGACUAUCUCCUUGAGAUAAAUCCGGGCAAGGGUGGCUCCUCCAAAGGUAGUUUUCACUGGGAUGAAAUGGACUACCUUGGUGAGGCGAUCUAUUAUUACCCAGAUGGAAUCAUUCCCUUUUUGCAUCCGAGGCAGUCCGGUUACGAAGUCCAUGCCUAUUUCUUCCCACUUCCAUUCAGGUAUUGGAAGGGGUUGUAAUAGGCCUGCAGGUUUUUGGUGUUCGGCCUUCGUCCGUUGGCAGAUGUCACAUCGGGCCACAUACUGAGCUAUUUCUUUCUUCAUCCCUUUCCACCAGUAUCUGGUUUUGAGGUCCAGGUACAUCUUGGUAGUUCCUGGGUGGAUGGAGUAGGCCGAGUCGUGAGCUUCCUUGAGUAGGACUUCUCGGGCCUCCCCUUUUGGUACACACAGACGGUGCUUGAACCAAAGGACUCCUUGGUCAUCUGCCCUGAGGUCCGGGAGUUGUUCCUUGUGGGAUUUCUCCACAAGUUUUGCUGUCUCUGAGUCUAGACGUUGAGCUUUGCAUAUGAGGUCUUCCAGCACUGGUUUGACUUCGAGACUAUCGUUGUUUCCCAAACAUGCAUUUAGUUGCGCUGAUUCUUUCUUCCAAUCUUCUAAAAAGUUGGUUCCUUUUAUUCCGAAUGGUUUUCGACUGAGGGCGUCGGCUACCACGUUGUCCUUCCCGGGGUGAUAGUGAAUUUCUAGGUCGUAAUCCUUGAUCAGCUCUAACCAUCUUCGCUGAUGGAGGUUGAGAUCUGGUUGAGUGAUUAUAUACUUCAGACUCUUGUGAUCGGUGAAAAUGUGGCAUUUGUUUCCGAUUAGGUAAUGCCUCCAUAUCUUCAAGGCAUGCACUAUGGCUGCCAAUUCCAAAUCAUGGGUGGGGUAAUUCUAUUCGUGCGGCUUGAGUAGGCGUGAUGUGUAAGCAAUGACUUUCUCGUUUUGCAUUAGCACACACCCUAAGCCUUGCCUCGAGGCAUCACAGAAGACGACAAAAUCUUGAUGAAUAUCUGGCAGUGAUAGAACGAGUGCUGUUGUGAGUUUCUCCUUUAUGACCUGGAAACGCCCUUCACAUUUUGGGGUCCACACAAAUUUAUGGUCUUUCUUGAGAAGUUCUGUCAUCGGUCUUGCUAUGCUGGAGAAUCCUUUGAUGAAGCCGCGGUAAUACCCUGCCAUUCCUAGGAAGCUUCGAACUUCACUGACGUUGGUUGGCUGCCUCCAUUUUGAUACUGCUUCCACCUUGGAAGGGUCCACUUCUAUCCCUUCUGCGGUUAAGAUAUGCCCAAGGAAGGCUAUCUUUUCCAACCAAAAUUCACAUUUACUGAGUUUAGCAUAAAGUUGGUGUGCUCUGAGUUUUCCGAGGACGAUCCAAAGGUGACGCUUAUGGUCUUCGUGGUUCUUGGAGUAGAUAAGGAUGUCGUCAAUGAAGACUACGACAAACUUAUCUAGCUCUUCCAUAAACACUUUAUUCAUGAGGUUCAUGAAAAAGGCGGGUGCGUUUGUCAGUCCGAACGGCAUCACUGUGAAUUCAUAUUGCCCGUACCGGGUGACAAAUGCAGUCUUUUGGAUGUCUGCUUCCUUGAUCCUCAAUUGGUGGUAACCAGACCUUAGGUCUAUCUUGGAGAAGUACUUGGCUCCUUGAAGCUGAUCGAAGAGGUCGUCAAUCCGAGGAAGUGGAUACUUGUUCUUGAUGGUAACUUCAUUUAACGAUCGGUAAUCAAUACACAUUCUCAUGCUUCCAUCUUUCUUAUAGACGAACAGGACUGGCGCUCCCCAAGGUGAUGAGCUGGGACGAAUGUAUCCCUUUUGCUGAAGAUCUGCGAUUUGAAGCUUCAGUUCUGCUAACUCGAUCGGAGCCAUGCGGUAUGGUCUCUUCGCGGUGGGUGCCGUUCCAGGGAUCAGAUCUAUGUAGAACUCCACUUCUCUUUCUGGUGGAAUUCCUGGCAAUUCUUCUGGAAACACGUCCAUGAAUUCUUCUACAACUGAUAUACUUUCCGUUGCUAGAUUGAACAUCAUUGGGUCACUGGCGGGUGGCUGUGCCUGACAAGAGACUAACUUUCCCUGCUGGUCGAUGAGGAGGACUGUCUUGUCUGCGCAACUGAUGAUGCCUUUGUGUUUAGUUAGCCAAUCCAUCCCUAGGAUCACAUCAAUUCCUUUGGAUGGCAAGACGGUUAAGUCUGCUAGGAAUACUACCCCACUUAAAAGGAUUCUGACUUGGGAGCAUUUGAGCUGGCAUAGAAGGUCGGACCCUGGGGUUUGGGUGACCAAGGGAAUCUCUAGAGGAGUAGAGGGAAUGCCAUACUUUUCCACAAAGCUAGUGGCUAUGAAGGAGUGGGAUGCUCCAGAAUCGAAAAGUAUGGUAGCGGGAGUAAAUUCAACAAGGAACUCACCGAGUACUACUCCCGGAGCCUGCUGAGCUUCCUCGGCAUCGACGUGAUUUACUCGUGCCCUUCCUUGGUACGGAGCCUUGUUCUGCUGGCUGACGGCGGAGGGCGCCUUGGGGGCGGAUGCCGAGGUAUUCUUGGGGCCAUUCACCGAGUUGGAGUAGGCGGGUCCUGGUGGCUUUAGCUGCGGACAAUUGUUCUUGAAGUGACUGGGAUCACCACAGUGCCAACAUGCAUUUGCCGGGGGUUGGUUGCUUGCCACUGAGGGGGAAUGGAAAGAGCUCUGACUUUGCUGGCUGAAUCGUGACGGAGUGGGUCCAGCUGGUCUACUGAAGUUUGGUCCCUUGGGUGGAAACCCAAAUGAUCGAGUCUUCUGGUGCCGGUCCUGCUGCUGUGCCCGGAGAACCUAGAACUUCCUUUUGAGAUGCCCCUUUUCUUCCUCCUUUGCCUUUCAACUUGCAUGGCCUUGUUGGAAAGGUGAGAGAAAUUGAGGAAGUCUUGGCUAGCCAGAAUUGUCUUGAGUUCUGGCCUGAGUCCCUUCAGGAAAUGGGCCAUCUUCUUGCCCUCGGUACUGACAUCAUCUGGCGUGUAGCGGGCUAACUCUGUGAACUUGUGUACAUAUUCGCUGACAGAUCUUCCGUCUUGAGUCAAUUCUCGGAACUCGUCCUCCUUAAGCUGUACAAGUCCUUAGGGCACAUGGUGCUCCUGGAAAGCCGCUUCAAAUUCCGCCCAGGUAGCAUCUCUGAUGGUGAUGUUGAAGGUGUCCCACCAGGCUAAGUCCAUCCCGGAAAGUUGGUGGGCAGCCAGCUGAACACGCUGAUUUUCUGGGCAACCAAUGGCUUCCAGUUUUCUUUUGAUCGUGCACAUCCAAUCGUCUGCAUCGAGGGGGUUGCUUGAUUCGGCAAACGUGGGAGGUUUGAGUCUCAGGAAAUCCCCCAUUCUGUCUUGUGGUCUUCCACCAUUCGGCCGUUGAUUUUCCAGAUUUCGAGUGAGGACCUCGAUGAGUCAGGUUUGAUUGGCUAGAACUUGGGCUAGGUCUAAGGGUAGUGGUGGAGGUGCGGGGAGGUGGGUUUCACUUUCCUCUCUAACGGCUUCCCCUUCAGCUCUCAGGGGAAACCCUGCUCCAAUCCCGGAGGCGGUAGGCGUGGUUUUAUCCGAAGCCAUCUGCCAGGGAAGAGAGUCACUAUUAUGCACAUGCAAAUUGUUUUCAACCAAGUUAUGUUAUUCAUUACACCAUCACAUUACAAGCAUAAGACUACUACAGGUGGGACUACACGAGAGCGUUCCCCGAGGUACUAACGAACUCCUUCUCUAAGGUGUCCCCAAAUGCCUUGAGAAGAUCAUCAAGGCUUGCUAGGGAUAUAUCCUCGUCGUCGGACCAAUCAUCUAUUCUAGGGGGGAGGUAGGGCUAGAGGGGCCUUCUUCUUCUUCUCUGUUUGGCAUCCUUGGUUGGUGGUCUUCUUCUGGAUUUUCUUUUUGGGGGCGAGCUUCUUUAGCUUCUUGUCAUAGUCCAUCUUCAAGGUUCGAUAGGCCUCACGGGUGUUGGCUUCCUCGCCUUCUGCUAUGUCGAGACUCUCCUGGAGAGAUGCCUUCUCUUGCUUAAGCUCUUUGACUUGCUGCUCUAGGCUUUCCACUCGAGAGUUUAGGUGGGUGCAGUGGGAGGAGAGCUCAUCGUAGUGGUUGUCGAGGGUGUGGAGGUAUCCGGCCAUGUAGACGAUAGUGGGGUCAUCUUCUGUGGGAUCUCCUUCUGACAGAGCCUGGAGUCUUUUCCUCCAGGUGGGGGUGUUUUUGUUGCUAGGUGGGAAAUAUCGGAGGGGGGUCUCAGAGAUCUCUCGGCUAUAGUUUUGGCACAGUUGUUUGAGGGCUUUUCGAGCAACGCUCUAGCAAGUGUCUGGGAAGCGGUGCCCGAUGAAGGUAAUUUGGAAGGGAGGGUGGUUUGGGUAGUUCCGGCUUUCUCCCAAGUAGACCGCCAUAGAGCACUUUUCUAUUCCAUUUUCACGGUACUCCUUCCAGACAUAUUCGGGCUUCUUGCGGAUCCCCAUGCGUAGCGCGCAACUCCGAAGAAGGUGAGGAAAGCCUUCCUCCUCUGAGCAAUAGGAUGUCCUAAUCACCCAGGGGUUUUCCAUCUGGUAGACGAAAAGAGAGGUCUAUUAAUAUCGGGGAAAAGGGGAAAGAGUGUUUCUUGGGGGGUAAGAGGUGUUUUCUUGUUAAGGCAACUUUUAAGGUCAGGGUUGUGGUCUACGGCCAGUCCUAUAGGUUCUGAUACCACCUGAAGCGUCCCGAUCCUUUGGGACUCAAAUGUGAUAUAAUUACUAGUCCCAGGAGGCUAGUAACCACAUUCAUUACUUCAAAUAGUUACAGAGUCUGAAUAAUGUUAUUACAAUACCGGGGGAUACAAGCUCGAAAGUGAGCCGAAAAACAUAAAGCGCAGUGGAAGAUAAAAUAGCCCAGGCCACAGGCAGAACUGGGUGAAGACACAACCCCAUCAAUCAAGCAUAGCAGAAAAGAAGUCUUCAGCUGCUGAAAAACAUAAAUAAAUCUGGGUGAAUACACUAGGUAUUCCGCAAGCCCACCCGGCUCCCGUAAAGAGAAAGUGACCUAUAUGGUACAUGCUUAUUAUGGUGGAGUUGAAGUCACUCAUACUUUUUCAGAGAAAGGCAGUAUUCGUUGUUUAUGGUUUUCCCAAGACAAUAGGAGUAACACUUGCUUGACCACCACUGAGCUUCCCGCUCCCGUGGUACCACUUUCUUUUCAGACAUACACACACAUUUCCCUGUUCCCGGUUGUAGUAGAAACACUAAUUGUCAUACCAUUCCAGACUCGUUCAUACCAGUGGACACGGACUAUUCGAAUAGGUUUAUACUCUGCGCAGAGGGGUACACUUUACCCACUAGUCCGGCUCUGCGAUCUCAUGGCCAAUGAGACCCGAAUCCGAAACUCUUUCCUUCCUUGUACGUCCAAACCUUAACGGUUAUACCGGAAGGAGUCAGGCCACUGCCAUGUCCAAACCGGACAAAACAUUCCCCCUCCUUAUCCUCCCGGUGCUACCCCAGCCUUCAUAACCCUGGGGUUGGACCGUACGAGUUUAGAUCGAGUGGCUGCUCACACAGCCUCGAGUGGUUGUACUUUUUGUGAGUACAGGUAAUGAAAGAUGACAAACCGGUCCUUAUACGAGAGGACGAUCCUUCUGCUCAUGCCUAAACCAGCUGAGCCAACACCUUAGGCCCUCCCCUAAACCAGGGAGUCCCUGAUCAUCCUACUCACCAGGUGAUGAGGGUGAGUACCCUUCAUCGCACACUUUUGGAAAACAUUCCACUUGUACCCUUUUCACUUGCCCCAUAUCUUUUAAUCAAAGUAAUAGUUAAUGCGGGCUCUCUCAUGCUCACCAUGCAAUUCGAUUCCCAUCCCAUAAUCCAGGCUUAGGCAGUGGUAGAGAGAAAUAGGUAAAUAAUGCAUCAAGGGAAGGAUGAACUUGCCUUCGUCGAAGCUUUCCUGGCAUAAGAGGUUAAUCUCGGACGGGUCGGGUUCUUGCCCUUCUUCUGGAGCUAAGAGUUCCGGAGGAUCGGAUCCCUCUUCCGCUAAUUAAACAUAGAUAAUAACAAUACAUCAAACAUAGUGACCUUUGUGGGGUGUGCAAAUUUUUAUACUUUAUUUUUUUUGUGCCCUAAUAAUUUAUUUAGACAAUUUUUGGUGCAUAAAAUAUUAGCAUCUAAAUAUAUAUGUGAAAAUGGGAAAAGAAAAAGAGAAAGAAUUUUCCAGCCAACUGGGCCGGGGGGGAUUUUGGCCCAAAAGGCGCCAGCGCGAGCGGGCGGGCGUGCUUUCGGCCCACUUGGCCCAGCCGCGCGGGGCGACGGCGGGGGAACGGCGCUGCGGUGCGGGCCCGCACGCCAGAGAGAGGGGGGAGGGAACGGCGUUAACGGCACGGAGGGGGGUGAGGGCUCGACCAGGGCCGGUCGGCGGCGAGCCCCGCGGCGGUUCUCCGCCGUCGGUCCAGUUUUGCGGUGGGGAAGCGGUGGCGGAGCAUGGGCGGUUGAUAGGGGUCACGGGGGUGGGGCGAAUUUCGCCUGCGGGGGCCUAUGGCGGCCGGUCCGCGGCACGGUGGCGGGUGCCCGCGGCGGUGAUGCCGCCGGUGAGGUUUCCGGCCACAAUAGAGUGGGGGAAGUGGCGUGUCGUGACCGUGAGAGUAUGGCGGAGCUCUUGGCAUAACUUAAUUGAACGGAAGAUCGCUAGAGAGGGAGAGGGGAGCUCAUCGGAGCGGUGAAGGGAGCACGGCGGCGCUAGCUUGAACGGCUCGGGGAGGAGGGCAGUGGGGGUGGCCGGAGCUGUGUGGCGAAUACGGGGCUCGGGCGGGUCCUUUUAUAGGCGCUCGGGGGAGGGAGGGGGAUGGGGGAGACGGCGAGCACCGGCGAGCUCGCCAUGAUGGCGGGAAUGGUGCUAACGCCGAUGCGAUGGCUCGGGCAGGCUGGGGGGUGAGGGGUCGGCUCAAGCACAGUGGCGGGGUUGUCGCGGAGGCUGGCGAGCAUUAAUGGCGAGGCGACGAGGCGAGGGGGCGCUCGGCGGCGGACGCGCCGGUGAGGGAUGGGCGAGGGGGAUGGAACUGACGAGUGGGCCCUGGCUGCCAGCGAGAGGAAGCUGCGCGAGAGGGAGGGGGUGAGGCGCUGAUGGGCGGGGCCCGGGUGUCAGCGGGAGGGAGCCGCGCGCGGGUUGGGCCGCCUGGGCCGGGGAGAGAGGGGGAGGAAGUGUGGGCGCGUGCGGGUUGGGCUGGAAUUCGGCCUAGCCGUGGGAGGGGGGGAAGCUUUUCUUUUUCUUUUUCUAAUUCUAAUCCCUUUCUUCUCCUUUUUCUAUUUUUGUUUCUUUUUGAUUCUUUUUCUUUGGAGACCAAAAAUAUUUUCUAAGUGAUCUUGAGUGAGAAACAUAGUCUAUGUGAGGUGCUCUAAUUAUUUCAAGUGUAUGCACAUGAGAAGGGGUUCUAAGGGUAGGGUUAAGGGGGAAAGGUAAAAUAAGGGGGGGGGGAAUUAGGAGGUUAGGGUUUCAAACCUUGGGUGGGAUUUUGGGAUGUUACAUUAUCUAACAAACUCAUAAACAAUAAGUUAAAGGGCCUACCCAUAACUUGUUUUUGGGUCUCAAUGCUUCAAAGGUUCGACCAGUAAAAGGAGUGCAGGUUUAGCAACUAAAUCGAGCUAAUUUUGUGUAUUUAGCGGGCUAAAUAUGACUAUUAGCGGCUAAUUUUGAUCAGCGCUAAAUAAUGCAUCUCUUAGCUCCAGAUCUCCUGAAAGGCUAUAACCGGCUAAAUAGCUGCUAUUAGCUGGCUUUUGAAAACCUUGCUCUGUGCUGGUCUCGAGUGGAUAAAGCAUGGGUGACAGAAGGCUGGAGAGCAAGUGGGUCGAAAUAGUUCGCUUGUUUUUGAGGAAUCCGUAGAACCCACAUUUUCAAGAAGUAUUUCGAUCCAGAACCAACAUAAUCCACGAGACUUUUGAACCAAACAUGGAUUGUUGUGGGUUAAAUCCUUUCCAACCCGCAUCAUCACGCUAACCAAACACACGUGUGAGGUUUCGCCUUACCCGAUGAGUGAGGUUUCGCCUUACUCGAUGCCAGUUUGCCUUUACUUUUUGUCUUGAUAUCAGUAGCUCCAUUUAACUUUCAAGCGUCUAAAAAAACUCUCUUCCGCAUCUACAACUUUUCAGUUAAUGACUUCUUUAUUCAAGAUCAUCUAUAAUAUUAAAUAUACAAUACAAUAUUUAAAAAAAUUGUAGUUGAAAAAUAGUAUCGGUUGUAUAGUGACAACUAUUAUAUAGCUUAACCGGUAUAGAAGCUCGAUGGAACCUUAAGAUAUUGAGUUCAAAUCCAGUAAUCUAGCAGUGUUAUAAUUGAUAGUGAUAAAUUUUUUGAUAAAAAUAACUCUUUAAAUGAUGAUUUAGAGAAUAUCUUUAACAUAGACUCUAGAAAAUUUCAUAAAGAUGCCGAUCAAGUAAUCCUGGCUAACUAUAUGAAGCUUUUUGAGAAAUUAUGUAGGCUUAUAAGGUCACACACAAUAAACUUCUACUUUCUAGUACUUGCAUACUUAAUUAGUUUGUUCUAUAUCAAAUUAUCCUAAAUUUUACCAAAUUUAUAUACACGAGUAUUUGCAUUACAGAAAUAUAUUUCACAAUUCCAUUCAAUAUACUUAUUUUCUAUUAGGAUUGGUGCCUCAUUUAGUGGAGGACGGAUUAUCUAUCUUGCAAUAUCCAGAUGAUAUUAUCCUGUUUUUGGAGCAUGACUUGGAGAAAGCCAAGAAUAUGAAAUUACUUCUCCUGUCUUUUGAGCAAGUCUCAGGGUUAAAAAUUAACUAUCACAAAAGCGAGAUUUUUUGCUUUGGUCAGGCCUCCGAUGUUAAGGAUCAAUAUCAAUUGUUGUUUGCAUGCAGAAAUGGGGACUAUCUGUUUAAAUAUUUACGGAUACCAAUGUAUUAUCGGAAGUUAAACAAUAGUGAUUGGAAAAUAGUAGAGGCAAAAUUCGAAAAGAAGCUCAGCAGAUGGAAAGGGAAGCUUAUGUCUGUUGGAGGCAGAUUAGUCCUAAUAAAUUCAGUGCUUACCAGUUUAGUUAUGUUUAUGAUAUCUUUCUUCGAGAUACCCAGAGGGGUUCUCGAGAGAAUAGACUGCUUUCGGUCUAGGUUCUUUUGGCAAGGAGGGAAUCAUAAGAAGAAGUACAGACUUGCCAAAUGGAACAUCCUAUGCCAACCUAAGGAUCAAGGAGGGUUAGGAAUUCAGAACAUAGAAGUUCAAAAUAAAUGCUUGCUAAGCAAAUGGCUUUUUAAGCUUAUUAAUGAGGAUGGGAUGUGGCAACAAUUGGUGCGUAACAAAUAUCUUAAGAGAUAUCCGUUGUGGAAUGUGAAACUUAAACAUGGUGAUUCACAUUUUUGGUCGGGGUUAAUGAAAGUAAAUGAUACCUUCCUUAACCUAGGAAAUUUCAUUAUUAAAAAUGGGGAACAAAUAAGGUUCUGGCAGGACAUUUGGAUGGGUACUCAAUCCUUUAUGAUUUGUUACCCGUCUCUUUAUCAUAUUGUAAGACAUAAAAGUGCCACGGUUGCUACAGUUUUGGCUACAGUACCUUUAAAUGUAUCAUUCCGUAGGGUGCUUGUCGGUCAAAACCUCACUUUGUGGUAUAAUUUAGUGGCAAGUAUAUUACAUGUUCAGUUGAGUGUCGAUAGGGAUAUUUUUAAAUGGAGUUUAACUAAUUCUGGGCAGUUUACAGUUCAAUCUAUGUAUAUGAGUCUUAUUAAUAAUGGGAAUGUUUUUAACCAUAAGGAAAUAUGGAAACUUAAACUGCCACUUAAGAUUAAAAUCUUUAUGUGGUACUUAUUAAAAGGAGUAGUGCUGACGAAAGAUAAUUUAGCAAAAUGCAACUGGCAAGGUAGCAGUAAGUGUGGCUUCUGUAAUUUGGAUGAAACCAAUCAGCAUUUAUUUAUUGACUGUCAUGUUGCUCACUUUAUGUAGCGGUUGAUAUCAAUCUGUUUUGGUUUACCAGGACCUAGAUCUGUUAAACAUUUCUUUGGGAACUGGUUGAUGGGGGUGGAUUUAAAUACUAAGAAUCUCAUUAUUACAGGUGUCUCAGCAUUGUGUUGGGCUAUCUGGAUAAGUAGAAAUGACUUAGUAUUUAAUAGAGCACAAAUGUUUACUUAUUUGCAGGUUCUAUUCAGAGGAACUCAUUGGCUCAGACUUUGGACGCAGCUGCAAAGAAGUGACGAUUCAGCGAAUCUGUUAAGAAGAGCUUGUCGACAUCUGGAGACGAUGGCCAUGCACUUUUUUGCUUAUCGGGGUUGGAGGUUUUCUAAUAGGAUUACAUUGUAUUGAUCGUUUUCCUUUUUAAGUGAGUGUUGAAUCGGUGAGGAGUAAGGGAGAGUUUAAGUCUUUUAGGCUAAAUGUUUUUGCCUUAUUAUGCGAGUACUUGGAGUUGUUAUUUGGUGUCUGACUUUGGCCCUACCCUCGAAAGAGGCGAAAGCCGGAUUUUGUUCCAUUAUCUAAAAAAAUACUUAUUUUCUAUAAACUUGGUGAAUCUUAUAAUAGUUUAACUUAGAGCAACUUUAAAUGUGAAUCUUAUAAUAGUUUAACUUAGAGCAACUUUAAAUGCAUUACGUAAUACUUAUUGGAAUUUGGCCUCUUUAGCCCACUUAUGGGUGGUCCAAUUCAUAUAAGAAAUCCAAGGUGCUGUGUAGGGAUAGCAUCAGGGACUUUAGUCGUACAUUACUUAUCCAGGUAAGAGAUAACCAAUUUAAACGUGAGGGUGUGCACUACUCUUCACAUGUGACACACAAAGGGCUGUGGAGACUGGUAUGAACUGACACACGCGCUCACUCGCAUUUCAGGUUUUUCACGAAAUUAACGCGUGGCUUGUGACUUGCGAUGAUGAAUGAUCGCGUCGUGACAUGUUCUAAAUAGCAGUUUAUUUUUUGUCUUUUAUUUAUUUGGUUAUCAAGUACCACACCUAGCUAGACUGCCAUGUCAAUCGAGAGUAAUUAGGCGCGCACUGCGUGAACUCCGUGCGGUUGUACUUAGAGAGAUUUGAGAGGACGGUUACUGGAAUUUAGUAGAUCGAAUCUGGAACAAUUGCGGCGACUCUUCUAUAAAGGGGAGAUGUCCUUUAGACGAAAGGCAUACAACAAUCAACCUACUCGUCUUCUCAUUCUGAACUUUAUGUGUUACCGCUUCUCUACUCUAUCGUCCCUGCGUCUGCCAUGCAACAAAUCAAGGAAGACCAGUGUAUUCGAACCAACACAGAUAUUUUGACGACCUGCACGGGCGUUGAGAAAUUAGGUUUCUGGGAAGUGCACCACGCACGUAUGUUCAUGUUCUUCAAAUCCAGUUGUGGGAAGCACUAUAAGUAGAUAUGCAAUUUCUGUUUAUCAUGACACAGAUCUUUUGCAUAGAUCUAUUGUUCAUUUGUCUUCUGUUCAUUAAUUGUUUGGUUUGGUGAAUCUGAUGCUUUUCAAGAGUACAUUACUAAAGCACAUAAUCCUAAAUUUGUGAAGUCUUCUAGGCAAACCACAACUUGAGAUCUAAUUAAGCUUUACAAUGAACGUGUGCUUAAGCUUAUUGAGUCAUUUCAAUCUGUUUCAUCUGUUGCUCUAACUUCUGAUAUCUGGAAUGUUAAAGCUAAAGAAGACUACAUUUAUGUUGUUGCUCACUUUUUGAAUUCCAAUUGGGAGCUAGAAAAAAGAUUGAUUGGUCUUAGGGUCAUAUAUGUGAAACAUUCUGGUAAUAAUUUAGCAGAACAUGUUAACAUGGUUGCUGAUGAGUGUGGUUUAAGUGAUAAAAUAUUUGCUAUUACUCUAGAAUCUACUUUUAGUUUGGUUGGCAGGGUUAUUGAGGAACAUCGUCGACGGCUCAUACCGGACAUGGUGGAGGUUCUAUCAUGUAUCAAAGACCGGGAGUUAGCAGAUUUACACAAGCAACACAAUCUUGAGAAUGACACAUAGAAAUAGAAUUGUCCUUGAAAGAUUGAACAAUGAUGGAGGAGGAGACGAAGAAAGCCAAUCAAGGACUCAAGAGUUAAGGGUGAACGAGUGAAUUAUUGUAACUUGUAAUAUUGUCCUCUGUCUCUAUCUCUGGUGAAUUGUUGUAUUGAACUCUGAACACAGUUGCAUACGUUAUAACUUUGAGCUGGUUGUACCUUUUUCCCUUUUUAGGGUUUUCUCACAAGGUGUGAGUUUUUAUCUAGGAAGGUUUCUAAUAAGGCGACAUUGCAUAAACAACUCAAAUAAUAUUUUGUCAUUCAAUUCUUGUGUGGCCUUUAGUGUUUUUUGUGAAUUCUGUUAUAUACCAAUAUAUAUGUGAUUUUCGGGCCAGACCCGCCCCUGUACUAAUGAGCUAUCCAAGCCAACGGUACGGCAUGACCUACCUGAGUAGCAAGCGAGUCGUGCCUAGACCGAAGGGUCAACACGCUAGGUAAGCCCGGCACGAUCCAGAUGUUACCCGUGCCGUGCCUGGCACGCCCCGAAUGGGCCGGGCCGGAGCGGACCAUUUGGAUAUCUAUAAGUCCAAGCAGCUCCAUACAUGUUUGCAGGUGCAGCAGUCCGAAUAGCUACAAUAUUGCUGGCUGCUAGUCAGCCGAACAAUAUAGAAAUAUGAUUUAUAAUGACGGUUUUUAAAAAAAAAACUACCAAUAGAAAUAACACUAACGUAUGAUAACUGAAACCGUACUACAAAUUAAACUUCACCAUAGACUUUCAGUUAUUUUUCUACAAGUGAGGGUUCCGGUACAAUGAGUCAACGAGCUACAAGCGGUGGUGGGCGCGGGAGGCAGUGCCGUCGUCGAAGUUCUGGUAGUAGCUAUGCAGGUCAUACCCGAACCUCACCACGGUUCGCCUCGGCCGCGCCGUGCGUCUUCUCCAAGAGCGCCUCAACCUCGACAGCAGCAGCUUCACCGCCGCAGCUGACCGGCGAUCGCCGCUCCUAGCGUGGACGACCCUCCCGCCCAAGCCGCUGCCCCCGAUCUAUGGGCCUUGCAGAGACGCCGCCAUGAUCGUUCACUCGGUUCUCACAAGUCACACACUCUUACGUUGCGACUAACUAGCUAGCGCUAGCUAGGUGCUCUAUCUGCUCCGAGCUGGCGUCGUAGGUAUCUGCUGUGUGCUGCAGUGUAGCUUCUGAAGAUCUUGUGCAAGCAAAACGAUACUCCAUGCCCGCAGCUUUAUAAGCUCGGAUGCUGGGAGCAUUCCGACACGUGUCGAUCCAACCGCCACUAGUACACAGAAGCUCUAUAGUGGCGGUUCUAAACCUAUUUACACUGGCGUUUUUCAGUACCGCCAGUGCUAGGGGCCAGUGGAAAUCAGCAUUUCCACUGGCGGUUAUUUUGGAACCGCCAGUGAUAAUAGAAUUUCCACUGGCGGUUUUCUUAAGGAAACCGCCAGUGAUAAUAGAAUUUCCACUGGCGGUUUGCUUUAUAAAACCGCCAGUGGAAAUGCACUUUUCACUGGCGGUUUUCUUUAUUUAGCCGUCAGUGGAAGUUUUCCCGCCUUUUUUCAAAAUUUCAAACAAUACUGAAUUAUAUAUAUAUAUUUAUUUACACACACACAAACAUAUAUAUAUAUAUAGAUCUAUAUUGAUAUUGAAAGCAACAUGAAAUUAAAUUCUAUCAUACAUUUAUAUACAUCAAAGUAUUCUUUUUACAACCAUAUAUGCUUCAUGCAUUCUACACAUCAUAAGUUUUCACCUAAGCUCUAAUAACUAUCUCGGCUAAGAGAUAAUCUACUAAUUUCUGUUAGUAUUCUAAACUCUGGCAAAGCUAAUGUUCCGGAAGCAUCGUGAUAUUUUCCUUCUGCGGGAAUGACCUCUUUCAAUAUGAAUGUGCAGAGGUCCUCGACUAUGCCAUACAAUGCAGCUUCGGUCAAGUUCUCCGGGUUUCCUCGUUGAAAUUGCUGUAAAGGAAUUUUAUAAACAUCAUCUAUUUAUACUCAAUAAUAACACAUUUGCAUCUUUAAUGACAUAAAUACAUACUUGACUAUUACUAAUAAUACCUUGUCAGGGUUCGUGAUGUAUCGUCCGUUCACUCUCAUGAACUCGCACGCAUAGAAUUCACAUAGGACCGAUCCUUGUGGUUGCUUGUGGCACUACAUAACGGGAGAUUGGUUAUUUAGUUGCAACAUUGUGUAUGAUAUGUAUUCGUAAAAUCACAUACUUACCGGCCAGUGAUGAUGGAUGUCUAGUGGCACGCGUUGUUUCGACAGGUCGUACUUUCCACCUCUCAUCUUAUAGAAUCUAUAAGCCCUGUGAUCUCAAAUAGAAUCACCAUGUUAUUCUCAAAUUUUAAUCGAUAAAAGUAUGCAUGCAUAGAAAAGGCUUACAGCUCUAAGAUGCUGAGGAAUUCUGCAUAUGUCGAAGGGUCGAAGUUCAAGGAGUCGAGCACCAGCACCUUUCCAACCUUAGGAUAAAUGAGGAAGCAUAUCCAGUGGUCCCUGUACGAAUCAAAUUUGUGAUGCAUGUGUAUUGAAAUUAUUAAUUUUAUUUAUGCAAAAUCACAGUUACUUAAAGUUGUACGGGGCCAUUAUGGCUUCCCUGUCUUGAAAUUGAAGCAUUGCAUGUCCUAUGUAGGUGGCGUAUCGAGCUUCAAAAUCCUUCUUCAUGUCCUUUAUACGCUUCUCAACUUCUUCGUCCGUCUUUCCCCGUAUUUCAUCGUUGUCUUUCCCGAUUCUAAAAGUGUGUCUUUCCUCGGAUAUAAGUAUUGGGUUGAGAUACCCAACCCUUUUACUGGCACUAGCAUUGGGCUUGGUACCGUAAAGGAUCUCCUGCUGAUCAUGUUGCAUUCUGCAAGUCACACGUGCAUGUCAGAUAUUGAAAUUUUAUACAGCUCACUAAUAAUAACACACAUAUGUGGAAGUAUGAGCGACACUUACAAUGCAAACAUCGUUACAAGUUGCACGUCGAGUCUCUGAAGGUUCAUCAUUAACCACAUGUCCUCGAAUGUAACAACGGCCUUUUGGUCCGAACCAAUAAAAGCAUGGUCUGGUAUAUGCACACUGAUGGUGUCGAUGCCAACCGAUGAUGCCCGCAUGUACCAGUCAUGCAACCUUUUAACACCAGCCGGGACCUUUCUUAGUUUCUCAAGAGGUAGCAGAGGUCUGCCCGGCACAUAUUUUUUAGGCACGUUUUUGUAAUCUGCCUUAGUUGGCUUCUUUAUCUUUGCGGCCAUUGCCUCAGCCUUUUUUGCAGACUCCUCGUGCUCGGCCAAAUCAACAGUUUGUGACGUGAGGCUCCGUCCAAUCCCUUUCAAAAAUCGAGCUGUGCCAGCAGUACUAGCUUUACUCUUCUUUUUCUGAUACGGGGACACCAAUUUUGGUAUAGGAAGUUUAGAUUUCUUUGAUGGCCGUGGAUCCUUUGAUGGCUGUGGAGAAGGUGGAUCCCUUGAUGGUGGCGUAGACAGUGGGUCACCAAGAGGAUGGGGAGGAGAAGGUGGUGGAGCCCUGAAUGGUGAUGCUUGUGGCAGAGACAGUGGGUCAGAAAAAGGAUGAGGAGCAGCAUGUGAAGUUUGAGGAGGUGAUGAUGGAUGUACAAUAGGAACAUCAAUUUGAGAAGGAGGAGACGGUUGGGCCUGUGACGAAUUCGACCAAUCAAGCAAUUCGACAUCCCUUCGAGGCCAAAGGAUAAAAUUCUUGAUAGCUUGUCCAAGUUUCUCGAUACCUUCGGGCCCAGGGAUGUCUAGCAUGUCGUCCUCGGAUCCUUGGACGACCGUCGUCACUUCUACUUUGCAAUAAUCAUCUGGAAUAUCGUUUCCAUGGAACUUGCGUCCUGGGAUCGCAAGGCCUGUGGCUACUUUCUUUGUACGUUUAUUGUUAAUACCAUAUCUUAUAACCAGUGUGCACGCCACAGGCCUUGUGAUGUCAUCAACUGGAUAACUGACCUUAUUUCCCGUUGAAGCAACAGAGCUUGGGAAUGUCGUACAAUCGGUGGAAGCCGGCGGUUGAGCUGCUGGAAUUAUUUGUAUCUGUGGAGUGGUCAUCUGUUGAACAGACAUCGCACUCGCCAACUGUUGCAUCAAUUCUGGAGGAGGAUUCGAUAGCAUUUGAGACAUCAUGGCUUUGAACUCUUUCUUGGCCUCCUCCUUAAAAUAAUCCGCCAUCUCUUCCUUGUAUCGAUCACGUUUCUUGUACAGACCUUCCCACUGUGGUCUGAAUCCUUCCUUCCAUCCUUCCUUAGACGAGAUUCCUCGUACACGACCAGGAUGCUCAGGGUUACCGAGACCAGCCGUUAGGAUGUCUCUUUCCCUUUGUGGCUUAAAAGUUCCUUGGCUCUGCUUAGCUGCCAUUGUAUAUAUGUUUUUUGCCGCUUCUUCGACAAUGGGAUCAUCAAAAGAUACACCGGUCUCGGUUUCCCUUGGUUUUCUAGCACGGAGCCAAUUUGCCGCCCUUUCACCAAGUUGCUCGGACAACGUCGGCAACCCUACGGCCUUCUUCUCGGCGUCUUCUUGUGUCCAUUUAGGAACCUGACGCUUGUAACCACCUGUGCCUAGGUGGUGGCGGUACUUGUUCUUCUUUGAUAGUUCCGAAUUUGCCUCACUUAGAGAUAUGAAAUCAGGGCUGCUCCUCUGCUCUAGAAAUACUGCCCACUGACCUGCUGAGAUUUUAUAUUUUUUGGUCGGUUCCAGACCUUUCUUUGCAAACUUUGUGUUCAUCUCAGACCUCCAGUUUCGGAAAUUGAUUGCAAGCUGCUUCAUCGUGUAUUCCUUCACGAGUUCUUCUGAACCCCGAGGCAGAACGAACCUCAUUAAUAGCUUAUUCCAUAUUUGAUUCUUGACAUCAUCUGACACAUCUCUCCACUGUCGUAUUGUUAUGUCAAGAUUAUCUCUAACUAAAAACCCAAGUGCAUUCCGGAACUUAGGUAGUGCCUCUUCUGGAGCUAGGGGCUGACCUUUCGGGCUCACGUCUGAGAUUUUGUAUGUUUUGUCGGGAAACUUGUUCAGCCCCCUGUCACCUCUUUUUUGAUCGCUCUGCUUCCUUUUCCUUGACGUCUCGGUUGUUGUCUUGGUCUGUUCCGGUGCGUCUUGGGUCGGCUCCGGUACGUCUUCAUAUCGUGCCACGGCUUCUUCGAGUAUCGCACGAAAUUCAGACACGACCUUCUAUUCAUGUAAUAAAAUGCACAAGAGAUCAUGCAUGUGAAAUCAGUAGGGUACACAUACGAAGCUAAAGAUGCGUACUUUUACCUCAGCUUCUCGUGGAUCAUAAGUAGGGUCACGUUGCAACUCACGGAGAGCGGCCCUAUCUAUGCUAGUGGUAGGAAAAGGGUCGCUAGGCGUUUCAUAUCCUUCACUGCUGGAUUGUUCUUGAGCAACACUCUUGUCCAUGUGGUCGGGCACUAAUCCUUGGUCCUUGAUCGGAGAACUCUUGAUCAUGGAUGCCUCGGGACAAGCACGGGUUGAUACAUAGCCAUUCAGUAUUGACAUGAAAAGCUCAUACGUCCACAUUUCAUGCAAGUACAUAGGACCCAAUGCCUCUAUUUGUGGCACCAAGUGCACCACAAGGUGCACCAUAAUAUCAAAGAACGAUGGAGGGAAACACAUCUCAAACUGUGAUAUUGUCUCCACUGCGAAUUCCUGAAGAGAUGCCAACUCAUCACGGCCAAUUACCUUUUGUGAAAUCCUGUUGAAAAAGUAGCACAACCGUGUGAUUGCCAUCUUUAAAAACAAAGGAUUUAUAGCCCUGAUGGCAAUAGGUAGGAAUGUAGUCAGCAUGACAUGGCAAUCAUGUGAGUUGUAGUUGGUGAUUGUCAGGUCUUUCAUUGACACAAUACUCCGUAUGCUAGAGCAGAAUCCAGAUGGGACUUUCAAAUUCUUGAGCCAAACACACAUCGCAUGUUUCUCAUCUACAUUGAGAUUGUAGCUUGCUGCUGGGAGAUGGUACUUCCCAUUUUCUUGAAGAACGGGAUGUAGUUCCUUUUUUAUGCCUAAAUCUACCAAGUCCAUGCGUGAAUUGAGCCCUUCUUUUGUUUUGCCCUUUAUGUCUAGCAAGGUGCCCAUUAUGCUUUCAAACACGUUCUUCUGAACGUGCAUACCAUCGAUCGCAUGCCGCACAUCUAACUCUUUCCAGUAAGGCAAGUACUCGAAGAAAAUAGACUUCUUCUUGAAUAUAGCCCCCGGAGCUGGUUUGGCAUCCUUCCUUGUUUUUCCGUCUUUUGUCUUCUUCCCGAAAACAAACUUGAUAUUCCUGACUAUUUCAAAAACUCUAUGACCUCUAUUGUUACCCGAUGGAGCAGUAGAAUGUAGUUCACCAUUAUUGUCGAAGUACUUAUCCAUCUUUCGCAUGCGGUACCUGUGUCCUUCCAAUAAAAAGCGUCUGUGCCUCAUGUAAACUAUCUUCUUAGAUGCAGCAAGGGAUACGUAAGCAGUUCCAUCAAUGCAUACUGUGCAACCAACCUUUCCCUUAAACUGGCCUGAUAAUGUGAAGAGAGCAGGGUAAUCGUUGAUCGUAACAAAAAGAAUUGCUCUCAGCGUGAAUGAACCUUUACGAUACUCAUCCAACAUUUGAACACCCGUUUCCCACAAUAUUUUCAUAUCCUCCAUUAAGGGCUCCAAAAAUACAUCCAUGUCAACUCCAGGUUGUGUAGGUCCAGAAAUAAGGAUGGUUAGCAAAAUGUACUUCCGUUUCUGCAUCAACCAUGAAGGAAGGUUGUAUAUGGUGAGGAUCACCAGCCAUGUGCUAUGCUUGCUGCUCCUCUCAGCAAAUGGGUUCAUUCCAUCAGUACUCAGUGCGAACCUAACAUUUCUUGGUUCAUCGGCAAAGUCUCGGUGGUUGUCAUUGAAAUCUUGCCACUGCUUCCCAUCGGCUGGAUGUCGAAGCUUCCCAUCGUUUUUGUGCUCAUCAGAAGCAUGCCAGCUCAUAAGUCUGGCAUCCUUAGGAUUAGCGAACAAACACCUCAAUCGAUCGACGACGGGGAGGUACCACAUCACCAAAGCAGGAAUCUUUUUGAGCGCAUAAUAGUCUACUUCUUUUUCUUUGCUCGUGGAUUUUGAAGUCUUUUUUUGGGCUUUCUUUCGCUUCUUCCCUUUAGACACGGAUGCAACACACUCUUCCUCUCGAUAGUCUUUAUUCGUCUUGUACCUACUUGCACCGCACUUUGGGCAGCUCUCCAAGUCUUUAUAAUCAUCACCUCGAUAAAGGAUGCAGUGAUUUCUACACGCGUGGAUUUCUCCACACCCAUAGUGAGCGGACUGAUUAGUUUCUUUGCAUAGUACGUGUUAGCAGACACUUUGUUCUCCUUUGGAAGCAUGUCUGCGAUAAUACUCAAGAACGCAUCGAAGCCAGCAUCAGACACACCAUAUCUAGCUUUUAACAUCAACAGCUUUAGCACAGACCGGAGCGUCGUGAACUCUUUGGUACAACCCUUAGACUCGUCGUACAAAGGCUCUUCUGCUGCCUUCUUCAGGGACUCCAUACCUUUCAUGAAGAACAUCGAUUGAUCUGUAUGACGACGCAACAUUGCCUCUAGCAACUCUGCAUCUUCCUCAUCCAUAACACUUGGCAGAACAUGAGGUCUAUCAUGUUCAUUUCCUCCAGCGUAACCAUGAUCAGUAACAUUUUGCACUACAUGUUCGCUCUGUGGAAGAGGUUGGUGUGUCUCGUGAACGAAUUGAAAUCUGUCGUCGAUGUUCUCAGGGUUUCCAGUCGUAUAAGGCGAAGAGCUACCCUCUCCAUGCUUUGUCCAAAUUGUGUAAUCCUUCAUAAAUCCUCGGCAUACCAGAUGAGAUAUGAUUUGUUCUGUGUCAUUAAAUACAGCAGCAUUUUUGCAGUCCAUGCAUGAACAAUAUAUGUGUUUUGUCUUUGUUCUCCAAGCAUGGUUCGUAGCGACAUCAAUAAACCUAUGGACCUCAGAUAUGUAUGAUGGAUCUAGCCUUGAUAAGUUAUACAUCCAGGAUGUCCUCUCCAUCACCACCUGUAAAAAAGUAACAUAAACACACAAGAACCAACCUUUCUUAGCAACCUUCUUCCAAAAAUAAAGAUAAAAACCUCCCCCCUUGUAUUUUGUGAAAUCUGGCCCUCCAAUGGAAGUUGGGCUGCGAGCUAUAGUUCUUGUCGGGAAGGAUGAAGGGGUGAAACCCUAUAUCCAAAAUGUGGCUAAAUUUGAGGAAAAUGAACAAAAAUUAGCAAGAGGAACAUAAAACCAAACUUUCCUAGCCAUACUCUUCUCUCUAACACAUGGUGAAGGCCUAGUUCCAAAAUUGAGCAAAGAUGAACAAUAAUUGGCAAUUAAAACAUAAUUAAACCAACCUUUCAUAGCAACUAAUAAUAAAAACAAUCUUAAUUACCAAACCUAUCUUCUUCUCUCUCCACACAACACAUGAACCAUUCAUUAAACAACUUAAUAUGUCAUGGAUAAACUGAUUUGAGAACUAAACAUGAAAAAGGAGAGAGGAUAGACAAAAUCUAACCAUAUUAAACAACUUUAUUUGAGAGAAUAGAGAAAAUAACCUAGCUAUACACUUUCUCUCAAAUGGUGAAACCCUAGAUCCAAAAUGUGGCUAAAAUUGAGCAAAAAUGAAUAAAAAUUGACAUUAGCAACAUAAACCAACCUUUCUUAGCAAUCUUCUUCCAAAAAAUGAAGAUCAAAACCUCUCCCCAUGUAUUUUGUGAAAUCUGGACCUCCAAAAUCGCCUCCAAUGGAAGUUGGCUGCGAGCAUACAGUUCACUGUCGGGGGAAGAAGAGGGGUAUUUAUAACAGACAGUUCACUGGCGGUUGGCUUUAAAAACCGCCAGUGGAAACCUAUUUCCACUGGCGGUUAUCUUAACACAACCGCCAGUGGAAAUAGGAUGUUUCCACUGACGGUUAAGUUAAGAUAACCGCCAGUGGAAAUCAAUUUUCACUGGCGGUUGGUGUUACACAACCGCCAGUGGAAACAUCCUAUUUCCACUAGCGGUUGUGUUAAGAUAACCGCCAGUGGAAAUAGGUUUCCACUGGCGGUUUCUUAAGCCGGGCCCACCUGUUUCUUUCACUGACGUUUGAUAACGGAAACCGCCAGUGAAAAGUUGAACGUGUCGCAGGCUUUAAGCUCUUUUCUACUAGUGCGCCACCCGGUCCCACCAGCACGCACUCACGUACAUGGUGACGACGAGGCAUCCACUACGGCGAUCAUCUGAAAGGUCCAAGCAGCUCCAUGCAUGUUUAUGUAAGUCGCCGCCGUGCAGUCGAAAGAAACAUAACUGUCAACUAGCAACAACGGACGCACGUGCAUAUUUGCUUUAGUGACGCAAAUCGGACCUCGGUAGCCAGCUAGAGGAUCAAAGGUUGGCCAUGGCAACUGGCGGCGCCUACUCACUUGAUCUGCUUCCUAUCCGUCCUGCCGAUAAGGUCGGCGGCUUCCUGCCCGUCUUGCCGCUGGAUCAUGCAUGUCGGACUCGGAGUCACUACCGGAAUCCGGGCACCAGUAUAGCACUCGGAACUAUACCACUCGGUAAAAAACCAAGACCUGAGCACCAGUAUAAGUUCUUUGUCGAGUGUAGUGGCUCUGGCACUCGGCAAAGAAGCACACUUUGCCGAGUGCCAUACCAGGCAUUCGGCAAAGUACCUGACAUGGGGACCUCUCUGGCGGAUUCUUUGCUGAGUGCUGUUAGGCACACACUCGGCAAAGGUAACUUCUUUGCCGAGUGUUGCCUGGGACACUCGGCAAAGACUCCGUCUCCGUCACCCAUCGCCGUAACGGAUGCUUUUCUUUGCCGAGUGCUCUCUGGCACUCGGCAAACCACUUUGUCGAGUGCCCGAAAAAGUACUCGGCAAAGACGGUUUUACCGAUGCACUGUAUGCCGAGCCCUUUUGUCGAAUGCGACAUUCGGCAAAGCGUUUACCGAGUGUUUUUAAGGCUUUAUCGAGUGUUUCAGGCACUCGGCAAAGCCGUCGGUUCCGGUAGUGAAUGGUCACCUCUGUUACUGUAGAGAUACAGGCCGGUAGGUCAGCGGCUAGACACGUGGCGUGUCCAAUGCAUGCACGCAUGUGUGGAGGGAGCUAGCUAGCUACAUGGCCCAUGGCCGCCGGCACCAUGGAUGUGUUCCACAUGCAUGCGGCCGAGGUUGGAUAUGGAUGUUAGUUGUGCAGAAGUCAGCGUCCAAUCAGAGACAACUAGCCAUAUUUCCGUGCAAUGCUACGGUUUAUGUGUCCGUGCAAUGCUACAAUUUUUAUAGGAUAAAUUUUAUUUUAAUAAAGCAUAAUAUAUAUAUUUUCUAUUGAUUAAGUAGUUGUGAAUGUAGAGCCAACAACUAAGGUUUAAAUACUCCCUUAUACAUAAUUUCACCUUAUUUUUUAUAUAAACUCUUCUAUUAUAGCAGUAGAGAAGAGAUUAUAGUAGUGCGGAUUGAUUCUAAACAAAUGUAGUUUUUUUAAAAAAAAAUGACGCGGGCGACCGUUGAAACUGAUGCUUUAAUAUAGUAGAGAUAGAGAAAGUGUAUGUUUGGUUGAGAAAUGGAGAAGAAUGGAAUGGUUUUAUUCCUAUUUUUUGGAUGUUAAUUUGGUUUCAAAUAAAAGAAGAGCGGUCUUCAUAUGAAAAUUUACCAUAAAUAAUUUAUAAUGCUCCCGCUCUAAAAGAACGACCGGAUGCGAUCGCUCUCCUCACUCUUCUACCAUCUACACUUAUAUGGCUCUACAACGAAAUUUCAACCAAACAAAAAAUGGAGCAGCUCUAUUCUAUUUGCCAAACGCGAAAUAAAACGGUUUUAUUCUAAAAAACCGGAAUGGUGUCACUCCAUUCUAGUUGACUCUCCAACCAGUGUAUUAUUGACUUAUUGUUGACGCUGAAUUUUAUAUUAAAUUACACAGAGGUAAAAUUUGCAACAAUGAUCUAGCUAGGGAUCUAAGAUACGAUGUUAUCAAAGAUGGGUGGUGGGUUUCAGUCUCCAGUGAGGAAGGAUGCGCGCAAAGAGCACUCCAAACCACUCACUAUGGAUAAUAAUAACGGGUAAUCACUGUUUAUUUCUGGAUAAUCUUAGCCUUGCACUGAAGAUGACUAAGCUUAGGACGUGGACAUUUUUUUUACAGCUGGAACAUGCAUGUAUGAUGUAUGGUCUUCUGAUAUCUCCAAAAAAAGAGAAAAGAUGUCGUCGAGCUGAGUCAUCAAUGAAUUUCUACAUCCUAAAGAAAUGGAAAGGGAACGCACUAGUGUUAUGCUAAAGCGAAAAUCUCUAGAAAAGACAAAAGCUUCUAGGCUUUUCUUAGAGAAGCGAAGCUUCUACUUACUUGCGCUCGUCUUCAGCUUGAACGGAUAAUCGACAGAUAUAUGCAGGGGACUGUGGUAGUACAAAUCAUCCAAGUCAUCAUGGUACAAGGAUGACACUAGUAGAAAAGAGCUCUAAGGUGGCGGCACGUAGAAAUUUAUACUGGCGGUUUCAGUUACAACACGCCAGUGAAAAAAACAGGGCCCGCCUUAACGAACCGACAGUGUAAAUAUAUAUACACUGACGGUUCACUUAACAUAACCGUCAGUGUAAAGGAUGCAUUUACACUGGCGGUUAUAUUAAGUAAACCGCCAGUGGAAAUAUCAUAUACACUGGCGGAUGUAUAAAGUGCACCGUCAGUGUAAAGGAUAUAUAUACACUAGCGGCUGUAUAAAGUACGCCGCCAGUGAAAAUAUCAUAUACACAUGCGGCUGUAUAAAGUGCACCGUCAGUGUAAAGGAUGUAUAUAAACUGGCGGCUGUAUAAAGUACGCCGCCAGUGAAAAUAUCAUAUACACCAGCGGCUGAUUAAAGUGCACCGUCAGUGUAAAGGAUGUAUAUACACUGGCGGCUGUAUACAGUACGCCGCCAGUGAAAAUAUCAUAUACACUGGCGGCUGUAUAAAGUACACCGUCAGUGUGAAGGAUGUAUAUACACUGGCAGUCACUUAGGGGGUGUUUGGUUUAAGGAAUCACUACAUCCAAAUUGAGGUGGUGCAUCAUGGGUUCAUUUCUCAAAUUUGGUGGGAUGACCCUAUUCCUCAUAUUAGUACUAAUUCAUAUACACUGGUGUGUUUGGUUUGUGGAGUCACUCUAUGCUUCAUGAGGUGAUGCAUCAUAAAUUCAUUCCAUCAAUUUUGGUGGAAUCAACCCACUCCUCAUGUAUAUACUAAUUUAUUAGCUUAUAUAUGAGGAAUGUGGUGGUGAUGGAUCAACCCAUUCUAUUCCACAAACCAAAUAAAAAAGUGAGGAGUGAGAAUAAGAUGUAUCACUUCAUUCCUCAAACCAAACACACUCUAACUAACUAAUUAUGAGGAAUGAGGUGGUGAUGGAUCAACUCAUUCCAUUCUACAAACCAAACAAAAAUAGUGAGGAGUGAGAAGAUGAUGGAUUAGCUAAUUCCUCAAACCAAACACCCUAUUAUCGAAACCGUCAAUACAUUGCAUGAAUAAUCGGUACUAGAGAGGAUUCCAUACCCCAAUACAUUGCGUGAUUACUCAGUGAUCGGUACCCCCAAUACAUUGCAUCAAUACCAGAGAGGUGAUCAAUACAUCUGAGAUAAACAAUAUAUCACUAACUACUUCAUUACAUCUAACUACUUCAUUACAUACACUACAUCAUUGAUAUUCCAGCAGCGAUCCAAUCUCUCAAAUAUGUCAUUUCUAGACUUGCAUUUACAACGUAAUCAGCUUGGCCAUGCGAACUACUCCCUGAUCCUCCUAUGUGGCCUCGGUCCAACAAAUAGUUAUGCAAAGCAAAACAAGCAAUUAUAAUCUUAACUUGCAUGCUUCUUUCGUAAAAUGGGAGUCCUCGUAGCACAUGCCACCUUGAUUUGAGUAGUCCAAAAGCCCGUUCAACUACAUUACGUAGACUCGAGUGGUGGAAAUUAAACUUUUCCUGCACACUCUCUACUCCUGUUUGAUUAAAAUCUUCUAAGUGAUGUCUCUGAUUCCGAUAUGGUGGCAAGUAACCUUCGCGAAUUGAGUAACCCACAUCCACUAGAUAAUACCUCCCUGUACAAAAAAAUAAACCCAAAAAAAGAUUUACUACAUCGUAAUGCAUGUAUGCAAUGGCGCCAACAAAACAUGCAUGCGACCAUACCUGCUGGUGGGUGUGGAUAGUUCGCUUCUCCCAUACAACUCCUGAGUACUGCCAUGUCAUGGCAAGAACCAGGCAACCCAGCACCUACAAAAGUGAACCGCAUAUCCAUGUCCACUAUAGCUAAUACAUUGUAGCUAGGCCACCCUUUUCUAUUUAUGUGUUCAAGCCUCGACUCAUGACAUACAUGAGCUGGAAUGUGUGUGCCAUCUAAGGCUCCUAUGCACCCAUCAAAGAAAGGGGCAUAAGGUCUAAGCUUGUUAUGCACUUUAGAAAAUGUUGGAUCCUUGGGACAUAUAGUGGUUUGUGCAAAACUAUACAGUGCAUCUGCCACCAUAGCCAUUUUUCUAUGGAUGGUAUCCAAAGACCUUUUAAAUCUGUCUCUAAUUUGUCGUGUUGCUUGUUGUGUCCCACAUGCCCAUAAGAACAUCCCUAAUGCUUCACAUGACUCCACCUCUUGUGUUGACCUUAACCCAUGAUACCUCACUAAAGUAUCAUGCAAUUCUCUAAAAUAAUCUGGAGUCAUACAAAAAUUGUCGUGACACCUCCUAGAGUCCCUCAUAUUAAGUUCCACCCAUUGCCGUCCUGUCACGUGCGGCAAUGGAGUAUGAAGAUUGAUCAUAGGAGCAAGAGUAUACGAACUAGAAGCGAAAGCAGCUAGAACCGCCGCUGCACCAGCUUGUUGGAAUAUGUUGGAGCUAUCAUCACUUGCCGUGUCGCUAUGGCUGGAGUCUUCUGCACUACUCAUCUCGGAGUUGCCUACAUUUAACAGAAAUGCAAUACUCACCAAUUUGAUUAUAGACCAUUCAAAACAGAUCGAAAUACAAUACUUAACAUACAAUGUUAUAAAACUAAAGUGCACAAGCACAUAAAUUAAAUUGAACUACAAUAUGUCCGCAAACAUCAAAUAAUACCAGAGUGAUUACAACACACACAUUCAAAACUAGACGAGAAAACUUAACAGUGUAUCAAAGCAUUAUUACAACACCACACAGACAAGCUACUUGUUAUUAAUAUGAUUCCAUUGGAACCUAAUCCAAUGGAGGCGUCCCUCUUUGCUUGUCAGUUGAAGAAAAAACUUCCUAUUUAUAUCAUUUUUGCAAAGAAUAUUUGCCAUGCAGUACAAAUCAGAGUCUUCUUCAAUUCCAUCUUCCUUUAAAAGUCGCACAACCUUGACAACUUCUUCGUUUCCACGAUUAAGAGUCUUCUUCAAGUCCAGCUGGCUUCUGAUGCUAAUGCAAUCAGAAAUAUUAGCAAUGUGAUCUUCCAAACUCAUCCUUUUUGCCUUAGGGGGCUAUCCACUGUGGCUUCUCUGAUCCUUUUGGACGAGCAACCCACACCGUCAUCAGGAGUACCGCGGCUGCCAUAGCUUCGCAAGGGUUCACGGACACCUCCAGCACUAAUCAAAUUGCCCCUGUCGUGUGUGGUUCAACUAAACAAAGUGUAAAGCUCAUCAAGAAAGGGUGGUGGUUUUCCUCGACUGCCCUGAGGACUAGGAUCCUGCGUUUGAACAUAGUGCAGAUUUAGUAUUGGUCCAUAAAAAAACUUGUAAUCAAUUCAUGAACAAUGUACCCCUUCCUGGGUCCCCAGUACGAAUCAUCUGCUGCUAUAUCACCAGUCCUUGGUUCAAGGCCAAGCCCAAUAUGGUUCUGCAAGUAUUGCCACUGCUGGAAAGACCUUCGGAGCAAGUUCAAUUUGUUUUGCAGUUUUUUGUUGUCAUAAUCAAGACCAGUCUGCUCUCUAAAGCUGCGAUACACUUAUUGCCAUCCAUAUUUAGUUAAGCCCAUGCUAUUGAAGUUAUUAAGGUUCUUCUGAUUGAUGCAUAGGUCAAUGAAUGUUUUAGUUGUCAUCGGAUCCCAACUGGCACGGUCCGACGAACUCAUCUGUGGGCAAGUUGCACAUGCACGUAACUAUUUGGAACAGAGGACAUGUAGUAAAAGAAACAAGAACUUGUCGUGGUUAAAGAAACAAGAUAAGAACUUGCUGUAAGUCAAUGAAUACAAAGACACAUUUAAUAAUUUCUGAAACAGAUGACAUAAGAAACAAGAUAAGUUAUGCACAAAAGAACUUACCAUGGAAGUGGUUUUGGCACGCUUCUUGCGUAGGUUGUACUGAAUAGGUGCAGUUCUCUUGUCACGUGCAGGUUCCGGGGAACAAGAAUCAGUGAAUGAAUGUGCCAGAUUGGGCAAACUUAUGCACGAACUGCGCCGAAAAAGAAGAGUGAUUUAAUACAUUAAAAUGGAGGCACGAGGGCAGAUAGCAACAGACAUUGCGAUCCCAGGACGUAAGUUUCAUGGAAGCGACAUACCGGAUGAUUAUUGCAGGGUAGAAGUGACGAUGGUCAUCCAAGGAUCUGAGAAUGACAUGCUAGACAUCCCUAGGCCCGAAGGAAUCGAGACACUUGGACAAGCCAUCAAAAAUUUCAUCCUUUGGCCUCGAAGGGAUGUCGAAUUGGUUGAUCCACCAACGCCGUCGUCAUCUCAUCCCCAACCAUCUCCGCCUCCUCAAACUUUAGUACCUUUACAUCCAUCAUCACCUCCACAAUCUUCCCAUGCCGCUCCUCAUCCUCUUUCUAAUCCACCGUCUCCACCACAGGCAUCAACAUUUAGGACACCACCACCUUCUCCACAGCCAUCAAGGGAUUCACGACAAUCAAAGAAAUCUAAAUUCCCUCUACCAAAAUUGGUGUCCACAUUCGAGAAAAAGAAGAGUAAAGCUACUACUGCUGGCACAGCUCGAUUUUUGAAAGGGAUUGGACGGGACCUCACGCCACGUACUAUUGAUUUGGCCGAGCACGAGGAGUCUGCAGAAAAGGCUAAGGCAAUGGCAGCAAAGAUAAAGAUCCCAACUAAGGCAGAUUAUAAAAAUGUGCCUAAACAUUAUGUGCUGGCCAGACCUCUACUAACUCUUGAGAAAUUGAGGAAGGUCCCUGCUGGUAUUAAAAGGUUACAUGACUGGUACAUGCGUGCAUCAUCAGUUGGCAUUGACGCCAUUUGCAUAUACCAGACCAUGCUUUUAUUGGUUCGGACCAAAAGACCUUUCUUGCAUUCGAGGAUAUGUGGUUAAUGAUGAACCUUCAGAAACUAGACGUGCAACUUGUGACUCUAUUUGCACUGUAAGUGUCGCUCAUAUUUCCACAUUAUGUGUUAUUAAUUUUCAAUAUCUGACACAUGCACGUGUGACUUGUAGAAUGCAACAUGACCAACAAGAGAUCCUGUACGGUACCAAGCCCGAUGCUAAUGCCGGUAAAAGGAUUGAGUAUCUGAACCCAAUACUGAUAUGUGAGGAAAGCCACACUUUCAGAAUCGGCAAAGACAAUGAAGUGUUAACGGGAAAGACGGACGAAGAAGUUGAGCAUCGCAUAAAUACUAUGAAGAAUGAUUUUGAAGCAAGAUACGCCACCUACAUAGCAAAUGCAGUGCUUAAAUUUCAAGACAGGGAAGCUAUAAUGGCCCCCUACAACUUUAAUUAAGUGUGAUUUUGCAUAAAAAAUAAUAAUUUCAAUACACAUGCAUCACAAAUUAAUUUUAUUCAUACAGGGACCACUGGAUAUGCUUCCUCAUUUAUCCUAAGGUUGGAAAGGUGCUGGUGCUCGACUCCUUGAACUAUGACCCUUCAACCUAUGCAAAAUUCCUUAGUAUCUUAGAGCAGUAAGUCUUUUCUAUGCAUGCAUGCAUACUUAUAUCGUUGAGAAAAUUUUGAAAUAACAUGGAGAUUCUACUUGAGAUCACAGAGCAUUUAGGUUCUAUAAGUUUAAAGGUGGAAAGUACGACAAGACCAAAAAAUGUGUUCCACUAGACAUCCAUCAUCACUGGCCGGUAAGUAUGUGAAUUUAUGAAUACAUAUCAUACACAAUGCUGCAACCAAAUAACCAAUCUCUCCUGUUAUGUAUGUAGUGCCACAAGCAACCACAAGGAUCGGUCCUAUGUGGGUUCUAUGCGUGCGAGUUUAUGAGAAUGAACGGACGAUACAUCACAAACCCUAGCAAGGUAUUAUUAGUAAUAGUCAUGUUUGUAUUUGUAAAUUAACGAUGCAAAUGUGAAUAGAUGAUGUUUAUAAGCUUCCUUUACAGGAAUUUCAAAAAGGAAAUCCGGAGAACUUGACCGAAGCUGCAUUGCAUGGUAUAGUUGAAGACCUAUGCACAUUCAUAUUAAAAGAGGUCAUUCCAGCUGAAGGGAAAUAUCACGACGCUUCCAGUACAUUAGCUAUACCAGAGUUUAGAAUAUUAACAGAAGUUAGUAGACUAUCUCUUAAACGAGAUAGUUACUAGCUAGAGCAUAUGUGAAAACUUAUAUGUUCAGUUUUGAUGUAUAGAAUGUAUCGAAUUUAAUUAAGUUUUGAUUGAUUGAAAAUGUAUAGUUGUAAACAGAAAAAUAUGUGUUGUAAACAAUAUAUUGUAAACAGAUCUGUGUAUAAAAUUCAGUUUUGAUGUAUAAAAUUCAGUUUUGUUUGAAAUGGUAAGCAGACCGCCAGUGCUAAUAUUAUUUCCACUGGCGAGCUGCUAAAGAAAACCGCCAGUGAUAAUAAUGUUUCCACAGGCGUUUUCUUAAGCAGCCCGCCAGUGAAAAUUCAGUUUUGUUUGAAAAAUUGAAAAAGGCAGGAAACUUAUACUGGCGGGAAGCUGAAGAAAACCGCCAGUGAUAAUAAUCUUUCCACUGCCGGUGUCUUAAGCAGCCCGCCUGUGAAAAUGAUGUUUCCACAUACGGUUUCUUAACCAAACCGCCAGUGCUAAAUAUAUUUACACUAGCGGGCUACUUAAGAAAACCGCCAGUGCUAAUAUUAUCAGCACUGUCGGUUUUCUUAAGAAACCGCAUGUGAAGACAACAUUUACACUGGCGGGCUGCUAAAGAAAACCGCUAGUGCUAAUAAUAUUAGCACUGGCGGUUUUCUUAAGAAACCGCAUGUGGAGACAACAUUUUCAUAGGCGGGCUACUUAAGACACCUCCAGUGAUAAUAAUAUUUCCACAUGCGGUUUCUUAAGCAAACCGCCAGUGCUAAUGAUAUUUACACUGGCGGGCUGCUAAAGAAAACCGCCAGUGCUAAUGAUAUUUACAAUGGCGGUUGGCAAACAACCGCCUGUGAAAAAAGACUGAUUUCUAUUGGCCCCUAGCACUGGCGGCACUGAAAAACGCCAGUGCAAAUAGCUCUAGGACCGCCACUAUAGAGCUUCUGUGUACUAGUGUGAGUGGCGAGUCUUAAGGGGGUGUUCUAUGGUCUAAAGUUUACACUACUAGAACAAAGUACUUUGCCACGCAUAACAUUCGGCAAAAGCUUUAUCGAGUGUAGCAUUCGGUAAAAAGGACUCGAUGAACAGUUUAUCGACAACGGUCUAUUUACAGAGUACUUUAUGUCGAGCACUCAGUAAAAAGGACUCGACGAACAGUUUAUUCAAGCGACGGUGACGAAGUCUUUACCAAGUGUCUGCUGACUUGACACUCGACAAAGGGAACUCCAGUGCCCCCCACGCCAGUCUGUGUGCCAAGUGUGCGGUCUGGCACUCGGUAAAGGUAACUUCUUUGCGGAGUGUUAGGACCAUAACAUUUGGCAAAGAAGCUUUACUAAUUCCUAGGUGUGCUUUAUUUGCUGAGUGCUAUGGUCAUUGUACUCGGCAAAGGCACUCUUUGUCGAGUGUGACAUUCAGCAAAGCGACUAGAGUCCCCAUUUUUAUUUGUUUUUAUUAUUCCAUCCAAACAAAUAAAAGAUAUAUCACAUAAUCAUCACAUGUAUAUUGCAGAUAUCACAGAAUCAUCACAUACAUCAUAGACAGUACAUGUCACACCCGGUUUUAGAAGGUAAACCGAAUGCGAACCAUGUACGUGCCAGGAUCAGCAAUUCACGUACACAACAGUUACAUAACAUGGACAUCAUCACACAGUGCUCAAAUAGUAUUAAAAAAGGGAAUAAUAAUCGAUUACAUCAUAUGUCUGAGACAUCCACAUAGUCUUUACAAUAAUCAAAGUGCGAAAACGAAACAUAGAUAAACGCGGCUUUCACAGGCAGCCGACUAGGGGUUGCCGCUAACCCACGCCUAGAACCCGUCGUAAUCUUGGAACUCCUGGUGGUCUCCUUCCACAGCUUCAUCCUCUCCUGAGCAGGGGUUGCAAUGCUGACAACCUGGGGAUGGGGGGGGUUUGGUGUGUAGAGCAAGGGUGAGUACACAUCAACAUACUUAGCAAAUGUCCUGUUUGGCUGAGGUGGACUAGCUUUAUGUGGAGUUAAGUCAAGCUGUUGCUUUUAGUUGGUCAGGUUAUUAUUACUAGUAGAAAGCCAGGUUUUAGAAUUAACCCACGUUAUUAACCCAAAUGUACUCCUUUCCAAACGGAAAGGGUACCACUUACCAUUACCAGAGUCAAUACCAAGAACCAUCAAUCUCAUUGCCACCUGCAAUCCGAACAUCUCUAAUCAAGUACCACUAAUCACUGGAGCUCACUUGGCCGCUCAUAACCGCGAGCACGGCUGAUAUAUCAACUUUCAAACACUCUGCAGAGGUUGUGCACUUUACCCACAAGCCGUGAUUCCCUUUCUGCCCGGAGAUCAUGACUCUCCAUUGAUCACUACCAAGGUGACCCAGCAGGGCCUCACUAUGUAGCCUUUACAAAGAUUUCCCGGGGCUGUAGCCGCCCGUUAGGUUUCCUAAAUGCACCGCACUCCUCCCCAAGGGGCGAACCCAAACUUGGCAGAGCGAGCCGCAUACACCGAGCCCCAUUAACGGCACGACGGCUAAGCGAACUACACCCCAGUUCUUCUAAUUAUUCAGCUAAGGGCAUCCCAUUCCACCCUCAUGGUUGCACUGUUUUCCCGGGCGGUCAUCCAACAAACAGGUCCUUACGGAGAGGCACUCGAGAAACCGCUCGAGCCCCCCUUGAAUACCACAAGUAUAACAUCAUAAUAAAGGAGGAGAAAACAACGUAUCAUUAAUAAUUCUCAUCAUGUUCAUUGAUUAGAGUUGAGCAAUAGCAUAAAGCUAAACAAUAAUAAUCCAACCCACAUGGGUAAACAAGGACAUGGAUAACAAAAGCUAGUCAAUCCUUAGGUAUAAAUGUGAAAUGCGGGAGGUGAAUUAAGAAUGUAUAGGACAAAGAUGGGUUAAGGGACACUUGCCUCCACCAACCAGCUGCUGCUCAGGGGCUUCUCCUUUGGGUUCCUCAGGUUCUUCAACCAGAUCGUUCUCUAUAUGAGCACAAACAUACAUACAUCCACAUAUUUAAUACAAAAGAACAGUACACCAUACAAUAGAAUGCAAUAAAUAAACAGACGUUCCACGCGGGGAUCGCAACUAUGGUUAAGAGAGAGAAAAAGGAAAAGACAGUCGAGAAACGAUCAUGUUACAUAAUUAUAAAUUAAACCACUCGCUUAACAGAAGGGCAUUAAUUUGGACACUACAUUUAGCAUAAAGUAAAGACAUGUUUCAUGUUUUAAUCAUUAUAGAUAGAUAAAGAUGAAUGAAAGGGAGUGGUCGCACGGCGAGACGUACGACACAACAUUUAGAUUGAAUUAAGAAGUAAACGACUCGCCGCGCGAUAGAGCGUGCAACGAGAUUCUUGCAUUAAUUAAAAGUAAUACGUUAAGUGUUGCGCGACGAAAUGCACGACGGCUUACGUCAACUGAACUACAUUUAAACGAAUCAUCGCGCGACGAAGCGCGCAACGCAGCACUUCAAUAAAUAUAAAUUAAAAGAAUCAUCGCGCGACGAAGCGCGCGACGCAGCACGUCGACUAAACAAAUUAAAAUAGAUUAAAACGGGGUUAAGCGCAGUGCGACUACGAUCGCACGCGCGAGAGCGCGCUGCGCGUGCCGAGGGCACGCGAGCCGUGUAGACGCGCGGGACGCGAGUCGCCGGGGCAUGGGCGCGGGCAGGGGGCACGGCCGAGGGGGCGCACGGCCGAGGGCGCGUGGCCGAGGCACGGCGGGGCGCGGCCAGGGCACGGUCGAGGGAGCGGCGUGGGGGCGGGGCUCGCCGAGGAGCAGGGGAGGGCGCGCGGGGAGGCCGUUAGAGGGGGGCCGCGACGGGGGCGGGGGCUCGUCGAGGUGAGGAGGGCGCGGGUAGGGGAGGGGCGCGUGGCAGGGGAAGGGCGCGCGUGGGGGCAGUUUGGCGGGGGUUGCCGCGGCGAGGGCGGGGCUCGCCGGGGAAGGAGGCUCACCGGGCGCAGGGAGGGGCGCUCGGCGGGGAAGGGGCGCGUGACGCCAGGGCGGCGCGGGCGCGAUCGAGGGGGCUCACCGGGGCGCGGGGCACGGGGCGCGCGAGCCGAGGGCGGCGCGGGCGAGGCCGCGGGAGGGCGCCGGGGCGCAGGGCGUGUGAGCCGAGGGCGGCACGGCCGCGGGAGGGCACGCGGGCGCGGCCGAGGGGGCUCGCCGGGGCGCGGAGCGCGCGCGAGCAGGGCGCGGGACGCGCGCGGCUACGGGAAGAAGAAAGGGAGGGGGAGGGAGACAGAGAGAAGGGAAGGGGAGGGGAAAAACUCACCUCCGGGGAUCCAAACUCCAGCGAUCUCGACUCCAAACCUUAGGGCAGCACGGGGAGAGAGAGAGAGGUGGAAGAGGGAGAAGGAGGUUACUGCGCGGGAGAAAUCAAAUGAGCCAAACGGAUCUGGGGGAGGGGGCGCGCAUGGGGAGGGCAGGGGGCGCCAGGGGCGCGCGGGCCGGACUAGGCCACACCACGGAUCAAAACCCAUGACACGCACGACCAUUAAAUGGAAUCCAAUCGCGAACCGAAAUCCGAAACGGAACGAGACGAACACGCGACAUCAGACAAAGAAAUGUGCUUCGACAUGAUGCAACACCCAUGACACUUAGGUUUUGUUUAUACAUGACACGGACACCUGUCACUAUACUGGUUUGAAAUUAGGAAGGAGUGAAACGGGAAGAGAAAAGAGAGUAACGCCCGAAUUUGGUGAGUGAAAAGAAGAAAAAAUUCUACCCCCAAAUUCAGGGCGUUACAGUACAUAUCUCACAAAGACCACAAAUCUCACAAGUUUCUUCACAAAGAUAACAAAAAGGUUGAUGUCACAUGUAUCACAAAAUAGUUCACAAAACUCACAAGUACUCAUAGAAAUUAGUCCACAACAUCCAAUCUAUGCCAUAAACAUGUCCCACAACUAAGUUCAGAAGAACAUCAGCGAGGUGGCCAGCUGAACUGAUUCGGCGAAGGGUUGGGCGAACCAUGAAGGUUGUUUGACACUGCCGAUUGAUUCUGCAUAGAGUAGAGAUUUUAUGUGUGAGACCAAAUGAAAUAUAUAUCAUACAUGACUAAAAUUUUCAUACUUAUAAGAGUAGAAAACUGAGUAGGUUCACCUGCAGGGAAUAAUGGAGGUGGUGGAGCAAAACCUGAUGUGGUACCAAGGUCUGCAUGUACUGAAACAUCUCUGCCAUCCUCUACUGAUCAACCAAGCCAGUCACCCGCUCCACCUCCCGCCCCUCAUCCUCGCCUCCAUCUCCAUACAUUCCCUCCUCUCUUCUUCUAGCUGAGCCUGCAAUAUUUCACCCCAAUGUUACGAUAAUGUAAAGAGAAGGCAUAUAACUCAGUGAAUUGACGAGGCAUAGAAGCACUAACAUGGAGUUCUUGUAUGCGAUGAUGUGAGCUGUCUUGCCGAGAUCGUAUGGCUGGGCUUGCGCUCGUGCUCCUUGCUCGCACCUGAGAUAGAGUGGGAAUAGAGAAUGAGUCAAUUGCCUCGUCGGCAAUCCAGUACUGUCCGUGCCUCCUAUCUCCUCCAACCCUCAUGAGGGCAUCUCCGUCUAUGUCCUCGGACCUCAGAUCGUAUUCUGGCCCAUGGACCUCCUACUCUUUUGCCAUGGCAGUGUACUCACUAAGGCGUCUUUGCACGUUGAGGUUGUUGUACGCCUCGGACCCAUCCUCUGGGUUGUAGGUGAUGUCGGACGUCGCCUUUCCCUUGUGGGCCAUAGCAUACAACGAGAAAAUGAAACAAGGUUGACUACCAUGUGAUGCCGACAGCGAGAAAACCAACGAUAUAGUUAGAAAUCAUGCAUAAUCGAAAGCUAGACUAAAUAAAAUAAAUCGUGUAACCAUGUUUCUGCGUAUUUGGUGACGCCGCCACUGCCUUGGUGGUGGGAGGCACCUUGCAUCAUCAAACGCUGGUCCCGACAAGCGUUGUGUGUCUCAUCUCACUCGUUGGAGCACCUCCUUUGCACCAUCCGAUCCCAGCACUCAUGGAUGCACUGUGCACAAAUAAGGAAUCGUCUAUAGGAAAUAAAAUAUAUGACAUAUUAGAAGAUAAAAUUAAGCAUAUUUAAUGUCAAUAUUAGUGCGUGACGACCAUGGCUCCCUAAUCCAGCGGCACUACGGCGGUAGCUCCCCGGUGGCACGGCGGCGGCAACAGUUCCUCGAUCUAGAGGCACGGCGACAGCGGCUCCCCGAUCUGGAGGCACGACAUCGAUAGCUUCCUAGAUGCCUGGCGGUGGCGGCUCCCUAGAGGCGCGUGCGGGGUUUGCCAUCCGCACCGUGGGCCCCAUGACAUUCUUUGAUCCGGCGCACUUCGAGCACCCCCGGCGAGCGGUGGCGAACCCAGAGGCGAGGUGGCGAUUCCGCGAGUGGCGGCCCUAUUUUUAUGCUACUUUGUAUACAUAUUUUAUACCAAUGUCAAUAGGUGUUUACGACAUAUAUUUCAGUUCAUGGCUCCCCUUCCAUAUAUUGUUUGUCUAUAAUAUUUCUAUUCACAUUUUAAGCAAACAUUUAUUGAUUUUAUGUAUUAUCUCAUUACCUAACCUAGUGUGUAUAUUGGGUUCCUACCAUUUACGCCAUAUGUAUAAGAUAUUUACGACACACUCGUUUACACAACGAAACAAAAAUUCACAAAAAAGGUAACCGCUCCCGGAAAUAAGGCCAUUUGCCAUGAUUUCAUAAAAUCUCACACAUGCAAUCCCUUGAUUAAUGGUGUCCACUACUACCAUAAAAAAAUUAUAUUCCUUAAUCAAUACACCUCAUUAAAUUUCCUAAUAAACUCAUCUAAUCGAAUUCCUUGAUUUAUGGUGGACGCAUGGACGUGGGGCUAUUGAUUCGAACCACAUGGCAGAUUUUUACGCACUGUACCGUAGUGCAUAAAUACCUUCACCAUGUAGCAUAAUUAGUAUCAAUAUAUAUCAUAAACGUUUUUAACGAGUCUAGCUGCUUGCCUGUUAGAGAGAUACUAUAUUUAUGAGGAAAUGAAGCAUUAAAUCAGUUUUUUUGUUUGCAUACAUGUCAAUCCAUUUACUUUCAACACACAUUAUUGUCAUCCUAAAUUUGUGAAAGGGAAAUAGGCUCACACAUUUUAAAAUAUACUCCAAAAGUGUCCUAUUUUUUUAAAAAUGUCAUAAAAUAUAGGUCACUUGUUAAAGUGUAACAAAUAUCUUGCACCGUUUUGGGCUGCCUUAUCUCUAACUGUAACUGAAAGGGAAAUAAGCUCACACCUUUUCCUAAAUGAUUUUGGUGGUUGAAUUGCCCAACACAAAUAAUUGGACUAACUAGUUUGCUCUAGAUCAUAAGUUCUAUAGGUGCCAAAGGUUCACAAUAAACCAAUACAAAGUUCAAAGAAAUGGUUCAAAAAAAGAAAGGAGCAAAGCAACCGAAGGCUGCCCUGGUCUGGCGCACCAGAGUGUCCAGUACACCAGGGUGGAUUCCCUCCAACUCGCUAGCUUCGGGAAUUUGGGGAGCCACUCCGCUAUAAUUCACUGGACUGUCUGGUGUAGCACCGGACUGUCCGGUGUGCCAAGCGGAGUAACGGCUAACAGCGCCAACGGUCGUCUGCAAAAGGUGAACAGUGAUCAACAGUGCGCGACUGCGCGUGCAGAGUCAGAGCAGGUGCCAGAAGGCGCACCGGACUGUCCGGUGGCCCCACAUGUCAGAGCUCCAACGGUCGGAACCCAACGGCUUGGUGACGUGGCUGGCGCACCGGACUGUCCGGUGCGCCAUACGACAGAAGCCCUCACCAACGGCCAUUUUGGUGGUUGGGGCUAUAAAUACCCCCAACCACCACACUUCAAUGCAUCCAAGUUUUCAGCCAUCAAACCUCAUACAAGAGCCCUAGACUUCAUUCCAAGACACAAACAAAGAGAUCAAAUCCUCUCCCAAAUCCGGAAUCACUCCAAACAAAUUAGUGACUAGAGAGAGAGAGACUUUUGUGUUCUUUUGAGCUCUUGCGCUUGGAUUGCUUUUAUUCUUCCUCUAUUCUUGUUUCCAACUCACUUGUAAUCAAAGCAAGAGACACCAAGUUGUGGUGGUCCUUGUAGUGGACUAAGUGUCCCAUUUGAUUGAAGAGAAAGGCUCACUCGGUCUAAGUGACCGUUUGAGAGAGGGAAAGGGUUGAAAGAGACCCGGUCUUUGUGAUCACCUCAACGGGGAGUAGGUUUGCAAGAACCGAACCUCGGUAAAACAAAUCACCGUGUCAUCCGCUCUUAUUUGCUUGUGAUUUGUUUUCGCUCUCUCUUUCGGACUCGAUUAUAUUUCUAACGCUAACCCCAGCUUGUAGUUGUGCUUAAACUUUAUAAAUUUCAGAUUUGCCUAUUCACCCCCCCUCUAGGCGACUUUCAAUUUGUGCGCAUGCAACAGAAAACAAUUUUUUACGCAAUGUACCACAUUGCAUAAAUAACUACAUCAUGUAGCAUAAUUGAUAUCAGUAUAUAUCAUAAACUUGUUCUAAUGAGGCUAACUACAUGGUUGUUGGAGAGAUCCUAUAUUUAUGGAGGAAAUGAAGCAUUCAAAUCAAACCGGCCUCAUGAAGUGGAAACAAAAAUGCCACCCAAAAUUAUCCCACAUGCGAUGAAAACUCACACGAUCUUCCAUAAUUAUCGGAACUACCAUAAAAAAUAGGAUAUGUAUGCAUGCGCCUGCGGCGUUGGAAGUGGUCCACUGGCUAGUCGCGGUUUUAUGUUAUCUCUAUGAACCAUUUAUGAUAUUUCUAUGAACUAUUUAUGUUAUUUACAAAAAAAUAGAACAACAAAUUAUAGCGUGUGUCCCAUGUGGAGGAUUGAGUGUUGGACCAGGGGUUUGACUGGUGCCCGUGGGAAGGUUUGACAUGGUGCACUGACCGACCAGGGGGUGGCUGGGGCUUCCCAUCAACAUUAGAAGCCUAGGGCUUCCAAUAUCCCUUUCAUAUAUAUAUAUAUAUAAAGAGCCCUGGGCUUCCAAUAACUAGAGGAAGCCUAGGUCCGGACGUCUAUAAAACAAGAUUUGGAGUGCUAGGGUUCGGUUUUUUACGCUCCACACUGAUUCAUUAGCGACGGCGUGUGCGACGACGACGCUUGCCCGAGAGCGUGCGCGGCGAUGGACCCCCAGUCGGUGGCCGCGGCUCCCUGACCUCGAUGUGCAGUGGCGGCGGUUCCUCAAUCCGGAGUAGUGGCGGCGGUUCCCAGGUCGGUGGCGGCGGCUCCCCGAUCCAGAUGGCGAGCGACAGCGGGGCCCUUGUGCGGGCAAGUAGCGGCGUCUCCGGGAUCCCGAGGCGGCGGCACUUCCAGGGCCGGCGAGCAAGCGGUGCCCCUCGACGUGCGAGUAGUGACGGCGACGCAUGAAGCGCAAGGUUCGAGCGAGCGGCGUCACAGGAGGCGCGAUGUGCGCGCAGCGAUGAUCGCGCGUGACAUCCUCCGAUCUAGCGCAGUUUGGGUGACCCGAGUGAUGACCUACAUUUGUGCUUGUGUCAUCGACGACGUCCUCCGGCCACUACCUCCUCCGAUUCAUGUUUUCUUUUCGAUUAUUGUGUUUUAUGACUACCACAUGUAUUAUUUACGCUAAAAAUUGUACGAUUUUAUGCUUGAACAUGGAGUUCGUAUAUCAGUUUACUGCAUGCAUAUUUUUUGCAUGCACAUUGGAAAAGCAAUUCCUUAAUUCAUGUUGUUCGUAAUUAUCAUAAGAAAUCAAAUCAUUUAUUUUCGUAAAUAUCAGAUUUGUACGUCUGUCAUAAAAUUAUCCCUAAUUCCCGCAUGUUGGUAAUUAUCAUAAAAAAUCAAAUCAAAUCACUUAUGUUCGUAAAUGCCAGAUUUUUACGUCUACCAUAAAACCGUCCCUAAUUUCCAUUGGCGUUCUUAGUUGAACCGAUAUAUUAUGCUACACGGUGUAAGUAUUUAUGCGAUGUUGUAUAAGAAUUUAUGCUCUAUUUGACUCAUGUCAUCUAAUUUUUUGCGCGCAUGCACUGGAAAGAAAAAUAUAAUCCAAAAUUUACACACAUGCAAUGGAAACUCCCACGAUUUGUCAUAAUUUUUGGAUCUGUAUAAAAACAGAAACUUCAUGCAUGCGGCGCCAUGUUUUUCAGAUCUACCAUAAACAUAGAAUCGUAAUAACAACCUACUAGAGCUAUCAACCUCUCACAUUGGCUCGAUAUUUACGCUUAUAAUUGAGGGGUUUUAUGCUCAAAACUUAAGGUUUUUACGCUUCAACCCGGAGAUGCGUCCACCAGUGAACAACAUGCCAGAUUUUUUAUGCAGUGUACCGCGUUGUAUAGAUACUUACAUCGUGUAGCAUAAUUUGUAUAAGUAUAUAUCAUAAACUGGUCUAACGAGCCUAGUUGCAUGGUUGUUGGAGGAAAUAAAACAUUUAAAUAAGUUUUUUGUUUCCAUGCAUACCAAUCGAUUUCCUUUCAUCGCAAAUCUUGUCAUCCUAAAUUUGUGCGCAUGCAGAAGGAAACAAACCUACACUGUGUAGUAUAAUUAGUAUCAAUAUAUAUCAUAAACUAGUUCUAACGUGUUUAGUUGCAUGGUUGUUGAAGGGAUCCUAUAUUUAUGAAGGAAAUAAAAUAUUAAAUAUGAUUUUUUGUUUCUAUGCAUGCCAAUUCAUUUUCUUUCAUUUCACAUUCUUUCCAUCAUAAAUUCGUGUGCAUGCAGCUGGUAACAGAUUUUUACGCAGUAUACCGAAUUGCAUAAUUAUCUACACAUUGUAGCAUAUUUAGUAUCAGUAUAUAUCAUAAAAUGGUUCUUACGAGUCUAGCUGCUUGACUGUUGCAGCGAUACUAAAUUUAUGGAGGAAAUAAAACAUUUUAAAAUAGAAACCGCCACACAUAUCUUUCUUAAAUUUACGCGCAUGCAAGAGAACAUAUUUGACUCAUGCAUGCAUUACUUUUUUGCGCACAUAGACGUGGCGCGGGUGGCGCACCCGACAGCCUGCUUGAGUUGUCGCGCUAGGUUGAACCAAGUUACAGGGGUAGUCGGCCUGGGCUUCCUUUAACUAUUGGAAGCCCAUAUAUAUAUAUAUAUAUAUAUAUAUAUAUAUAUAUAUAUAUAUAAAAUUGGGUUUGGUGGGAAAUCUGUAAAAAACAGAAAAAUAACCACUAGCGGCUAAGUUUAAAAAGAGUUGAAAAUAUUUUCACUAGCGGUUGUUAUAAGAGAACGUUAGUGGAAAUUUAUUUCCACAUUCAGUUGAGUAAAGAGAAUCGCUCACUUUCUACUGAUCCCUAGCACAAGUGGUGAAAAAAGUCAAUGAAAAUGAGUUAUGAACUGUCUCUAUAGAGCUUUUUUGUACUAGUAUCUUAUUUGCUCUCUUAUUUCAAACAACACUGUUUACAUAUAACUAGUGUUGUUUAUAGAGCAAUGCACGAUUUGUUGGCAACGACAUUAGGCUAUCUUUAACAGUCUUACUGUCUCACUCCUCAUUUAAAACUAAAUUUAUAAAUAGUGCAUCUACACACAUCCGUUGCGCGUAUUGCUGUAGAUGGCUUUAGGGUGCGUUUGGUUGGAGAGUCAAAUAGAUUGGAGUGGUUAAAUUCAAGAAUUUAAGAAUGGAGUCGUUCUAUUCUGUAUUUAAAAAAAUAGAGCCGCUCUAUUUUUUGUUUGAUUGGAGAGCUAUAUGAGUGAAAAAAAACAGAGCCUCUUCAUUUUUUUUGUUUGAUUGGAGAGCCGUAUGAGUGUAGAGGGGACGAGGGGCAGAGACUAAACACAGGACGAAAGCCCUCGGAAUCAGUUUAUAAUAAUAAUAUACAGAAACACAUUUCUAUUCCAAGCUUCAAAUAUAUAGCUCCACAAUAAAGCAUCAUCCUGUACAGUGAGUGAGUCUAUGGCUGCAACAGCUAGAGCUAGUAAUAGUCACCGGCAAUUAGUAUUGUAGCAAACAUAAGCACUGCUGCACGAGCUACAGCUACAAGCGGUGGUGGGCGCAGGAGGCAGUGCCGUCGUCGAAGUUCUGGUAGUAGCUAUGCAGGUCAUACCCAAACCUCACCGCGGUUCGCCUCGGCCGCGCCGCGCGUCUUCUCCAAGAGCGCCUCAACCUCGACAGCACAGCCGCUUCACCGCAGCAGCUGGCCGGCGGCCGCCGCUCCUGGCGUGGACGAGCCUCCCGCCCAAGCCGCUGCCCCCGGUGUACGGGCCUAGCAGAGACGCCGCCGCCAUGAUCGUUCACUCGGUCGGUUCACAGUUCUCACAGGUCACAGGUCACGGACGCUCUUGCCACUAACUAACUAGCUAGCUAGGCGCUCUGUCUGCUUCGAGCUGGAGUACGUACACUACAGUAAAAGAGGAAACGUU
rnacentral:lncRNA from 1 species